rnacentral:lncRNA from 1 species
UGCCGGUGACCUCUGUCCAUCCAGAGGUGCCAGACAAUCUGCUGGAAGCGCUUCGCAGCGCUUCCAUCGACGAGGAGCACCGCACUAUCAUGAGUGCGGUGAUCCAGAAGGUUCAGUCUGCCAAGAGUGGAUUGACUGAAGCCUGUGCCAGUCUUCUAACAGGCUUUGAGGUAAGUGUUUUAAAAUGUAGUAGAAAUAUUACCGCAUAGACAGUAGCCCCUGAUGCUUUGUUCGGUGUUCACAAAGAAAAGCCGAACAGAGGAUCAAAUAAUAUCGCAGGAGUCUGAUAUAAGUAUGUCAAUAUGCAUAUACAGGCUUCGCUGCUGGCGUCCACCGCACUGACUGCGGAGGUCGCCGUACUGAAGCAGGACCUCGAGGGGUCCAGGAAAGAGCUCGGCCUUGUCAAGAGGCAGAUUGAGGAGAACAAGGGUAAGUAAUACCCUGUCUAUAGAUAUGUAUGUAUAAAAGAAGAAGCGAUUGCAAAAUGACAGGAUCAUCGUAUAUUCGCCAGGGGCCACGACCAAGGUGGCAACCUUGAAGCAAGCGCUAACCAAGGCCGAAGAUAACGCGGCCAAGGAGCGCACUCAGCGAGAGAAGCGCGAGGCUCGGGUGGGCGAGGUGCAUCAAGAGCUCCAGGCUCUCGUGGCGAAGCACGAGGCGUUGGAGCUUGACUCAAAGACGCGGGAGUCUGAGCUUGCCACGGCCCUCGAGAGCGCAAAAAGUGCCAAGGCCGAAGCCCAAAAGGCCCUCCAGGAUAUCGACGCAAUGAAGAAGAUAGCGGCGGGUAAGGCUUUCUAUAUGCAAAGCAAGCAUGUAAGAGUAAAUUACCGAUUACUUACCGAAUCCAGAGCUCUCCAGGAGCAUUCGCAGAUUUGCCCCGCAGCAUGUCCGAUGCCGCACAAUUUUACCAGUCCGAGGAUGGAAGCUCAACAGAGAAGCUGUUCUGGUCUCAGUAUGCUGAGGCCGAACACUCGGUGCCAAUGAGCGACCAGCUGAAGCAGAUGGUUGAGCUACAUAAGGCGGCCGAUCGGGCCAUGAAGAGCUUUAUAGUCCGGCUGUGGCCUGGCGACGCCCUUCCGAAUAGCUUCUUCGGCCUGGUGAGGCGGCUUGUGGAUGCCUGUCCGCGGCUGGAGGUCGUUAAGUGAUCAGUCUGCAUUGAAGGUGCACGCUGGGCUUUCGCUCGUGUGAAAUUGCAGUGGGUCAAGCUAGACACCGUGAAGCUGGUCAAGGAGGGGCCGCCGGAGGGCAAGGAGCACCGCCACCCCGAGAUGUACUACGAGGGUGUUCUGCCGGGUGCCCGUCUCAUAGCGGACGAGUGUUCCAAAGAAGUAAUAUUUGAGUGAGACUUGCUCGUUUUAUCCUGUAUUUAUGAAAACUUGUUUCAUAUGCGCUAUGCAACGCUUGUUUGAAUUUAAAAUAUUACCUUCUGUUUGGCCAUUUAUCAAUCUGAGAGAUGGCUAGUCCUCGACUUCUGCCCCCAUAUCACGAGUGCUGGGGUGUUCGGGAUAAAUCUAAGCACUCUUUUUCCCAUAUUUGGGUCCUUCGAGGGAGGUGCUCAGCAUAAUGAACAAGGCAACCGGACUAAUAAUGAUUUAUCACUCUCACUUAGCCAUAGAAUUCUAUAAUUUUAAAUUUUAGCGAAGCCCCUGCUAUUCGAAAGGCCGAAUUCGGGGUGCGAUACACGCCUUUAAGCCGGACAGGGCCGGCCCCUUGCCCUAAGCGGCAUAAGUCUUUAGGGACUCGAAAACCUCACCGAACAGUGACCAGUCUCUCGCCUUAUCAUGACAGUCAGUUUUAGCUUUCUCUACUGAGGUGCUGAACCCAGCAGAACCGGGGCACAAUCGCAGUAGUUCUCCUAGCGCUACCUUAGCCGAUAGAGCGGAACGUAAGGUACCAAAACAUAGGAGCCAGGCAAACCCAACAUUUGACCAAAGACAUGAUUCGGAGCUGAUGCAUAUAAUGCUAUAAGUUCGGGGUGCCGCACUUGUGAAAGUGUUCGGACUUUUCACACUGUAUUAUGGGGUACGUAAGCCCCUGGUGUGUUGGCCGUACCAAAGUGUACGGUUGCAAGGCGUCAUUAAUGAACACAUGGAUAUAUAUAUAACAGGAAUGCAAUAAUAGUCGUAAUGUCAUGCAUUGUUUAGUCAAAAGAUCGCGUUAAAGCAGAGUGAUACAGGUAGUGCGAUAAGCAAAGAGUAGGACUAUGUCCCUUCCAAGGGCAAGCUGAGGAAUGAUAUGAAAUCGAAUAUUUCGCUUAUUACUGUAAUCCACCUGGGAAUUCCGUGGUAUGACGUAGCUGGUUGCCUCCUUGGUUGCUGCAUCAUGUGUUCGGCAAUAGUGCUACCGGACAGUGUUUCUAGAGAUUAAGGUCCUGAAAAAAGAGAAAAAUUACAAAACAGGAAGCCCCUAGUGCGGUUUAAACCGCGUCUUGGGGCGUGCCGCAGUUUUGCCCCCCGCCCCUCCCCACCUGUGCCCAUGGUAUUUUUAGUGCAUAACUGUGGACGCGUGGCACGAGUUUUGCCGUUGGGCUGGGAUUUGGGUGGGCGCCGUAUUGCUACACGAGCUCAGAUCGUGCCAGGCGGUCCGUUUGCCGAUUGCUCUGAGUGCGCUUGAAGGUGUCCGGGCUUUGAAGUGCUGAACUGGUUGAUUGCCUUGAGAGGCUGCUUUGCGCUUCUACUGCGAGGGCCAUGGUGUGCUCCUCUGUUCGGAGAGAGCGAUCUGUGUUUCCAUUGACUGUAAUAACUCCGCGAGGUCCUGGCAUCUUGAGCUUGAGGUAUGCAUAAUGUGGCACCGCAUUGAAUCUAGCAAAUGCGGUUCGCCAGAGCAUCGCAUGAUAACCACUGCGGAACGGGACUAUGUCGAAGAUUAACUCUUCGCUUCGGAAGUUAUCCGGGGAUCCGAAGACCACUUCCAGUGUAAUUGAGUCUGUGCAAUGGGCCUCUACACCUGGAAUGAUGCCUUUAAAGGUCGUUUUUGUGGGUUUGAUCCUUGAGGGUUCUAUACCCAUUUUUGCACACUGUGUCCUGAUAAAGCAGGUUCAGGCUGCUACCGCCAUCCAUAAGGACUCGAGUGAGGUGAAAUCCGUCAAUGAUUGGGUCUAGGACCAGUGCGGCGAAUCCGCCAUGAUGGAUACUAGUGGGGUGGUCCCUGCGAUCGAAGGUGAUCGGACAGGAGGACCAAGGGUUGAACUUUGGGGCGACCGGCUCCAACGCAUAUACGUCCCUGAGCGCAUGCUUCCGCUCCCUCUUGGGGAUGUGGGUUGCGUAUAUCAUGUUCACCGUCCGCACUUGUGGGGAAAACCUCUUAUGUCCUCCGGUGUGUGGCUGACGUGAUUCCCCCUCAUCAUCGCUAUGCGGCCCCUUGUCUUUGUUUUUGGCAAGCAACUUGCCGGCCUGCUUGAACACCCAACAAUCCCUGUUGGUGUGAUUGGCUGGCUUGUCUGGGGUGUCGUGUAUUUGACACGAGCGAUCGAGUAUACGGUCCAAGCUGAACGGACCCGGCGUACUUUGUUUGAAUGGCUUUUUCCGCUGACUGGGCUUAGAGCCUUUGAAUCCGGCAUUGACUGUCGUAUCCUCGGUAUUUUCGCUAUUAAUGCGGCGCUUAUGUUUGUUGUGACGUGACCUGCUACUGCCGUCCUUGGUAUCUGAGGUACCAUGGUUCUUUGAUAUGUUAUUACUACGAGCCAGCCAGCUGUCUUCUCCCGCACAAAAGCGGGUCAUGAGCGUCGUGAGAGCUUCCAUAGAUUUUGGCUUUUCCUGACCAAGGUGCAGGGCUAGCCACUCGUCUCGGAUGUUGUGUUUGAAAGCCGCUAAGGCCUCUGCAUCCGGACAGUCAACGAUUUGAUUUUUCUUUGUAAGGAACUGAGUCCAGAAUUGCCUGGCCGACUCUUCUGGCUGCUGAAUUAUGUGGCUCAAGUCAUCGGCGUCUGGUGGUCACACAUAAGUGCCCUGAAAGUUGUCGAGGAAUGCGGCUUCCAGAUCUUCCCAACAGCUAAUGGAGUCCGCUGGCAAGUUGUUAAGCCAAUGCCGCGCUGGUCCUUUGAGCUUUAGUGGGAGGUAUUUGAUGGCGUGUAAGUCAUCACUGCGGGCCAUGUGGAUGUGGAGGAGGAAAUCCUCGAUCCAUACUGCGGGAUCUGUUGUGCUGUCGUAUGAUUCAAUAUUUACGGGUUUGAAACCUUCUAGGAAUUGAUGAUCCAUUACUUCGUCUGUGAAGCAUAAGCGUUGUGCGGCGCCUCUGUAUUGGGCUAUAUCGCGACGCAGCUCGAAUGGGUCUUGCCCCUGUGUUCGGCCUGGCCGGAUUUGCUUUUACUGUAUCCGGCAUGACGUUUAUCGUCUCACAGAGUGGUGCACCUUCGUGAUCCGUAGAUCGAUCUUCCAUGCUUUGCUUUGUCCUCCAAUAUGUCCCGCAGGUCUGGCGUAUCUCCCCAGGCCUUUUUAUGUGAAUGGCAUCGGGGUGGAGGCUGAGUUUCUGGCUGGAAUGCUUCUCUAUCGCGGCCACGAGGUGGCCGAUCAGCCGUAUCAUACGCUUCUUCCUCCAGUCGGGGUAGUAACCUACACUUUGGGUAAUUCUUGGAGGGGCGCUCGAGUUUAUAUUCCUCGGCCGCGAGGACUUUAGUCCAUCUGUCAGCUAGCAGAUCUUGAUCAGCUUGAAGCUAAUGCUACUUUUUCUUGAGGCUAUUUGCCGUGGCCAUAAGACGGCGCUUGAAGCGCUCUUGUUCGACGGGAUCCUCUGGUACGACGAAUUCAUCGUCGCCGAGGCUUGCCUCGUCUUCGGAGGGGGGGCAUGUAAUUGUCAUCUUCCUCCUCUCCAUCUGCCGCUCUCUCAGGAGGGCUGGCUUCUCCAUCCUCCUGCUCUAAAUCUUGCUGGAGGGGAUUGUUGUUGUCUUCGGCACUAUCCGGAGUGUUAUUAUCUCCUGUGUCGGUAUCACCACUUUUGCUUUGGCGGGACUUAGAGCAGCGCCGCUUACGUUGGCGCUUGGGUUGCUUCUUGGAGGGGUCAUCCUCUGUUAUCUCGUCGCCAUUGCCUUCUUUGGGUGUAUCCACCAUGUAUAUGUCAUAUGACGAGGUGGCUUUCCAGUGCCCUAUAGGCGCUGGUUCAUGUUCGUCUCCUACAUCGUCGUCCAUACCGUCGAUGUCUUCGGAGUCGAAGUCAAGCAUGUCGGUUAAAUCAUCGACAGUGGCUACAAAGUGGGUGGUGGGUGGGCGUCGAAUUUCUUCGUCGUCCGCAUCCCAAUCCUGUUGGCCAUAGUCCGGCCAGGGCUCUCCUGACAAAGAGAGAGACUUUAGUGAAUUCAGAAUGUCGCCGAAGGGCGAGUGCUGAAAGAUAUCUGCGGCGGUGAAUUCCAUGAUCGGCGCCCAAUCAGAUUCGAUUGGCAGGGGCUCGUGCGGUUUGGAGUUCGGAAAAGAGUCCGGCACCUUGGAGUCACGGGCUUCGCAAAGGAUUAGGCUGGUGUUCGGCUGGAUCGCCGUCGAGACUGCAGCCCCUGAGGCGGUGUCUAACCACCCGUCCUCGAUUGGCGUAGUUGGCUCUCAGCUAAGGGUCGGAGCUGAUGCGGGCGCGCCUUCUGGGGUACUGUUCGGUGGCAGAGCUAGGUCAUACCCAUCGUGACAGUGCAGCGCGCCCGGCUGCGGCUCGAAUCCAUUGAAGAUCAAGUCUCCGCGGAUGUCGGCCGUGUAGUUCAAACUUCCAAAUUUGACCUGAUGGCCAGGGGCGUAGCUUUCAAUCUUCUCCUGAUGGCCAAGUGAAUUAGCCCGCAGUGCAAAGCCGCCGAAUACGAAGAUCUGUUCGGGGAGAAAAGUCUCACCCUGGACUGCAUCGUUGUUGAUGAUCGGAGGAGCCAUCGAGCCUAACGGCGACGACAUAGAGGAACUCUCAAUGAAAGCACCAAUGUCGGUGUCAAAACCGGCGGAUCUCGGGUAGGGGGUCCCGAACUGUGCGUCUAGGCCGGAUGGUAACAGGAGGCAGGGGACACAAUGUUUUACCCAGGUUCGGGCCCUCUUGAUGGAGGUAAAACCCUACAUCCUGCUUGAUUAAUAUUGAUGAUAUGGGUAGUACAAGAGUAGAUCUACCACGGAUCAGAGAGGCUAAACCCUAGAAGCUAGCCUAUGGUAUGAUUUUAUGUUGUGGUUGUUGUCCUACGGACUAAAACCCUUCGGUUUAUAUAGACACCGGAGAGGGUUAGGGUUACACAAGGUCGGUUACAAAGGAGCAGAUAUCCAUAUCCGUAUUGCCUAGCUUGCCUUCCACGCCAAGUAGAGUCCUAUCCGGACACGAGACGAAGUCUUCAAUCUUGUAUCUUCAUAGUCUAACAGUCCGGCCAAUGGAGAUAGUCCGGCUGUCCGGAGACCCCCUAAUCCAGGACUCCCUCAAUCUCCCCAAGGAUAAGUGGUUUAAAUAUCAUCCUCCCAUAGAAGUAAAAGUAGCUGCACCUAUUAAAGUUGAAGAAAAGACUGUCACUUAUAAUGAUCCUAUUGUUCCUACUUCUUAUGUUGAGAAACCACCUUUCCCUGUUAGGACAAAGGAUCAUGCUAAACCUUCAACUGUGGUUCAUAAAAGCAAUAUUAAAACUUAUACACCUCCUCAGCAAAUUAAAGUUGAACCUGAUAUUGCUAUUGUUAAAGAUCUCUUGUCUGAUAAUAUUGAUGGGCAUGUUAUUCAUUUCCUUGAUGAGACUGCUAGAAUUGCUAAACCUUGUGCAAAAGAUAAAAACAGACCUGUGGUAGGCAUGCCUGUUAUUUCUGUUAAAAUAGGAGAUCAUUGUUAUCAUGGCUUAUGUGAUAUGGGUGCUAGUGCUAGUGCAAUACCUUACGACUUAUACAAAGAAAUUAUGCAUGAUAUUGCACCUGCUGAGAUAGAAGAUAUUGAUGUCACAAUUAAACUUGCCAAUUGAGAUACUAUUUCACCAAUGGGAAUUGUUAGAGAUGUUGAAGUAUUGUGAGGGAAAACUAAAUAUCCUGCUGAUUUUCUUGUUCUUGGUUCCCCACAAGAUAGUUUUUGUCCCAUUAUAUUUGGUAGACCCUUCUUAAACACGGUUAAUGCUAAGAUAGAUUGCAAAAAGGAUGUUGUUACUGUCGGUUUAGAUGAUAUGUCUCAUGCAUUUAAUUUCUCUAAAUUUAGUAGACAACACCAUGAAGAAGAAUUACCUAGUAAGGAUGAAAUUAUUGGUCAUGCUUCUAUUGCCAUACCUCCUAGUGAUCCUUUAGAGCAAUAUUUGCUAGACCAUGAAAAUGAUAUGUUUAUGAAUGAAAGAAGGGAAAUAGAUGAAGUAUUCUUUAAACAUGAACCUAUUCUGAAACACAAUUUGCCUGUUGAAAUCCUAGGGGAUCUUCCUCCACCCAAGGGUGAUCCCGUGUUUGAGCUUAAACCAUUGCCUAAUACUCUUAAAUAUGCUUAUCUUGAUGAGAAAAAGAUAUAUCCUGUUAUUAUUAGUGCUAACCUUUCAGAUCAUGAGGAAGAGAGAUUAUUGAAAACUCUGAAGAAGAACCGUGCUGCUAUUGGGUAUACUCUUGAUGAUCUUAAGGGCAUUAGUCUCACUCUAUGUCAACAUAAAAUAAAUUUGGAAGAAGAUGCUAAACCAGUUCGUGAUCAUCAACGACGACUGAAUCCUAAAAUGAAAGAAGUGGUAAGAAAGGAAAUACUAAAGCUCCUUGAGGCAGGUAUAAUCUAUCCCGUUGCUGAUACUCAGUGGGUAAGUCCUGUCCAUUGUGUCCCUAAGAAGGGAGGUAUUACUAUCGUUCCUAAUAAUAAAGAUGAAUUGAUUCCUCAAAGAAUUAUUACAGGUUAUAGGAUGGUAAUUGAUUUCUGCAAAUUAAAUAAGGCCACUAAAAAGGAUCAUUACCCCUUACCUUUUAUCGAUCAAAUGCUAGGGAGAUUAUCCAAACAUACACAUUUUUUCUUUCUAGAUGGCUAUUCUGGUUUCUCUCAAAUACCUGUGUCAGCCAAGGAUCAAUCAAAGACUACUUUUACUUGCCCUUUUGGUACUUUUGCUUAUAGACGUAUGCCUUUUGGUAUAUGUAAUGCACCUGCUACCUUUCAAAGAUGCAUGAUGGCUAUAUUCUCUAACUUUUGUGAAAAGAGUUGUGAGGUUUUCAUGGACGAUUUCUCCGUCUAUGGAUCUUCUUUUGAUGAUUGCUUGAGCAACCUUGAUCGAGUUUUGCAGAGAUGUGAAGAAACUAAUCUUGUCUUGAAUUGGGAAAAGUGCCACUUUAUGGUUAAUGAAGGUAUUGUCUUGGGUCAUAAAGUUUCUGAAAGAGGUAUUGAAGUUGAUAAAGCCAAGGUUGAUGCUACUGAAAAGAUGCCAUGCCCCAAGGACAUCAAAGGUAUAAGAAGUUUCCUUGGUCACGCCGGAUUUUAUAGGAGGUUCAUUAAGGACUUCUCAAAGAUUUCUCGGCCUCUGACUAAUUUAUUACAAAAAGAUAUACCAUUUGUCUUUGAUGAUGAUUGUGUAGAAGCAUUUGAAAUACUUAAGAAAGCAUUGAUCUCUGCACCUAUUGUUCAGCCACCUGAUUGGAAUCUACCUUUUGAAAUUAUGUGUGAUGCUAGUGAUUGUGUUGUAGGUGAUGUUCUAGGGCAAAGAGUUGAUAAGAAAUUAAACGUUAUUCAAUAUGCUAGUAAAACCCUACACAAUGCUCAAAGAAAUUAUGCUACUACUGAAAAAGAAUUCUUAGCAGUUGUAUUUGCUUGUGAUAAGUUCAGACCUUAUAUUGCUGAUUCUAAAGUAACUAUUCACACUGAUCAUUCUGCUAUUAAAUAUCUUAUGGAAAAGAAAGAUGCUAAACCUAGACUUAUUAGAUGGGUUCUCUUGCUACAAGAAUUUGAUUUACAUAUUGUUUAUAGAAAGGGAGCUGAGAACCCCGUUGCAGACAACUUGUCUAGGUUAGAAAAUGUGCUUGAUGACCCACUACCUAUUGAUGAUAGCUUUCCUGAUGAGCAAUUAAAUGUCAUAAAUGCUUCUCAUAGUGCUCCAUGGUAUGCUGAUUAUGCUAAUUACAUUGUUGCCAAAUUCAUACCACCUAGUUUCACAUACCAACAAAAGAAAAAGUUCUUCUAUGAUUUGAGACAUUACUUUUGGGAUGUCCCAUAUCUUUAUAAAGAAGGAGUAGAUGGUGUUAUUAGACGUUGUUUACCUGAGCAUGAACAGGAACAGAUCCUACACAAGUGUCACUCUGAAGCUUAUGGAGGACACCAUGCUAGAGAUAGAACUGCACAUAAGGUAUUGCAAUCUGGUUUUUAUUGGCCUACUCUCUUCAAAGAUGCCCGUAAGUUUGUCUUAUCUUGUGAUGAAUGUCAAAGAAUUGGUAAUAUUAGUAGACGUCAAGAAAUGCCUAUGAACUAUUCACUCGUUAUUGAACCAUUUGAUGUUUGGGGCUUUGACUAUAUGGGACAUUUUCUUGCCUCUAAUAGUUAUACACAUAUUUUAGUUGCUGUUAAUUACGUUACUAAGUGGGUAGAAGCUAUUCCAAUUAGUAGUGUUGAUCAUAACACUUCUAUUAAAAUGCUUAAAGAAGUUAUUUUUCCAAGAUUUGGAGUCCCUAGAUAUUUAAUGACUGAUGGUGGUUCACAUUUUAUUCAUGGUGCUUUAUGUAAAAUGCUUGCUAAGUAUGAUGUUAAUCAUAGAAUUGCAUCUCCUUAUCACCCUUAGUCUAGUGGUCAAGUAGAAUUGAGUAAUAGAGAGCUCAAAUUAAUUUUGCAAAAGACUGUCAAUAGGUCUAGAAAGAAUUGGUCCAAGAAACUUGAUGAUGCAUUAUGGGCCUAUAGAACUGCAUAUAAAAAUCCUAUGGGUAUGUCUCCCUAUAAAAUGGUUUAUGGAAAAGCAUGUCACUUACCUCUCGAACUAGAACACAAGGCAUAUUGGGCUAUUAAAGAGCUCAAUUAUGAUUUUAAACUUGCCGGUGAGAAGAGGUUAUUUGAUAUUAGCUCACUCGAUGAAUGGAGAACCCAAGCCUACGAAAAUGCCAAGUUGUUUAAAGAAAAAGUUAAAAGAUGGCAUGAUAAAAGGAUACAAAAGCGUGAGUUUAAUGUAGGUGAUUAUGUAUUGCUAUACAACUCUCAUUUAAGAUUUUUUGCAGGAAAACUUCUCUCUAAAUGGGAAGGUCCUUACGUUAUCGAGGAGGUCUAUCAUUCCGGUGCCAUAAAAAUCAACAACUUCGAAGGCACAAAUCCGAAGGUGGUGAACGGUCAAAGAAUCAAACAUUAUAUCUCAGGUAAUCCCAUAAAUGUUGAAACCAAUGUUAUUGAAACCGUAACCCCGGAGGAAUACAUAAGGGACACUUUCCGGAACGUUUUAGACUCCGAAAAGGAAUAGGUAUGUGGUACGGUAAGUAAACCGACUCCAAAAUAGUUUUUAAGGCAAUAUUUCUUUGUUUUGGAAUAUUUAGGAAAUAGAAAAAUAAGAAGCAGUCCGGGAAGGACACGAGGCCUCCACGAGGGUGGAGGGCGCGCCCUACCCUAUUGGGCGCGCCCCCCUACCUCAUGGGCACCUCGUGCGCUCUCCGGACUCUAUUUUCUUGCACGACACGUAUUUUCGUCGGUAAAAAUUCAUUAUAUAAUCUCCCGAAGGUUUUGACUCCUGUAUCACGCAAAUAUUCUCUGUUUUUUUUUUCGAGUUGUCCUGCUGCAGAUUAGAGCAACAUGUCGUCCCAGGAUUCGGAAGGAGAAAGCUAUGUGGCUGACUACCUUGUAGAUCCUAAGGUCUAUGGGGAUGUGGAGCAUUGUGGUUGGACUACGGAAGAAGAAGAGUACUAUGAACCCAAGGGAAGGGAGGAGACGAGCUCAGAAGAAGAUGAAAUCCCAUUACCUCAACCUGGGGACAUCCAUGUGGAGUUCAAAAAAUCAAGCCUCCCGGAUAGAGUAAAUAAACCUAAGAUCGAGUUUAUCCCUUUUCGCCUCUUGCAGGAAAACAAGCAGGAACUAUGCAAAAAGAUACUGAGCCUGGAGCGGGAGAUCGAUGACCUAAGGGACCAAAACUCUGUCCUCAAGCGUAAAUUAAGGAAGAAGCCUAUGCCAUCAACAAAACCAUCACCUUCUCCACCAACAAAGAAGAAUUGAGUAUCUGGUAUGGGCACUCCCCUUGGCAACUGCCAAGCUUGGGGGAGUGCCCCGUUAUCGUAUCACCAUCACUUUUAUCUUUACUGUUUUUCUUAGUUUGAUCCUUUUGGUAAUAUCUUGAUCUAGUAGAAUAAAGUUUAUGGCAUGAUCUAGUUUUGAGUUUUGCUUUAUGAUCCCUCUAUGUAAUCGAGUCCGUGAGCUAUAUAAUAAAGAUUAGUGUUGAGUCAAGGGCUUGAUUAUUUUGCCAUGAUCCUAAGUGAAUAAAAGAGAAGAGAAAUAAAUAAAAAAGGAAACAAAGAGAUCAUAUGGAUCUUAUGGAGAGUAAUGAGCUCACAUAGAAAAAGUAUGAUGAAUAAAAGUUGUUGAGAGUUGACAAACAUAGUUUUGGUCAUUGUUGCAAUUAAUAGGAAGUAAUAAAGAAAGAGAGGUCUUCACAUAUAAAUAUACUAUCUUGGACAUCUUUUAUGAUUGUGAGCGCUCAUUAAAAUAUGACAUGCUAAAGAGUUGACGUUGAACAAGGAAGACAAUGUAAUGGGUUAUGUUUUCUUACAUAUGAGAUAAAUUAUAUUUCGUGGAUCAUCCAACAUGGUUGAGCUUGCCUUUCCCCCUCAUGCUAGACAAAUUCAUCGCACCAAGUAGAGAUACUACUUGUGCUUCCAAAUACCCUUAAACCAGUUUUGCCAUGAGAGUCCACCAUACCUACCUAUGGAUUGAGUAAGAUCCUCCAAGUAAGUUGUCACCGGUGCAAGCUAUAAAAAUUGCUCUCUAAAUAUGUAUGACUUAUUAGUGUGGGAGUAAAUAAGCUUUAUACGAUCGUGUGAUAUGGAAGAAAUAAAAGCGACAGACUGCAUAAUAAAGGUCCAUAUCACAAGUGGCAAUAUAAAGUGACGUUCUUUCGCAUUAAGAUUUCGUGCAUCCAACCAUAAAAGCACAUGACAACCUCUGCUUCCCUCUGCGAAGGGCCUAUCUUUUACUUUUACCUCCUACCUUGCAUAAGAGUCAUGGUGAUCUUCACCCUUCCUUUUUACAUUUUAUCCUUUGGCAAGCACAGUAUGUUGGAAAGAUCCCGGUAUAUAUGGCUAAUUGGAUGUGAGUUUUCAUGAACUAUUAUUGUUGACAUUACGCUUGAGGUAAAACGUUGGGAGGCAAAAGUAUAAGCCCCUAUCUUUCUCUGUGUCCGAUUAAAACUCCAUACCCAUAAGUAUUGCGUGAGUGUCAGCAAUUGUGAAAGACUAUAUGAUAGUUGAGUAUGUGGACUUGCUGAAAAGCUCUUAUAUAUUGACUCUUUCCUAUGUUAUGCUAAAUUGCAAUUGCUCCAAUGACUGAGAUUAUAGUUUGUUAGUUUUCAAUGAAGUUUACGAUUCAUACUUGAAAUUGUGAUUGAAUUAUUACUCUAGCAUAAGAAAUCAUAUGACAAGAAUUAUGUAAGUUGCUGUUCUAAGAAUGAUCAUGAUGCCCUCAUGUCCAUAUUUUACUUUUAUCGACACCUCUAUCUCUAAACAUGUGGACAUAUUUUUCGAUUUCGGCUUUCGCUUGAGGACACGCGAGGUCUAAGCUUGGGGGAGUUGAUAUGUCCAUUUUGCAUCAUGCUUUUAUAUCGAUAUUUAUUGCAUUAUGGGUUGUUAUUACACAUUAUGUCACAAUACUUAUGCCUAUUCUAUCUUAUUUUACAAGGUUUACAUAAAGAGGGAGAAUGCCGGCAGCUGGGAUUCUGGCUGGAAAAGGAGCAAAUAUUAGAGACCUAUUCUGCACAGCUCCAAAAGUCCUGAAACUUCACGGAAGACGUUUCCAGAAUAUAUAAAAAAUACUGAGCGCAAGAAGUUCACCAGGGCGGCCACACCCUGCCCACGAGGGUGGGGGCACGCCCUACCCCCCUGGGCGCGCCCCCUACCUCGUGUGGCCCUCUGAUGGCCAUCUUCUGCUAUAUGGAGUCUUUCGAUGAGCAAAUAAUCAUAAGCCAUCUCCUCGGAUGAAACUCCAAUCUAGGGCUCCGGCAGAGCUGUCCUGCCGGGGAAACUUCCCUUCGGGAGGGGGAAGUCAUCGCCAUCAUCAUCACCAACACUCCUCUCAUUAGGAGAGGGCAAUCUCCAUCAACAUCUUCACCAGCACCAUCUCCUCUCAAAACCCUAGUUCAUCUCUUGUAUCCAAUUCUUGUCUCCAAGUCCGGGAUUGGUACAUGGGAGAAGUCUUGCUAUUAGGAGUCAUGUGAAUUUGGUAUUCGUUCGAUAUUUUGAUGAGAUGUAUGUUGUCUCCCCUCUAGUGGUGUUAUGUGAACAUCGACUACAUAACACUUCACCAUUAUUUGGGCCUAGAGGAAGGCAUUGGGAAGUAAUAAGUAGAUGAUGGGUUGCUAGAGUGACAGAAGCUUAAACCCUAGUUUAUGUGUUGCUUCGUAAGGGGCUGAUUUGGAUCCAUAUGUUUCAUGCUAUGGUUAGGUUUACCUUAAUACUUUUGUUGUAGUUGCGGAUGCUUGCAAUAGAGGUUAAUCAUAAGUGGGAUGCUUGUCCAAGUAAGGACAGUACCCAAGCACCGGUCCACCCACAUACCAAAUUAUCAAAGUACCGAACGUGAAUCAUAUGAACGUGAUGAAAACUAGCUUGACGAUAUUCCCAUGUGUCCUCGGGAGCGCUUUUCUCUAUAUAAGAGUUUUCCAGGCUUGUCCUUUGCUACAAAAAGGAUUGGGCCACCUUGCUGCACUUUAUUUACUUUUGUUACUUGUUGCUCGUUACAAAUUAUCCUAUCACAAAACUAUCUGUUACCACUUAUUUUAGUACUUGCAGAGAAUACCUUGCUGGAAACCUCUUAUCAUUUCCUUCUGCUCCUCGUUGGGUUCGACACUAUUACUUAUCGAAAGGACUAGAUAGAUCCCCUAUACUUGUGGGUCAUCAAUCAUCCUGCACCGGUUCACCCUCCUCCUCUCCACCCAGCGGCUGGAAAUCAAUGGUGGUCCAGUCGAUUCCAGUUAGGGCCUUGAAUACAGCUUCGUCGCUUAUAAGGGUGGAGGGGUCAACAUCAGGAGCGUAGGUAUGCUUACGGAUUGGUGGGAUAAGAUUAUCCACAUCAUGAGUUGGUGCAACAAGUCAUUUGUUGUCAACAUCAUAAACUGGCUGAUAGUGAGAGAGAUCUGUUUCUUCGGCCAGUUUGCUCGCUAAUGGGCGCAUUUCCUUUGUCAAAGCUCGAAGAUCAUCAUUAUCAAACUCUAACCCGUCUUCCUUUAUGCUCGGAUAGCUGCGUCCUAUAUUGGCUGAGUCAAGAUCGGGUAUCCAGGCAUUAGCCCGGAUUAGCGCAGUCAGAGCACCCGCCCUUGCAGCUGAUCUUUUUAACUCGUCCAACUGGGCAGGAAGCAUUGACAACUUUUCUAAUGUUUCCUUGAUCAGGUUUGGGGGUGGUUUGUUAUGAGCGGCAGUGCAAAUGAUCUGUUGUGCGCCGGUAUAUAACUGCUCUAUAAGAGUAUAGGCAGCCUUCAACUUCUUCUGCAUAUCAGAGCCCAGGUGGGUAAUGCGAGAUCCUGCAUCAUUGAACAUAUUGAUAAACCGACAGUUUAUGGGAUAAUACAUGUUGAAGCUUAUCAUAAGGGUACUUACCAAACACAGCAGUGGUCAUGGCAUUGAUUUGCUGCUUCAAGCCAGUCAAUUCUUCUGCUACCGGUUUAAGAGUUGUUUCAGCGUCCUCCGCCCGCUUUAGCAGAGUUGCUUUUUCAGCGUCCCAUCCUGCCCGUUCGCCUUUAAAGCCUUCUUUCAGUUGUUCCAUGGCUGUUAAAGCGCCAGUCAGCUCUUCUUUAGCCUUGGAAAUUUCUGCCUGUUGGGACUUGAUAUUUUCCUGAAGGUCGGCAAUUUGAGAUUCUUUUUGGCUUAGAUCGGCCUGCAAGCGACAUGUAAUGAGUUACUAAUGCAUAUUUGAAGUCCCAGGCAUAUAACAGGUUAUACACUUGGCACUUGGGGGCUAAUGCGUAUGGCUUUUAUCAACUGACAUUUUCAAGUCCCAAGCACAUAACAACUUAUACACUUGGCACUUGGGGGCUAAUGUAUAUUUGCUCAAGUCAAAAUUAUGGAUUUUUCUUCAUCAAUCGGUUUACAAAGAUGGUGUCAAGAGUUUUGGAAGCUUCACGACAAAAAGGUACCGAUUCAUCCUAAAGGUAUAAACCGAUCCCUGGGGGCUACACAAGCAAAAAUUGCAAGAUUCAUACUUUAAAGUCCCAGUUCAUCCUGAAACGAUAAACCGGCCCUUGGGGACUACGCAGGCAAAAGUUGAAGCAUUACAAAGUCCCGGUUCACGAUGAUAUCAUAAACCGGCCCUGGGGGGCUGCUGGAGUUGAUAUUAGAAAUUGGACACAAGAUAAACAAUUAUGAAGAGUUAAUAGUGUUUACCUCAUAUCGCUCCAUCACAAGGCCCACUAAACCGGCUUCAUAGUCGCGGCUUGUAUACAGGCGAUUUAAGAAGCUAGAAUGAAUCUCUUGGGCGUUGAGGUGGGCAUAGCUGGAUAAAUCCGUUUUCCACUUGCCCAUAUCCAUAGCAGAAAACUCUUCCUUGGCACUAUGCGUUGAUAAAGCGAUAGGAUUGCCAGGGGUGGUGUGGCCGACGCCGGUGACAAUGACAUCAUCCGAUUGGUCAUUAGCUGCUUUGGCUGGGCUUAGCGGCUUGGCUGCAGCUUUAGCCAGGCUUGGCGGGUCAGUAGCAUGGCCGGUGGGAUCCUCUUCCAUCGGUUCAGCAAAGGUUUCAUGAUGUUCUGGUGGCGGAUCAUCAUGUAUAGCGUCAACAUUAGGCUCAAAUUGUUCUGGGAUCUGUUCUGGAUUAUCAUCAACCGGAUUAUCAUCAGUCGGUUUAUCAUCAGCUGGUUUAUUCAAUUUGGCCUUUUUGCUAGGCCUGGCCUUGGCUCUGAAAGGAAAAGAUAUAUAGGUUAGUAUAACAAACAAGUAUAAAGCGUCAAAGAGUUAAGUUUAAAGUGUUCACCCAGGAACAGUCUUGAGAGGAGGGAGUUGUGUGGCCAUUGACACGCCAGAUGAUGAAUGAGGUGUUCCAUGAUAGUUUGAAUCAGACGGAUUAAGAGGUUGCCUGAAAUAACCCGCCUUGGGAUAAGGAGUAUCAGAAAUGUAGCGACCCGACCCGAAUGAAUCAAGUGCUCUGUGCUCAGGUGUCAUCCCUGGAUCAGUAAUGCUGACACCACACAGUACAUCGAAGGAUUUAUAGCAGAGUGGCAAUCACACACUUAUUACAUCGUUGUCUCAAAGAGAACUUUACAAUAAAUAUGGCUUAAGGCCAUCUAAUAAUGAUAACAGCGGAAUACUCGGAAGAUAAAUGGGUCCAUCAACUCCAACGGCAUCACUGAGUAUAGGGCCACGAGCUAAAAACACCUUACUCGUCGUCUGAAAAGUCUGCAACAUGAGAAGUUGCAGCCUGAAAACGGGUCAGCACAUGGAAUAUGCUGGCAAUGUAACACAUAGAGAGUAAUGGAAUGAAACAGCUAUACUAUAUGCAUAUAAGGCUGGUGGAAAGCUCUAUGGUUACAGUUUUGCGUAAAGCCAGUUUUUCCCUACUGCAAAGGAAUAAAUUUGUUUAACUAUCAUGGUAGUUGUUAAACAUCGAGAAUGGUUGACAGCAUUCCGAUCCCAAUUAAGUGAACAGUUAAAACCCAACAACAUUAAUUAGAAGUAACAUGUUGAGAUUCACAUGAUAUUCAAGUACUAGAUACUCAAGUUGUCCAUAACCGGGGACACGGCUAAUCAUGAUUAGUUUGUACACUCUGCAGAGGUUUGCGCACUUUUCCCCACAUGACUCGAUCGCCUCCGUUUGUUUUCUAGCACUACAUGGUGUUUGAGAAACGGAUGACCGAGACAUAGUCUUUCAGAAGCACUAGCACCUUACAUGUGGGGUAGACCGUACCACCUACAACCCCUACAUCUGCUAGUCCACCCCGUAAGAGUUCGCACAACUUAGUCAACUAUGCCAGAGCCCAUAGUAGCAUGUGGCUGCACACGGAAGUUUCUAGCAUGAAUGAUCUUAUGAUCCCUUUGAGCCUGGGUGGCGGUCCAAAAUAAAACAGGCAAGUCCUGAUAGACAUCAGGUGCCUCAAUCCACCCAGAUGUGUGUUUAAGUUGCCACCUUAGAUAAACCAUUAAAAUUAUCAACUCACAUCUGUCAUGGAUAUCACUCACCCAAUCCACGUCUACUAGCAUAGCAUGGCAUAAUAAGCAAACGUAGAAGUAACUCCCAAAGGUUUCAUAAUAAUACAGGUGAUAGGUACUACCUCAUCUACUUCCCAUCCCACAGUUUAAUUAGAUCCUAAUCAUGCAAUGUGUGAGGAUUGAUCUAAUGCAAUAAAACAAGGGUUGUAGAAAAGGUAUGAUCAAAGUGUUACUUGCCUUGCUGAUGAUCCGCGAGACCUAGGGUUUCGAAGUAACAAGCGGCGCAAUCCGGGUGAUCUAUCGUAGACAAACAACAAGCAUACAAAAGUACUCAUCUAAUGCACAGGUAAAACUCGAACAAGAGAAUGAAACAGAAAAUUCAACUUAAGAACUCUGGUUGCAAAGAAAGAAAGAACCGAACAAGGAAACGGAAAACAAAAGGCGGAAGAAAACAACUCGGUUCUAGCAAGUUGAAACUAGGUCAAAUUUUACCAGGGCAAAAACAUGUUUAGGUUGAUUAGACGGAACGGCGGUUUCGAAAUGAAACUCCAGGCGCUUGAAUCACCUGAUUCCGAUAAACGAGCGAGAAGAAAGACUAGAACGAAGAUCGGAUCUGAGAUCACGAUCGCGGAAUAAAUCCGACGAAAAGAAAGAGACGAACGGUUAAACGAACGGGCGUCGUUAACCGGGGAAUAAUCGGUGAUCAUGUUCGUUGAGACGAACAGUCCGAAAGAAGAACGAAAACCAAUCUCGGGUUUUCGGAAAAGAAACCGAAAAAGAAACGGAAAACCAAUCUAGGGUUUCGGAAGAAAACCGAAACAAAACCGGAAGAAAAAGAAAAGAAUCAGAGAGAAAACGGAAUGGUUCUUUUAGGAAAAACCGGACCGGGGAAGAAAAAAGAGGCGCAGCGCGGGGCUACCUCCGGCAAGGCGAAACUCCGACGGCGGCGAGGCAAGAGCGGCGGCGGCGGCUAUAGGCGCGGGGCGGCGGGUGAGGGGUGCGGGGUGGGGCUGCGCGCUGCUGCUUGCUGUGGCUUAGGAGGAGAGGGGCUUGGGGUUUUGAUUUGAUGUUUUGGAGGGGGGGGUGUUGGUAUUUAUAUAGGUGAGGGGAGGGGGUUUCUUGGGGUGGGGGACAAGAAAUAGAGUAGGAAAAGGAAAACGAAACAAAGGAAAGAGGGCUAGAACCGGCCUUGAGUCCCUCAGGGACUCAGCCUGAGCGAGGGGAGGCGGCGGCUGGCGCCUGGCGCGUGGCGCGCAGCGCUGCAGGGGGCGGCGGCGGGCUGGGCCUUUGGCCCGGCUGGCCUGCGGGAGUUCCCUUUUUUUUAAAUCGGUUACGCGCGCAGAAAAACAAAAGAAAAACUAUCUAAACGAACUCCGAAAAUUACUAAAGUAAAUUUUCCCCGACUCCUAAAAAUGAGCCGAACAAAAUGAACUUUACUCCGGGCCUAAAAUGCAAUUUUCGAAAACGCGCAUUUUUCCCUAUCCAAAUAAAAAGCAAACAAAACUCCGGCAAAACCAAAAUUUGAUUUAUUCAUUAGAUCUUCAUUUUUCCUAACUUUGGGAAAGUCAUAUUAUUCCCUCUCUCAUAUUGUGAUAUUGGGAAAAAUAAUUGAAGAUGAAAUAAAAUAAAUCAAAUGAUCCUCUUUUCAAAAUUUGAGAAAACUCAAAUAUGAAAAUAACGAAAUCUCCAACUCUCUCCGAGGGUCCUUGAGUUGCGUGAAAUUUCUAGGAUCGGGCAAAAUGCAAGAAAAUAUGACAUGCAUGAUGAUCUAAUGUAUAACAUUCCAAAUUGAAAAUUUGGGAUGUUACAAACCUACCCCCCUUAAAAUGAAUCUCGCCCUCGAGAUUCGGGUUGGCUAGAAAAUAGGCGAGGGUGGUCCUUGAGCAAAUCUUCUUCUCUCUCCCAGGUGGCUUCAUCCUCUGAGUGGUGGUUCCGCUGAACUUUGCAAAACUUGAUAACCUUGCUGCGAGUAACUCUGCUGGCAUAAUCGAGAAUCUUGACUGGCUUCUCCUCAUAUGUCAAGUCAUCCUCCAACUGAAUCGCUUCGAGUGGCAUGGUAUCUCUUAGCGGUACCUCUGCCAUCUCGGCAUGACAUUUCUUAAGCUGAGAAACAUGGAAUACAUCAUGAACUCCUGACAGUCCCUCUGGUAAUUCCAACUUAUAAGCGACUUCUCCCAUACGUUGCAAGAUCUUGUACGAUCCAACGAAACACGGUGCUAACUUUCCCUUAACUCCAAAGCGCUUAACUCCUCGAAGUGGGGAUACUCGGAGAUAAACUCUGUCUCCGGUUUUGUAAACUGUCUCCUUGCAUUUAGAAUCUGCGUAGCUCUUCUGCCUAGACUGGGCUACCUUGAGCCUAUCGCGAAUCAACUUAACUUUCCAUUCAGACUCCUUAAUCAAAUCUGGUCCAAAGAAUUGACGGUCUCCAACUUCGUCCCAUGACAACGGUGUCCUGCACCUCCUUCCGUAUAAAGCUUCGAAAGGUGCCAUCUUCAAACUGGUUUGGUAACUGUUGUUAUAAGAAAACUCCGCAUACGGCAAGUUAUCGUCCCAACUAGAUCCAUAAUCUAGUGCACAAGCUCUCAGCAUAUCUUCCAAAAUCUGAUUGACUCUCUCGGUCUGUCCAUCCGUCGGUGGAUGAAAAGCCGUGCUGAACUCUAGUCUGGUUCCUAAAGUUUCAUGCAACUGAUUCCAAAACUUUGAAGUAAAUUUAGUUCCUCUAUCUGAUACGAUACUCCUCGGAACUCCAUGCAAACAAAUGAUCCUAGUCAUAUAUAUCUUCGCCAACUUAGCACUGGUGUAAGUGGUCUUAACUGGGAUAAAAUGUGCUACCUUUGUCAAAUGAUCAACUACUACCCAUAUCGAAUCGUAGCCUGCCUUUGUCCUGGGUAGUCCCGUGAUAAAAUCCAUGCCUAUCUUAUCCCACUUCCAUUUGGGUAUCGGCAAUGGUUGUAACAAUCCUGCUGGCUUCUGAUGCUCUACCUUUACUCUCUGACAUACGUCACAAACUACUACAUAUGCUGCAAUAUCCUUCUUCAUUCCGGUCCACCAGAAUGUUUCCUUCAAAUACAAAUACAUCUUGGUAUCCCUGGGUGAAUCAAAUACGGUGAAUCAUGUGCCUCUUGCAAAAUCAACUUCCUGAUCUCCGGGUCAUUUGGCACAUAAACACGGUCCUCAAACCAUAGGGUAUCGUGCUCAUCCUCAUGAAAUACCUUUGCUUUUCCUUCGCUCAAUUUCUCUUUUAUAACAGCAAUCUCCUUGUCAGAUUUCUGAGCUUCUUUGAUCUUAUCCAUCAAUGUUGACUGAAUCUCCAAUGUUGCUACAUAGCCUCUCGGAACUAUUUCCAAAAAUAGCUCACGAAGAUUUUCUGCUAACUCCUUUGGUAUUUUCCCCGUCAUUAGAGUUUUGACAUGGCUCUUACGGCUCAAUGCGUCAGCUACUACAUUAGCUUUUUCGGGAUGGUAAUGCAACCUCAUGUCAUAAUCCUUGAUGAGCUCCAACCAUCAUCCUUUGUCUGAGGUUCAACUCCUUCUGCGUGAAAAUGUACUUCAAACUCUUGUGAUCCGUGUACACCUCACAAUGAUUUCCAAUGAGGAAAUGUCUCCAUCUUUUCAAUGCAUGCACUACGGCUACUAACUCCAAAUCAUGCGUGGCAUAAUUCAACUCAUGAGGCUUCAGUUGCCGUGAAGCAUACGAAACAACUCUCCCUUCCUGCAUAAGCACUGCUCCAAGUCCUCGACGUGAAGCGUCGCAAUACACCUCAUAAUCCUUGGUCUGAUCUGGCAAAAUCAAUACUGGUGAGGUGACCAAACGUUUCUUCAACUCUUGGAAACUAGCCUCACACUCCUCAGUCCAUUUGAACUUAGUAUCCUUCUUCAACAACUCCGUCAUAGGCUUCACAAUCUUUGAGAAAUUCUCAAUAAACCUCCAGUAGUAUCCUGCGAGUCCAAGAAAACUCGGGAUCUCUCCAACUGUUGUUGGUGCUUCCCAUUCGGUUACGGUCUCAACCUUUGUGGGGUCAACUGCUAUAACUUCUCCGGAUAUAACGUGUCCGAGGAAUCCAACUUCCUUCAACCAAAACUCACAUUUGCUGAAUUUGGCAUAUAACUGGUGUUCCCUUAGUUUCUUCAAAACCAAACGCAAAUGUUCCUUAUGCUCCUCUUCAUUCUUUGAAUAAACCAGGAUGUCAUCAAUGAACACUACGACGAACUUAUCCAAAAACUCCAUAAACACUUUGUUCAUCAGGUUCAUAAAAUAGGCAGGUGCGUUAGUCAAUCCAAAUGACAUAACGGUAUACUCAUACAGUCCAUAUCUUGUGGUGAAUGCUGUCUUAGGUACGUCCUGCUCUCGAAUCUUCAAUUGAUGGUACCCUGAUCGCAAAUCGAUCUUGAAAAACACUUUAGCUCCUUGCAACCGAUCAAACAGAUCGUUGAUCAUUGGCAGUGGGUACUUGUUCUUGAUGGUUACUUCGUUCAAUCCCCGAUAAUCUACAACCAUCCUUAAGGAUCCAUCCUUCUUUUCCACUAGAAGUAUGGGUGAUCCCCAAGGUGAAGAACUUGGGCGAAUGUAACCUUUAUCCAAUAACUCCUUAAUCUGAUUCUUAAUUUCCACCAAAUCCUUUGCUGGCAUCCGAUACGGUCGCUUCGAUAUUGGCCCAGUGCCUGGCAAUAGCUCAAUCAAAAACUCAAUGUCUCUAUCCGGUGGCAUUCCUCGCAAUUCCUCAGGAAAUACAUCAGGAAAAUCCUUCACCACUGGUACUUCCUCUUGCACAACUCCUGUUAGGCAGUUUACUUGUGUCCUGUUUGGCACAUGCCGGGAUACAUACUUGAUCCUUCUUCCUUCUGGUGUGGUAAGCAAAAUUGUCCUACUGGCGCAAUCGAUGUUUCCUCCAUACAUCGACAACCAAUCCAUACCAAGAAUCACAUCCAAUCCUUGAGAUUCCAAUACUAUUAGGUCUGAGGGAAACACAUAGUUACCAAUCCUUAAUGGUAACCGAUCACACCAUCGUCUAGCCAUAAACUCCGCUCCUGGUGAGCUUACUAACAUGGGUGUCCUAAGGGCUUGGGUUGGCAAGUUAUAUUUAUCCACAAAUCCCCUUGAUAUGUAUGAAUGCGAUGCACCGGUAUCAAAAAGAACGAGUGCAGUAAAUGACUUAACCAGAAACUUACCGAUUACUGCAUCAGGCUGAUCUUCAACCUCCUCCACAUUAAUGUGGUUCACCUGUCCCCUAUUGAAAGGGUUCGGUUUCUUCCCAGAGCUGCCAUUGCCACUUCCAUUCUGGCCUUCGGGACAUUCAUUGGCAUAAUGUCCGGUCUUAGAACACUUGAAACAGGUGACUUGACUCAGAUCUCUCUUGGUUGGGGUCGAUGGGGUGGUCCGGUUCUGGCCGUUGCUUCCUCCAUUCCCAUUACCAUUCUUGUGGCCAUUAUGGUUGUGCGAACUACCUCCUCCAUGGGUAUGCUGAAACUGAAAUCCCGGUUUUGGGGUAAAACGGGGCUUCUGCUGGGCUCCAGAAUUAUACUUCCCCUGUCCAUACUUCCUCUUACGGUUCUCAAUCUGCUGUUGCUUUCCUUCAAUCAUGAUGGCACGAUCUACCAACUCCUGGUAGUUGUUGAAACUCGCUACCAUCAACUUCAUGCUUAGUUCAUGAUUCAGUCCUUCCAGAAACUUCUCCUGCUUAGCUGCAUCCGUAGCAACGUCAUCUGGGGCAUAACGUGCUAACUUGCUGAAAUCGUCAAUGUACUGGCCAACUGUCCUUCCUCCUUGGCGUAAGUUGCGAAACUCACGCUUCUUCAUGGCCAUAGCUCCUGCUAAAACAUGGGCAGUGCGGAAAGCUUGCUGAAAGUGAUCCCAUGUGACAGUGUCAACUGGGUAAGUCGCUGUGAAAUUCUCCCACCAUGCUGCCGCGGGUCCGUCAAGCUGGUGAGCGGCAAACUUCACUUUCUCACCAUCCGUGCAUCCUGCAGUGGUCAACUCCCUUCCUAUCUUGCGGAGCCAAUCGUCUGCUACUAUCGGCUCGGUGCUACUGGAAAACACCGGCGGAUUCAACCUAAGGAAAUGGGCUAAGUGGUCAACAGGUGGUGGUGGUGGUGGGUUGUUGUUGUUUCCCUGAUUCUGAUUCUGAACUAGCAACUGCAUCAAGGUGUUCUGCUGCUGGAUCAACUGGGUGAGCUCCGGCGGAAAGGCAAAUCCGAGGUCACGUCUCGGAGGCAUCUGAGGGUUUAGAAAAGACGAGAAUUAAGAAUAGAGUGAGGUCUAAAGGGAAAACACUACCCCAAUGCACAUGAGCAAAUGCACACAAAAUCACUUCAUUCAGUCAAACAAGGGCUUACAAUCGGUCUAACUAUCGCAAAAGUGCUCGAACUAUAAUGUUUACCUGGGGGAAUACUACUAUUAUCUGGUGGUCAUCUAGAAAUUUGAACCGGUGGAAGACUCCAUGAUAUCUGCUCCAGCUUCGUCUUCAAAGUCGGGUUCACUUCGAUCCGAAUCGGUGUCGUCGAUGAUGACGUAGUUGUCCGGACAUGCGACGUACAUGUCUUCCUUCCUGGAUGCUAACUUCUUCUUGAGUUAUUCAAUCUCCUGCUUAAGAUCGCCAGUGUGUCUUGCUAGAGCUAUGAUCUCGUCCAUGUAGUCCUUGCGUGUAGACUUCAGUUCUCCUUCUAGCUCGAUGAUCCUUGCCUUUGCAUUCUUCAACUCUAUCAUAUCAUUGCACAUCUGGUUCUUGUGGCGUCGAAUGUGCUGGUUUAACUCCUGGAUGAAAGAUGCAAUGGAUCUAUCCUUCUUAGUGCUGACUAACUCCCAUUGUUCAUCUCGACGUCCGCAAAUCUGGUAGAUAGUGUCCUUGAGGUCUUCUUGGUAAACUUCUCCAAUGUGUCCUAUGGUGAUAUGAGCUGCCAUGCUCUUUCCCAGACUCCAGGUUGGUGCAUUGAAAACACUAUCUAUAGGCUUCGUGAUUGGCGCGAAUGUUCUUCCCGGAACAUGAGCUUGAAUCUUCCAGCGCUCCUCUUCAGGCAGAGUGGCGUUGAAGGUUCCCGUGAAACUUUGUAAUCCAAUGUUUAGGUACUUGGUGACUUCCUUCAGGUGAAAUCCAAAUGGUGUGCCUUCAUCCGGUUGAGCGUACUUAAUCUUCGCGUUCAUCAUCCUAAAAGAGUAGAAAAGAUGAGGAGUUUAGAAAAUGAGAAGAGAAGGGUGAUCUAUGGCUUUAACUUAGUGGUCGUGUCCUACAGUCAGCGUGUGCUCUGAUACCAUCUCUGUAGCGACCCGACCCGAAUGGAUCAAGUGCUCUGUGCUCAGGUGUCACCCCUGGAUCAGUAAUGCUGACACCACACAGUACAUCGAAGGAUUUAUAGCAAAGUGGCAAUCACACACUUAUUACAUCGUUGUCUCAAAGAGAACUUUACAAUAAAUAUGGCUUAAGGCCAUUCAAUAAUGAUAACAGCGGAAGACUCGGAAGAUAAAUGGGUCCAUCAACUCCAACGGCAUCACUGAGUAUAGGGUCACGACCUAAAAACACCUUACUCGUCGUCUGAAAAGUCUGCAACAUGAGAAGUUGCAGCCCGAAAACGGGUCAGCACAUGGAAUAUGCUGGCAAUGUAACACAUAAAGAGUAAUGGAAUGAAACAGUUAUACUAUAUGCAUAUAAGGCUGGUGGAAAGCUCUAUGGUUACAGUUUUGCGUAAAGCCAGUUUUUCCCUACUGCAAAGGAAUAAAUUUGUUUAACUAUCAUGGUAGUUGUUAAACAUCGAGAAUGGUUGACAGCAUUCCGAUCCCAAUUAAGUGAACAGUUAAAACCCAAAUACAUUAAUUAGAAGUAACAUGUUGAGAUUCACAUGAUAUUCAAGUACUAGAUACUCAAGUUGUCCAUAACCGGGGACACGGCUAAUCAUGAUUAGUUUGUACACUCUGCAGAGGUUUGCGCACUUUUCCCCACAUGACUCGAUCGCCUCCGUUUGUUUUCUCGCACUACAUGGUGUUUCAGAAACGGAUGACCGAGACAUAGUCUUUCAGAAGCACUAGCACCUUACAUGUGGGGUAGACCGUACCACCUACAACCCCUACAUCUGCUAGUCCACCCCGUAAGAGUUCGCACAACUUAGUCAACUAUGCCAGAGCCCAUAGUAGCAUGUGGCUGCACACGGAAGUUUCUAGCAUGAAUGAUCUUAUGAUCCCUUUGAGCCUGGGUGGCGGUCCAAAAUAAAACAGGCAAGUCCUGAUAGACAUCAGGUGCCUCAAUCCACCCAGAUGUGUGUUUAAGUUGCCACCUUAGAUAAACCAUUAAAAUUAUCAACUCACAUCUGUCAUGGAUAUCACUCACCCAAUCCACGUCUACUAGCAUAGCAUGGCAUAAUAAGCAAACGUAGAAGUAACUCCCAAAGGUUUCAUAAUAAUACAGGUGAUAGGUACUACCUCAUCUACUUCCCAUCCCACAGUUUAAUUAGAUCCUAAUCAUGCAAUGUGUGAGGAUUGAUCUAAUGCAAUAAAACAAGGGUUGUAGAAAAGGUAUGAUCAAAGUGUUACUUGCCUUGCUGAUGAUCCGCGAGACCUAGGGUUUCGAAGUAACAAGCGGCGCAAUCCGGGUGAUCUAUCGCAGACAAACAACAAGCAUACAAAAGUACUCAUCUAAUGCACAGGUAAAACUCGAACAAGAGAAUGAAACAGAAAAUUCAACUUAAGAACUCCGGUUGCAAAGAAAGAAAGAACCGAACAAGGAAACGGAAAACAAAAGGCGGAAGAAAACAACUCGGUUCUAGCAAGUUGAAACUAGGUCAAAUUUUACCAGGGCAAAAACAUGUUUAGGUUGAUUAGACGGAACGGCGGUUUCGAAAUGAAACUCCAGGCGCUUGAAUCACCUGAUUCCGAUAAACGAGCGAGAAGAAAGACUAGAACGAAGAUCGGAUCUGAGAUCGCGAUCGCGGAAUAAAUCCGACGAAAAGAAAGAGACGAACGGUUAAACGAACGGGCGUCGUUAACCGGGGAAUAAUCGGUGAUCAUGUUCGUUGAGACGAACAGUCCGAAAGAAGAACGAAAACCAAUCUCGGGUUUUCGGAAAAGAAACCGAAAAAGAAACGGAAAACCGAUCUAGGGUUUCAGAAGAAAACCGAAACAAAACCGGAAGAAAAAGAAAAGAAUCAGAGAGAAAACGGAAUGGUUCUUUUAGGAAAAACCGGACCGGGGAAGAAAAAAGAGGCGCAGCGCGGGGCUACCUCCGGCGAGGCGAAACUCCGACGGUGGCGAGGCAAGAGCGGCGGCGGCGGCUAUAGGAGCGGGGCGGUGGGUGAGGGGUGCGGGGUGGGGCUGCGCGCUGCUGCUUGCUGUGGCUUAGGAGGAGAGGGGCUUGGGGUUUUGAUUUGAUGUUUUGGAGGGGGGGGUGUUGGUAUUUAUAUAGGAGAGGGGAGGGGGUUUCUUGGGGUGGGGGACAAGAAAUAGAGUAGGAAAAGGAAAACGAAACAAAGGAAAGAGGGCUAGAACCGGCCUUGAGUCCCUCAGGGACUCAGCCUGGGCGAGGGGAGGCGGCGCCUGGCGCCUGGCGGCUGGCGGCUGGCGCCUGGCGCGCAGCGCUGCAGGGGGCGGCGGCGGGCUGGGCCUUUGGCCCGGCUGGCCUGCGGGAGUUCCCUUUUUUUUAAAUCGGUUACGCGCGCAGAAAAACAAAAGAAAAACUAUCUAAACGAACUCCGAAAAUUACUAAAGUAAAUUUUCCCCGACUCCUAAAAAUGAGCCGAACAAAAUGAACUUUACUCCGGGCCUAAAAUGCAAUUUUCGAAAACGCGCAUUUUUCCCUAUCCAAAUAAAAAGCAAACAAAACUCCGGCAAAACCAAAAUUUGAUUUAUUCAUUAGAUCUUCAUUUUUCCUAACUUUGGGAAAGUCAUAUUAUUCCCUCUCUCAUAUUGUGAUAUUGGGAAAAAUAAUUGAAGAUGAAAUAAAAUAAAUCAAAUGAUCCUCUUUUCAAAAUUUGAGAAAACUCAAAUAUGAAAAUAACGAAAUCUCCAACUCUCUCCGAGGGUCCUUGAGUUGCGUGAAAUUUCUAGGAUCGGGCAAAAUGCAAGAAAAUAUGACAUGCAUGAUGAUCUAAUGUAUAACAUUCCAAAUUGAAAAUUUGGGAUGUUACAAACCUACCCCCCCUUAAAAUGAAUCUCGCCCUCGAGAUUCGGGUUGGCUAGAAAAUAGGCAAGGGUGGUCCUUGAGCAAAUCUUCUUCUCUCUCCCAGGUGGCUUCAUCCUCUGAGUGGUGGUUCCACUGAACUUUGCAAAACUUGAUAACCUUGCUGCGAGUAACUCUGCUGGCAUAAUCGAGAAUCUUGACUGGCUUCUCCUCAUAUGUCAAGUCAUCCUCCAACUGAAUCGCUUCGAGUGGCACGGUAUCUCUUAGCGGUACCUCUGCCAUCUCGGCAUGACAUUUCUUAAGCUGAGAAACAUGGAAUACAUCAUGAACUCCUGACAGUCCCUCUGGUAAUUCCAACUUAUAAGCGACUUCUCCCAUACGUUGCAAGAUCUUGUACGGUCCAACGAAACGCGGUGCUAACUUUCCCUUAACUCCAAAGCGCUUAACUCCUCGAAGUGGGGAUACUCGGAGAUAAACUCUGUCUCCGGUUUCGUAAACUGUCUCCUUGCGUUUAGAAUCUGCGUAGCUCUUCUGCCUGGACUGGGCUACCUUGAGCCUAUCGCGAAUCAACUUAACUUUCCGUUCAGACUCCUUAAUCAAAUCUGGUCCAAAGAAUUGACGGUCUCCAACUUCGUCCCAUGACAACGGUGUCCUGCACCUCCUUCCAUAUAAAGCUUCGAAAUGUGCCAUCUUCAAACUGGUUUGGUAACUGUUGUUAUAAGAAAACUCCGCAUAUGGCAAGUUAUCGUCCCAAUUAGUUCCAUAAUCUAGUGCACAAGCUCUCAGCAUAUCUUCCAAAAUCUGAUUGACUCUCUCGGUCUGUCCAUCCAUCUGCGGAUGAAAAGCUGUGCUGAACUCUAGUCUAGUUCCUAAAGUUUCAUGCAAAUGAUUCCAAAACUUUGAAGUAAAUUGAGUUCCUCUAUCUGAUACGAUACUCCUUGGAACUCCAUGCAAACAAAUGAUCCUAGUCAUGUAUAUCUUCGCCAACUUAGCACUGGUGUAAGUGGUCUUAACUGGGAUAAAAUGUGCUACCUUUGUCAAACGAUCAACUACUACCCAUAUCGAAUCGUAGCCUGCCUUUGUCCUGGGUAGUCCCGUGAUAAAAUCCAUGCCUAUCUUAUCCCACUUCCAUUCGGGUAUCGGCAAUGGUUGUAACAAUCCUGCUGGCUUCUGAUGCUCUACCUUCACUCUCUGACAUACGUCACAAACUGCUACAUAUGCUGCAAUAUCCUUCUUCAUUCCGGUCCACCAGAAUGUUUCCUUCAAAUCCAAAUACAUCUUGGUAUUCCCUGGGUGAAUUGAAUACGAUGAAUCAUGUGCCUCUUGCAAAAUCAACUUCCUGAUCUCCGGGUCAUUUGGCACAUAAACACGGUCCUCAAACCAUAGGGUAUCGUGCUCAUCCUCACGAAAUCCCUUUGCUUUUCCUUCGCUCAAUUUCUCUUUUAUAGCAGCAAUCUGCUUGUCAGAUUUUUGAGCUUCUCUGAUCUUAUCCAUCAAUGUUGACUAAAUCUCCAAUGUUGCUACAUAGCCUCUCGGAACUAUUUCCAAACAUAGCUCACGAAGAUUUUCUGCUAACUCCUUUGGUAUUUUCCCCGUCAUUAGAGUUUUGACAUGGCUCUUACGGCUCAAUGCGUCAGCUACUACAUUAGCUUUUCCGGGAUGGUAAUGCAACCUCAUGUCAUAAUACUUGAUGAGCUCCAACCAUCAUCCUUUGUCUGAGGUUCAACUCCUUCUGGGUGAAAAUGUACUUCAAACUCUUGUGAUCCAUGUACACCUCACAAUGAUUUCCAAUGAGGAAAUGUCUCCAUGUUUUCAAUGCAUGCACUACGGCUGCUAACUCCAAAUCAUGCGUGGCAUAAUUCAACUCAUGAGGCUUCAGUUGCCGUGAAGCAUAUGAAACAACUCUCCCUUCCUGCAUAAGCACUGCUCCCAGUCCUCGACGUGAAGCGUCGCAAUACACCUCAUAAUCCUUGGUCUGAUCUGGCAAAAUCAAUACUGGUGAGGUGACCAAACGUUUCUUCAACUCCGGGAAACUAGCCUCACACUCCUCAGUCCAUUUUGAACUUAGUAUCCUUCUUCAACAACUCCAUCAUAGGCUUCACAAUCUUUGAGAAAUUCUCAAUAAACCUCCGGUAGUAUCCUGCGAGUCCAAGAAAACUCGGGAUCUCUCCAACUGUUGUUGGUGCUUCCCAUUCGGUUACGGUCUCAACCUUUGUGGGGUCAACUGCUAUACCUUCUCCGGAUAUAACGUGUCCGAGGAAUCCAACUUCCUUCAACCAAAACUCACAUUUGCUGAAUUUGGCGUAUAACUGGUGUUCCCUUAGUUUCUCCAAAACCAAACGCAAAUGUUCCUUAUGCUCCUCUUCAUUCUUUGAAUAAACCAGGAUGUCAUCAAUGAACACUACGACGAACUUAUCCAAAAACUCCAUAAACACUUUGUUCAUCAGGUUCAUAAAAUAGGCAGGUGCGUUAGUCAAUCCAAAUGACAUAACGGUAUACUCAUACAGUCCAUAUCUUGUGGUGAAUGAUGUCUUAGGUAUGUCCUGCUCUCGAAUCUUCAAUUGAUGGUACCCUGAUCGCAAAUCGAUCUUGGAAAACACUUUAGCCCCUUGCAACCGAUCAAACAGAUCGUUGAUCAUUGGCAGUGGGUACUUGUUCUUGGUGGUUACUUCAUUCAAUCCCCGAUAAUCUACAACCAUCCUUAAUGAUCCAUCCUUCUUUUCCACUAGAAGUACGGGUGAUCCCCAAGGCGAAGAACUUGGGCGAAUGUAACCUUUAUCCAAUAACUCCUUAAUCUGAUUCUUAAUUUCCACCAAAUCCUUUGCUGGCAUCCGGUACGGUCGCUUCCAUAUUGGCCCAGUGCCUGGCAAUAGCUCAAUCAAAAACUCAAUGUCUCUAUCCGGUGGCAUGCCUGGCAAUUCCUCAGGAAAUACAUCAGGAAAAUCCUUCACCACUGGUACUUCCUCUUGCACAACUCCUGUUAGGCAGUUUACUUGUGUCCUGUUUGGCACAUGCCGGGAUACAUACUUGAUCCUUCUUCCUUCUGGUGUGGUAAGCAAAACUGUCCUACUGGCGCAAUCGAUGUUUCCUCCAUACAUCGACAGCCAAUCCAUACCAAGAAUCACAUCCAAUCCUUGAGAUUCCAAUACUAUUAGGUCUGAGGGAAACACAUAGUUACCAAUCCUUAAUGGUAACCGAUCACACCAUCGUCUAGCCAUAAACUCCGCUCCUGGUGAGCUUACUAACAUGGGUGUCCUAAGGGCUUGGGUUGGCAGGUUAUAUUUAUCCACAAAUCCCCUUGAUAUGUAUGAAUGCGAUGCACCGGUAUCAAAAAGAACAAGUGCAGUAAAUGACUUAACCAGAAACUUACCGAUUACUGCAUCAGGCUGAUCUUCAACCUCCUCCACAUUAAUGUGGUUCACCUGUCCCCUAUUGAAAGGGUUCGGUUUCUUCCCAGAGCUUCCAUUGCCAUUUCCAUUCUGGCCUUCGGGACAUUCAUUGGCAUAAUGUCCGGUCUUAGAACAGUUGAAAUAGGUGACUUGACUAAGAUCUCUCUUGGUUGGGGUCGAUGGGGUGGUCCGGUUCUGGUCGUUGCUUCCUCCAUUCCCAUUACCAUUCUUGUGGCCAUUGUGGUUGUGCGAACUACCUACUCCAUGGGUAUGCUGAAACUAAAAUCCCGGUUUUGGGGUAAAACGGGGCUUCUGCUGGGCUCUAGAAUUAUACUUCCCCUGUCCAUACUUCCUCUUACGGUUCUCAAUCUGCUGUUGCUUUCCUUCAAUCAUGAUGGCACGAUCUACCAACUCCUGGUAGUUGUUGAAACUCGCUACCAUCAACUUCAUGCUUAGGUCAUCAUUCAGUCCUUCCAGAAACUUCUCCUGCUUAGUCACAUCCGUAGCAACGUCAUCUGGGGCAUAACACGCUAACUUGCUGAAAUCGUCAACGUACUGGCCAACUGUCCUUCCUCCUUGGCGUAAGUUGCGAAACUCACGCUUCUUCAUGGCCAUAGCUCCUGCUGAAACAUGGGCAGUGCAAAAAGCUUGCUGAAACUGAUCCCAUGUGACAGUGUCAACUGGGUAAGUGGCUGUGAAAUUCUCCCACCAUGCUGCCACGGGUCCGUCAAGCUGGUGAGCGGCAAACUUCACUUUCUCACCAUCCGUGCAUCCUGCAGUGGUCAACUCCCUUCCUAUCUUGCGGAGCCAAUCGUCUGCUACUAUCGGCUCGGUGCUACUGGAAAACACCGGCGGAUUCAGCCUAAGGAAACGGGCUAAGUGGUCAACAGGUGGUGGUGGUGGUGGGUUGUUGUUGUUUCCCUGAUUCUGAUUCUAAACUAGCAACUGCAUCAAGGUGUUCUGCUGCUGGAUCAACUGGGUGAGCUCCGGCGGAAAGGCAAAUCCGGGGUCACGUCUCGGAGGCAUCUGAGGGUUUAGAGAAGACGAGAAUUAAGAAUAGAGUGAGGUCUAAAGGGAAAACACUACCCCAAUGCACAUGAGCAAAUGCACACAAAAUCACUUCAUUCAAUCAAACAAGGGCUUACAAUCAGUCUAACUAUCGCAAAAGUGCUCGAACUAUAAUGUUUACAUGGGGGAAUACUACUAUUAUCUGGUGGUCAUCUAGAAAUUUGAACCUGUGGAAGACUCCAUGAUAUCUGCUCCAGCUUCGUCUUCAAAGUCGGGUUCACUUGGAUCCGAAUCGGUGUCGUCGAUGAUGACGUAGUUGUCCGGACAUGCGACGUACAUGUCUUCCUUCCUGGAUGCUAACUUCCUCUUGAGUUCUUCAAUCUCCUGCUUAAGAUCGCCAGUGUGUCUUGCUAGAGCUACGAUCUCGUCCAUGUAGUCCUUGCGUGUAGACUUCAGUUCUCCUUCUAGCUCGAUGAUCCUUGCCUUUGCAUUCUUCAACUCUAUCAUAUCAUUGCACAUCUGGUUCUUGUGGCGUCGAAUGUGCUAGUUUAACUCCUGGAUGAAAGAUGCAAUGGAUCUAUCCUUCUUGGUGCUGACUAACUCCCAUUGUUCAUCUCGGCGUCCGCAAAUCUGGUAGAUAGUGUCCUUGAGGUCUUCUUGGUAAACUUCUCCAAUGCGUCCUAUGGUGAUAUGAGCUGCCAUGCUCUUUCCCAGACUCCAGGUUGGUGCAUUGAAAACACUAUCUAUAGGCUUCGUGAUUGGCGCGAAUGUUCUUCCCGGAACAUGAGCUUGAAUCUUCCAGCGCUCCUCUUCAGGCAGAGUGGCAUUGAAGGUUCCCGUGAAGCUUGGUAAUCCAAUGUUUAGGUACUUGGUGACUUCCUUCAGGUGAAAUCCAAAUGGUGUGCCUUCAUCCGGUUGAGCGUACUUAAUCUUCGCGUUCGUCAUCCUAAAAGAGUAGAAAAGAUGAGGAGUUUAGAAAAUGAGAAGAGAAGGGUGAUCUAUGGCUUUAACUUAGUGGUCGUGUCCUACAGUCAGCGUGUGCUCUGAUACCAUCUCUGUAGCGACCCGACCCGAAUGGAUCAAGUGCUCUGUGCUCAGGUGUCAUCCCUGGAUCAGUAAUGCUGACACCACACAGUACAUCAAAGGAUUUAUAGCAGAGUGGCAAUCACACACUUAUUACAUCGUUGUCUCAAAGAGAACUUUACAAUAAAUAUGGCUUAAGGCCAUCUAAUAAUGAUAACAGCGGAAGACUCGGAAGAUAAAUGGGUCCAUCAACUCCAACGGCAUCACUGAGUAUAGGGCCACGACCUAAAAACACCUUACUCGUCGUCUGAAAAGUCUGCAACAUGAGAAGUUGCAGCCCGAAAACGGGUCAGCACAUGGAAUAUGCUGGCAAUGUAACACAUAGAGAGUAAUGGAAUGAAAUAGCUAUACUAUAUGCAUAUAAGGCUGGUGGAAAGCUCUAUGGUUACAGUUUUGCGUAAAGCCAGUUUUUCCCUACUGCAAAGGAAUAAAUUUGUUUAACUAUCAUGGUAGUUGUUAAACAUCGAGAAUGGUUGACAACAUUCCGAUCCCAAUUAAGUGAACAGUUAAAACCCAACAACAUUAAUUAGAAGUAACAUGUUGAGAUUCACAUGAUAUUCAAGUACUAGAUACUCAAGUUGUCCAUAACCGGGGACACGGCUAAUCAUGAUUAGUUUGUACACUCUGCAGAGGUUUGCGCACUUUUCCCCACAUGACUCGAUCGCCUCCGUUUGUUUUCUCGCACUACAUGGUGUUUGAGAAACGGAUGACCGAGACAUAGUCUUUCAGAAGCACUAGCACCUUACAUGUGGGGUAGACCGUACCACCUACAACCCCUACAUCUGCUAGUCCACCCCGUAAGAGUUCGCACAACUUAGUCAACUAUGCCAGAGCCCAUAGUAGCAUGUGGCUGCACACGGAAGUUUCUAGCAUGAAUGAUCUUAUGAUCCCUUUGAGCCUGGGUGGUGGUCCAAAAUAAAACAGGCAAGUCCUGAUAGACAUCAGGUGCCUCAAUCCACCCAGAUGUGUGUUUAAGUUGCCACCUUAGAUAAACCAUUAAAAUUAUCAAUUCACAUCUGUCAUGGAUAUCACUCACCCAAUCCACGUCUACUAGCAUAGCAUGGCAUAAUAAGCAAACGUAGAAGUAACUCCCAAAGGUUUCAUAAUAAUACAGGUGAUAGGUACUACCUCAUCUACUUCCCAUCCCACAGUUUAAUUAGAUCCUAAUCAUGCAAUGUGUGAGGAUUGAUCUAAUGCAAUAAAACAUGGGUUGUAGAAAAGGUAUGAUCAAAGUGUUACUUGCCUUGCUGAUGAUCCGCGAGACCUAGGGUUCCGAAGUAACAAGCGGCGCAAUUCGGGUGAUCUAUCGCAGACAAACAACAAGCAUACAAUAAGUACUCAUCUAAUGCACAGGUAAAACUCGAACAAGAGAACGAACCAGAAAAUUCAACUUAAGAACUCCGGUUGCAAAGAAAGAAAGAACCGAACAAGGAAACGGAAAACAAAAGGCGGAAGAAAACAACUCGGUUCUAGCAAGUUGAAACUAGGUCAAAUUUUACCGGGGCAAAAACUUGUUUAGGUUGGUUAGAUGGAACGGCGGUUUCGAAACGAAACUCUAGGCGCUUGAAUCACCUGAUUCCGAUAAACGAGCGAGAAGAAAGACUAGAACGAAGAUCGGAUCUGAGAUCGCGAUCGCGGAAUAAAUCCGACGAAAAGAAAGAGAUGAACAGUUAAACGAACGGGCGUCAUUAGCCGGGGAAUAAUCGGUGAUCACGUUCGUUGAGACGAACGGUCCGAAAGAAGAACGAAAACUGAUCUAGGGUUUUCGGAAAAGAAACCGAAAAAGAAACGGAAAACCGAUCUAGGGGUUCGGAAGAAAAUCGAAACAAAACCGGAAGAAAAAGAAAAGAAUCGGAGAGAAAACGGAACGGUUCUUUUAGGAAAAACCGGACCGGGGAAGAAAAAAGAGGCGCGGCGCGGGGCUACCUCCGGCGAGGCGGAACUCCGACAGCGGCGAGGCAAGAGCGGCGGCGGCGGCUAUAGGCGCGGGGCGGCGGGUGAGGGGCGCGGGGUGGGGCUGCGCGCUGCUGCUUGCUGCGGCUUAGGAGGAGAGGGGCUUGGGGUUUUGAUUUGAUGUUUUGGAGGGGGGAUGUUGGUAUUUAUAUAGGUGAGGGGAGGGGGUUUCUUGGGGUAGGGGACAAGAAAUAGAGUAGGAAAAGGAAAACGAAACAAAGGAAAGAGGGCUAGAACCGGCCUUGAGUCCCUCUGGGACUCGGCCUGGGCGAGGGGAGGCGGCGGCUGGCGCCUGGCGCCUGGCGCGCAGCGCUGCUGGGGGCGGCGGCGGGCUGGGCCUUUGGCCCGGCUGGCCUGCGGGAGUUCCCUUUUUUUUAAAUCGGUUACGCGCGCAGAAAAACAAAAGAAAAACUAUCUGAACGAACUCCGAAAAUUACUAAAGUAAAUUUUCCUCGACUCCUAAAAAUGAGCCGAACAAAAUGAACUUUACUCCGGGCCUAAAAUGCAAUUUUCGAAAACGCGCAUUUUUCCCUAUCCAAAUAGAAAGCAAACAAAACUCCGGCAAAACCAAAAUUUGAUUUAUUCAUUAGAUCUUCAUUUUUCCUAACUUUGGGAAAGUCGUAUUAUUCCCUCUCUCAUAUUGUGAUAUUGGGAAAAUAAUUGAAGAUGAAAUAAAAUAAAUCAAAUGAUCCUCUUUUCAAAAUUUGAGAAAACUCAAAUAUGAAAAUAACGAAAUCUCCAACUCUCUCCGAGGGUCCUUGAGUUGCGUGAAAUUUCUAGGAUCGGGCAAAAUGCAAGAAAAUAUGACAUGCAUGAUGAUCUAAUGUAUAACAUUCCAAAUUGAAAAUUUGGGAUGUUACAAACCUGCCCCCCUUAAAAUGAAUCUCGCCCUCGAGAUUCGGAUUGGCUAGAAAAUAGGCGAGGGUGGUCCUUGAGCAAAUCUUCUUCUCUCUCCCAGGUGGCUUCAUCCUCUGAGUGGUGGUUCCACUGAACUUUGCAAAACUUGAUAACCUUGCUGCGAGUAACUCUGCUGGCAUAAUCAAGAAUCUUGACUGGCUUCUCCUCAUAUGUCAAGUCAUCCUCCAACUGAAUCGCUUCGAGUGGCACGGUAUCUCUUAGCGGUACCUCUGCCAUCUCGGCAUGACAUUUCUUAAGCUGAGAAACAUGGAAUACAUCAUGAACUCCUGAUAGUCCCUCUGGUAAUUCCAGCUUAUAAGCGACUUCUCCCAUAUGUUGCAAGAUCUUGUACGGUCCAACGAAACGCGGUGCUAACUUUCCCUUAACUCCAAAGCGCUUAACUCCUCGAAGUGGGGAUACUCGGAGAUAAACUCUGUCUCCGGUUUCGUAAAGUGUCUCCUUGCGUUUAGAAUCUGCGUAGCUCUUCUGCCUGGACUGGGCUACCUUGAGCCUAUCGCGAAUCAACUUAACUUUCCGUUCAGACUCCUUAAUCAAAUUUGGUCCAAAGAAUUGACGGUCUCCAACUUCGUCCCAUGACAACGGUGUCCUGCACCUCCUUCCGUAUAAAGCUUCGAAAGGUGCCAUCUUCAAACUGGUUUGGUAACUGUUGUUAUAAGAAAACUCCGCAUAGGGCAAGUUAUCAUCCCAACUAGAUCCAUAAUCUAGUGCAAAAGCUCUCAGCAUAUCUUCCAAAAUCUAAUUGACUCUCUCGGUCUGUCCAUCCGUCUACGGAUGAAAAGCUGUGCUGAACUCUAGUCUGGUUCCUAAAGUUUCAUGCAACUGAUUCCAAAACUUUGAAGUAAAUUGAGUUCCUCUAUCUGAUACGAUACUCCUCGGAACUCCAUGCAAACAAAUGAUCCUAGUCAUGUAUAUCUUCGCCUACUUAGGACUGGUGUAAGUGGUCUUAACUGGGAUAAAAUGUGCUACCUUUGUCAAACGAUCAACUACUACCCAUAUCAAAUCAUAGCCUGCCUUUGUCCUGGGUAGUCCCGUGAUAAAAUCCAUGCCUAUCUUAUCCCACUUCCAUUCGGGUAUCGGCAAUGGUUGUAACAAUCCUGCUGGCUUCUGAUGCUCUGCCUUUACUCUCUGACAUACGUCACAAACUGCUACAUAUGCUGCAAUAUCCUUCUUCAUUCCGGUUCACCAGAAUGUUUCCUUCAAAUCCAAAUACAUCUUGGUAUUCCCUGGGUGAAUCGAAUACGGUGAAUCAUGUGCCUCUUGCAAAAUCAACUUCCUGAUCUCCGGGUCGUUUGGCACAUAAACACGGUCCUCAAACCAUAGGGUAUCGUGCUCAUCCUCACGAAAUCCCUUUGCUUUUCCUUCGCUCGGUUUCUCUUUUAUAGUAGCAAUCUCCUUGUCAGAUUUUUGAGCUUCUCUGAUCUUAUCCAUCAAUGUUGACUAAAUCUCCAAUGUUGCUACAUAGCCUCUCGGAACUAUUUCCAAACAUACUCACGAAGAUUUUCUGCUAACUCCUUUGGUAUUUUCCCCGUCAUUAGAGUUUUGACAUGGCUCUUACGGCUCAAUGCGUCAGCUACUACAUUAGCUUUUCCGGGAUGGUAAUGCAACCUCAUGUCAUAAUCCUUGAUGAGCUCCAACCAUCAUCCUUUGUCUGAGGUUCAACUCCUUCUGCGUGAAAAUGUACUUCAAACUCUUGUGAUCCGUGUACACCUCACAAUGAUUUCCAAUGAGGAAAUGUCUCCACGUUUUCAAUGCAUGCACUACGGCUGCUAACUCCAAAUCAUGCGUGGCAUAAUUCAACUCAUGAGGCUUCAGUUGCCGUGAAGCAUACGAAACAACUCUCCCUUUCUGCAUAAGCACUGCUCCAAGUCCUCGACGUGAAGCGUCGCAAUACACCUCAUAAUCCUUGGUCUGAUCUGGCAAAAUCAAUACUGGUGAGGUGACCAAACGUUUCUUCAACUCCUGGAAACUAGCCUCACACUCCUCAGUCCAUUUGAACUUAGUAUCCUUCUUCAACAACUCCGUCAUAGGCUUCGCAAUCUUUGAGAAAUUCUCAAUAAACCUCCGGUAGUAUCCUGCGAGUCCAAGAAAACUCGGGAUCUCUCCAACUGUUGUUGGUGCUUCCCAUUCGGUGACGGUCUCAACCUUUGUGGGGUCAACUGCUAUACCUUCUCCGGAUAUAACGUGUCCGAGGAAUCCAACUUCCUUCAACCAAAACUCACAUUUGCUGAAUUUGGCGUAUAACUGGUGUUCCCUUAGUUUCUCCAAAACCAAAUGCAAAUGUUCCUUAUGCUCCUCUUCAUUCUUUGAAUAAACCAGGAUGUCAUCAAUGAACACUACGACGAACUUAUCCAAAAACUCCAUAAACACUUUGUUCAUCAGGUUCAUAAAAUAGGCAGGUGCGUUAGUCAAUCCAAAUGACAUAACGGUAUACUCAUACAGUCCAUAUCUUGUGGUGAAUGCUAUCUUAGGUAUGUCCUUCUCUCGAAUCUUCAAUUGAUGGUACCCUGAUCGCAAAUCGAUCUUGGAAAACACUUUAGCUCCUUGCAACCGAUCAAACAGAUCGUUGAUCAUUGGCAGUGGGUACUUGUUCUUGAUGGUUACUUCAUUCAAUCCCCGAUAAUCUACAACCAUCCUUAAUGAUCCAUCCUUCUUUUCCACUAGAAGUACGGGUGAUCCCCAAGGCGAAGAACUUGGGCGAAUGUAACCUUUAUCCAAUAACUCCUUAAUCUGAUUCUUAAUUUCCACCAAAUCCUUUGUUGGCAUCCGGUACGGUCGCUUCGAUAUUGGCCUAGUGCCUGGCAAUAGCUCAAUCAAAAACUCAAUGUCUCUAUCCGGUGGCAUGCCUGGCAAUUCCUCAGGAAAUACAUCAGGAAAAUCCUUCACCACUGGUACUUCCUCUUGCACAACUCCUGUUAGGCAGUUUACUUGUGUCCUGUUUGGCACAUGCCGGGAUACAUACUUGAUCCUUCUUCCUUCUGGUGUGGUAAGCAAAACUGUCCUACUGGCGCAAUCGAUGUUUCCUCCAUACAUCGACAACCAAUCCAUACCAAGAAUCACAUCCAAUCCUUGAGAUUCCAAUACUAUUAGGUCUGAGGGAAACACAUAGUUACCAAUCCUUAAUGGUAACCGAUCACACCAUCGUCUAGCCAUAAACUCCGCUCCUGGUGAGCUUACUAACAUGGGUGUCCUAAGGGCUUGGGUUGGCAGGUUAUAUUUAUCCACAAAUCCCCUUGAUAUGUAUGAAUGCGAUGCACCGGUAUCAAAAAGAACGAGUGCAGUAAAUGACUUAACCAGAAACUUACGAUUACUGCAUCAGGCUGAUCUUCAACCUCCUCCACAUUAAUGUGGUUCACCUGUCCCCUAUUGAAAGGGUUCGGUUUCUUCCCAGAGCUUCCAUUGCCACUUCCAUUCUGGCCUUCGGGACAUUCAUUGGCAUAAUGUCCGGUCUUAGAACACUUGAAACAGGUGACUUGACUCAGAUCUCUCUUGGUUGGGGUCGAUGGGGUGGUCCGGUUCUGGCCGUUGCUUCCUCCAUUCCCAUUACCAUUCUUGUGGCCAUUAUGGUUGUGCGAACUACCUCCUCCAUGGGUAUGCUGAAACUAAAAUCCCGGUUUUUGGGUAAAACGGGGCUUCUAUUGGGCUCCAGAAUUAUACUUCCCCUGUCCAUACUUCCUCUUACGGUUCUCAAUCUGCUGUUGCUUUCCUUCAAUCAUGAUGGCACGAUCUACCAACUCCUGGUAGUUGUUGAAACUCGCUACCAUCAACUUCAUGCUUAGUUCAUCAUUCAGUCCUUCCAGAAACUUCUCCUGCUUAGCUGCAUCCGUAGCAACGUCAUCUGGGGCAUAACGCGCUAACUUGCUGAAAUCGUCAACGUACUGCCCAACUAUCCUUCCUCCUUGGCGUAAGUUGCGAAACUCACGCUUCUUCAUGUCCAUAGCUCCUGCUGAAACAUGGGCAGUGCGGAAAGCUUGCUGAAACUGAUCCCAUGUGACAGUGUCAACUGGGUAAGUGGCUGUGAAAUUCUCCCACCAUGCUGCCGCGGGUCCGUCAAGCUGGUGAGCGGCAAACUUCACUUUCUCACCAUCCGUGCAUCCUGCAGUGGUCAACUCCCUUCCUAUCUUGCGGAGCCAAUCGUCUGCUACUAUCGGCUCGGUGCUACUGGAAAACACCGGCGGAUUCAGCCUAAGGAAACGGGCUAAGUGGUCAACAGGUGGUGGUGGUGGUGGGUUGUUGUUGUUUCCCUGAUUCUGAUUCUAAACUAGCAACUGCAUCAAGGUGUUCUGCUGCUGGAUCAACUGGGUGAGCUCCAGCGGAAAGGCAAAUCCGGGGUCACGUCUCGGAGGCAUCUGAGGGUUUAGAAAAGACGAGAAUUAAGAAUAGAGUGAGGUCUAAAGGCAAACACUACCCCAAUGCACAUGAGCAAAUGCACACAAAAUCACUUCAUUCAAUCAAACAAGGGCUUACAAUCGGUCUAACUAUCGCAAAAGUGCUCGAACUAUAAUGUUUACAUGGGGGAAUACUACUAUUAUCUGGUGGUCAUAUAGAAAUUUGAACCGGUGGAAGACUCCAUGAUAUCUGCUCCAGCCUCGUCUUCAAAGUCGGGUUCACUUGGAUCCGAAUCGGUGUCGUCGAUGAUGACGUAGUUGUCCGGACAUGCGACGUACAUGUCUUCCUUCCUGGAUGCUAACUUCCUCUUGAGUUCUUCAAUCUCCUGCUUAAGAUCGCCAGUGUGUCUUGCUAGAGCUACGAUCUCGUCCAUGUAGUCCUUGCGUGUAGACUUCAGUUCUCCUUCUAGCUCGAUGAUCCUUGCCUUUGCAUUCUUCAACUCUAUCAUAUCAUUGCACAUCUGGUUCUUGUGGCAUCGAAUGUGCUGGUUUAACUCCUGGAUGAAAGAUGCAAUGGAUCUAUCCUUCUUGGUGCUGACUAACUCCCAUUGUUCAUCUCGGCGUCCGCAAAUCUGGUAGAUAGUGUCCUUGAGGUCUUCUUGGUAAACUUCUCCAAUGCGUCCUAUGGUGAUAUGAGCUGCUAUGCUCUUUCCCAGACUCCAGGUUGGUGCAUUGAAAACACUAUCUAUAAGCUUCGUGAUUGGCACGAAUGUUCUUCCCGGAACAUGAGCUUGAAUCUUCCAGCGCUCCUCUUCAGGCAGAGUGGCGUUGAAGGUUCCCGUGAAGCUUGGUAAUCCAAUGUUUAAGUACUUGGUGACUUCCUUCAGGUGAAAUCCAAAUGGUGUGCCUUCAUCCGGUUGAGCAUACUUAAUCUUCGCGUUCGUCAUCCUAAAAGAGUAGAAAAGAUGAGGAGUUUAGAAAAUGAGAAGAGAAGGGUGAUCUAUGGCUUUAACUUAGUGGUCGUGUCCUACAGUCAGCGUGUGCUCUGAUACCAUCUCUGUAGCGACCCGACCCGAAUGGAUCAAGUGCUCUGUGCUCAGGUGUCAUCCCUGGAUCAGUAAUGCUGACACCACACAGUACAUCGAAGGAUUUAUAGCAGAGUGGCAAUCACACACUUAUUACAUCAUUGUCUCAAAGAGAACUUUACAAUAAAUAUGGCUUAAGGCCAUCUAAUAAUGAUAACAGCGGAAGACUCGGAAGAUAAAUGGGUCCAUCGACUCCAACGGCAUCACUGAGUAUAGGGCCACGACCUAAAAACACCUUACUCAUCAUCUGAAAAGUCUGCAACAUGAGAAGUUGCAGCCCGAAAACGGGUCAGCACAUGGAAUAUGCUGGCAAUGUAACACAUAGAGAGUAAUGGAAUGAAAUAGCUAUACUAUAUGCAUAUAAGGCUGGUGGAAAGCUUUAUGGUUACAGUUUUGCGUAAAGCCAGUUUUUCCCUACUGCAAAGGAAUAAAUUUGUUUAACUAUCAUGGUAGUUGUUAAACAUCGAGAAUGGUUGACAGCAUUCCGAUCCCAAUUAAGUGAACAGUUAAAAACCAACAACAUUAAUUAGAAGUAACAUGUUGAGAUUCACAUGAUAUUCAAGUACUAGAUACUCAAGUUGUCCAUAACCGGGGACACGGCUAAUCAUGAUUAGUUUGUACACUCUGCAGAGGUUUGCGCACUUUUCUCCACAUGACUCGAUCGCCUCCGUUUGUUUUCUCGCACUACAUGGUGUUUGAGAAACGGAUGACCGAGACAUAGUCUUUCAGAAGCACUAGCACCUUACAUGUGGGGUAGACCGUACCACCUACAACCCCUACAUCUGCUAGUCCACCCCGUAAGAGUUCGCACAACUUAGUCAACUAUGCCAGAGCCUAUAGUAGCAUGUGGCUGCACACAGAAGUUUCUAGCAUGAAUGAUCUUAUGAUCCCUUUGAGCCUGGGUGGCGGUCCAAAAUAAAACAGGCAAGUCCUGAUAGACAUCAGGUGCCUCAAUCCACCCAGAUGUGUGUUUAAGUUGCCACCUUAGAUAAACCAUUAAAAUUAUCAACUCACAUCUGUCAUGGAUAUCACUCACCCAAUCCACGUCUACUAGCAUAGCAUGGCAUAAUAAGCAAAUGUAGAAGUAACUCCCGAAGGUUUCGUAAUAAUACAGGUGAUAGGUACUACCUCAUCUACUUCCCAUCCCACAGUUUAAUUAGAUCCUAAUCAUGCAAUGUGUGAGGAUUGAUCUAAUGCAAUAAAACAUGGGUUGUAGAAAAGGUAUGAUCAAAGUGUUACUUGCCUUGCUGAUGAUCCGCGAGACCUAGGGUUUCGAAGUAACAAGCGGCGCAAUCCGGGUGAUUUAUCGCAAACAAACAACAAGCAUACAAUAAGUACUCAUCUAAUGCACAGGAAAAACUCGAACAAGAGAACGAACCAGAGAAUUCAACUUAAGAACUCCGGUUGCAAAGAAAGAAAGAACCGAACAAGGAAACGGAAAACUAAAAGGCGGAAGAAAACAACUCGGUUCUAGCAAGUUGAAACUAGGUCAAAUUUUACCGGGGCAAAAACUUCUUUAGGUUGAUUAGACGGAACGGCGGUUUCGAAACGAAACUCCAGGCGCUUGAAUCACCUGAUUCCGAUAAACGAGUGAGAAGAAAGACUAGAACGAAGAUCGGAUCUGAGAUCGCGAUCACGGAAUAAAUCCGACGAAAAGAAAGAGACGAACGGUUAAACGAACGGGCAUCGUUAACCGGGGAAUAAUCGGUGAUCACGUUCGUUGAGAUGAACGGUCCAAAAUAAGAACGAAAAUCGAUCUAGGGUUUUCGGAAAAGAAACCGAAAAAGAAAUGGAAAACCGAUCUAGGGUUUCGGAAGAAAACUGAAACAAAAUCGGAAGAAAAAGAAAAGAAUCGGAGAGAAAACGGAAUGGUUCUUUUAGGAAAAACCGGACCGGGGAAGAAAAAAGAGGCGCGGCGCGGGGCUACCUCCGGCGAGGCGGAACUCCGACGGCGGCGAGGCAAGAGCGGCGGCGGCGGCUAUAGGUGCGGGGUGGCGGGUGAGGGGCGCGGGGUGGGGCUGCGCGCUGCUGCUUGCUGCGGCUUAGGAGGAGAGGGGCUUGGGGUUUUGAUUUGAUGUUUUGGAGGGGGGUGUUGGUAUUUAUAUAGGUGAGGGGAGGGGGUUUCUUGGGGUAGGGGACAAGAAAUAGAGUAGGAAAAGGAAAACGAAACAAAGGAAAGAGGGCUAGAACCGGCCUUGAGUCCCUUUGGGACUCAGCCUGGGUGAGGGGAGGCGGCGGCUGGCGCCUGGCGCCUGGCGCGCAGCGCUGCUGGGGGCGGCGGCUGGCUGGGCCUUUGGCCCGGCUGGCCUGCGGGAGUUCCCUUUUUUUAAAUCGGUUACGCGCGCAGAAAAACAAAAGAAAAACUAUCUAAACGAACUCCGAAAAUUACUAAAGUAAAUUUUCCCCGACUCCUAAAAAUGAGCCGAACAAAAUGAACUUUACUCCGGGCCUAAAAUGCAAUUUUCGAAAACGCGCAUUUUUCCCUAUCCAAAUAAAAAGCAAACAAAACUCCGGCAAAACCAAAAUUUGAUUUAUUCAUUAGAUCUUCAUUUUUCCUAACUUUGGGAAAGUCAUAUUAUUCCCUCUCUCAUAUUGUGAUAUUGGGAAAAAUAAUUGAAGAUGAAAUAAAAUAAAUCAAAUGAUCCUCUUUUCAAAAUUUGAGAAAACUCAAAUAUGAAAAUAACGAAAUCUCCAACUCUCUCCGAGGGUCCUUGAGUUGCGUGAAAUUUCUAGGAUCGGGCAAAAUGCAAGAAAAUAUGACAUGCAUGAUGAUCUAAUGUAUAACAUUCCAAAUUGAAAAUUUGGGAUGUUACAAACCUACCCCCCUUAAAAUGAAUCUCGCCCUCGAGAUUCGGGUUGGCUAGAAAAUAGGCGAGGGUGGUCCUUGAGCAAAUCUUCUUCUCUCUCCCAGGUGGCUUCAUCCUCUGAGUGGUGGUUCCACUGAACUUUGCAAAAUUUGAUAACCUUGCUGCGAGUAACUCUGCUGGCAUAAUCGAGAAUCUUGACUGGCUUCUCCUCAUAUGUCAAGUCAUCCUCCAACUGAAUCGCUUCGAGUGGCAUGGUAUCUCUUAGCGGUACCUCUGCCAUCUCGGCAUGACAUUUCUUAAGCUGAGAAACAUGGAAUACAUCAUGAACUCCUGACAGUCCCUCUGGUAAUUCCAACUUAUAAGCGACUUCUCCCAUACGUUGCAAGAUCUUGUACGGUCCAACGAAACGCGGUGCUAACUUUCCCUUAACUCCAAAGCGCUUAACUCCUCGAAGUGGGGAUACUCGGAGAUAAACUCUGUCUCCGGUUUCGUAAACUGUCUCCUUGCGUUUAGAAUAUGCGUAGCUCUUCUGCCUGGACUGGGCUACCUUGAGCCUAUCGCGAAUCAACUUAACUUUUCGUUCAGACUCCUUAAUCAAAUCUGGUCCAAAGAAUUGACGGUCUCCAACUUCGUCCCAUGACAACGGUGUCCUGCACCUCCUUCCGUAUAAAGCUUCGAAAGGUGCCAUCUUCAAACUGGUUUGGUAACUGUUGUUAUAAGAAAACUCCGCAUACGGCAAGUUAUCGUCCCAACUACAUCCAUAAUCUAGUGCACAAGCUCUCAGCAUAUCUUCCAAAAUCUGAUUGACUCUCUCGGUCUGUCCAUCCGUCUGCGGAUGAAAAGCUGUGCUGAACUCUAGUCUGGUUCCUAAAGUUUCAUGCAACUGAUUCCAAAACUUUGAAGUAAAUUGAGUUCCUCUAUCUGAUACGAUACUCCUCGGAACUCCAUGCAAACAAAUGAUCCUAGUCAUGUAUAUCUUCGCCAACUUAGCACUGGUGUAAGUGGUCUUAACUGGGAUAAAAUGUGCUACCUUUGUCAAACGAUCAACUACUACCCAUAUCGAAUCAUAGCCUGCCUUUGUCCUGGGUAGUCCCGUGAUAAAAUCCAUGCCUAUCUUAUCCCACUUCCAUUCGGGUAUCAGCAAUGGUUGUAACAAUCCUGCUGGCUUCUGAUGCUCUGCCUUUACUCUCUGACAUACGUCACAAACUGCUACAUAUGCUGCAAUAUCCUUCUUCAUUCCGGUCCACCAGAAUGUUUCCUUCAAAUCCAAAUACAUCUUGGUAUUCCCUGGGUGAAUCGAAUACGGUGAAUCAUGUGCCUCUUGCAAAAUCAACUUCCUGAUCUCCGGGUCAUUUGGCACAUAAACACGGUCCUCAAACCAUAGGGUAUCGUGCUCAUCCUCACGAAAUCCCUUUGCUUUUCCUUCGCUCAGUUUCUCUUUUAUAGCAGCAAUCUCCUUGUCAGAUUUCUGAGCUUCUCUGAUCUUAUACAUCAAUGUUGACUGAAUCUCCAAUGUUGCUACAUAGCCUCUCGGAACUAUUUCCAAAAAUAGCUCACGAAGAUUUUUUACUAACUCCUUUGGUAUUUUCCCCGUCAUUAGAGUUUUGACAUGGCUCUUACGGCUCAAUGCGUCAGCUACUACAUUAGCUUUUCCGGGAUGGUAAUGCAACCUCAUGUCAUAAUCCUUGAUGAGCUCCAACCAUCAUCCUUUGUCUAAGGUUCAACUCCUUCUGCGUGAAAAUGUACUUCAAACUCUUGUGAUCCGUGUACACCUCACAAUGAUUUCCAAUGAGGAAAUGUCUCCACGUUUUCAAUGCAUGCACUACGGCUGCUAACUCCAAAUUAUGCGUGGCAUAAUUCAACUCAUGAGGCUUCAGUUGCUGUGAAGCAUACGAAACAACUCUCCCUUCCUGCAUAAGCACUGCUCCAAGUCCUCGACGUGAAGCGUCGCAAUACACCUCAUAAUCCUUGGUCUGAUCUGGCAAAAUCAAUACUGGUGAGGUGACCAAACGUUUCUUCAACUCCUGGAAACUAGCCUCACACUCCUCAGUCCAUUUGAACUUAGUAUCCUUCUUCAACAACUCCGUCAUAGGCUUCGCAAUCUUUGAGAAAUUCUCAAUAAACCUCCGGUAGUAUCCUGCGAGUCCAAGAAAACUCUGGAUCUCUCCAACUGUUGUUGGUGCUUCCCAUUCAGUUACGGUCUCAACCUUUGUGGGGUCAACUACUAUACCUUCUCCGGAUAUAACGUGUCCGAGGAAUCCAACUUCCUUCAACCAAAACUCACAUUUGCUGAAUUUGGCGUAUAACUGGUGUUCCCUUAGUUUCUCCAAAACCAAACGCAAAUGUUCCUUAUGCUCCUCUUCAUUCGUUGAAUAAACCAGGAUGUCAUCAAUGAACACUGCGACGAACUUAUCCAAAAACUCCAUAAACACUUUGUUCAUCAGGUUCAUAAAAUAGGCAGGUGCGUUAGUCAAUCCAAAUGACAUAACGGUAUACUCAUAUAGUCCAUAUCUUGUGGUGAAUGUUGUCUUAGGUAUGUCCUGCUCUCGAAUCUUCAAUUGAUGGUACCCUGAAAGCAAAUCGAUCUUGGAAAACACUUUAGCUCCUUGCAACCGAUCAAACAGAUCGUUGAUCAUUGGCAGUGGGUACUUGUUCUUGAUGGUUACUUCAUUCAAUCCCCGAUAAUCUACAACCAUCCUUAAUGAUCCAUCCUUCUUUUCCACUAGAAGUACGGGUGAUCCCCAAGGCGAAGAACUUGGGCGAAUGUAACCUUUAUCCAAUAACUCCUUAAUCUGAUUCUUAAUUUCCACCAAAUCCUUUGCUGGCAUCCGGUACGGUCGCUUCGAUAUUGGCCCAGUGCCUGGCAAUAGCUCAAUCAAAAACUCAAUGUCUCUAUCUGGUGGCAUGCCUGGCAAUUCCUCAGGAAAUACAUCAGGAAAAUCCUUCACCACUGGUACUUCCUCUUGCACAACUCCUGUUAGGCAGUUUACUUGUGUCCUGUUUGGCACAUGCCGGGAUACAUACUUGAUCCUUCUUCCUUCUGGUGUGGUAAGCAAAACUGUACUACUGGCGCAAUCGAUGUUUCCUCCAUACAUCGACAGCCAAUCCAUACCAAGAAUCACAUCCAAUCCUUGAGAUUCCAAUACUAUUAGGUCUGAGGGAAACACAUAGUUACCAAUCCUUAAUGGUAACCGAUCACACCAUCGUCUAGCCACAAACUCCGCUCCUGGUGAGCUUACUAACAUGGGUGUCCUAAGGGCUUGGGUUGGCAGGUUAUAUUUAUCCACAAAUCCCCUUGAUAUGUAUGAAUGCAAUGCACCGGUAUCAAAAAGAACGAGUGCAGUAAAUGACUUAACCAGAAACUUACCGGUUACUGCAUCAGGAUGAUCUUCAACCUCCUCCACAUUAAUGUGGUUCACCUGUCCCCUAUUGAAAGGGUUCGGUUUCUUCCCACAGGUUCCAUUGCCAUUUCCAUUCUGGCCUUCGGGACAUUCAUUGGCAUAAUGUCCGGUCUUAGAACACUUGAAACAGGUGACUUGACUCAGAUCUCUCUUGGUUGGGGUCGAUGGGGUGGUCCGGUUCUGGCCGUUGCUUCCUCCAUUCCCAUUACCAUUCUUGUGGCCAUUAUGGUUGUGCGAACUACCUCCUCCAUGGGUAUGCUGAAACUGAAAUCCCGGUUUUGGGGUAAAACGAGGCUUCUGCUGGGCUCCAGAAUUAUACUUCCCCUGUCCAUACUUCCUCUUACGGUUCUCAAUCUGCUGUUGCUUUCCUUCAAUCAUGAUGGCACGAUCUACCAACUCCUGGUAGUUGUUGAAACUCGCUACCAUCAACUUCAUGCUUAGUUCAUCAUUCAGUCCUUCCAGAAACUUCUCCUGCUUAGCUGCAUCUGUAGCAACGUCAUCUGGGGCAUAACGCGCUAACUUGCUGAAAUUGUCAACGUACUGGCCAACUGUCCUUCCUCCUUGGCGUAAGUUGCGAAACUCACGCUUCUUCAUGGCCAUAGCUCCUGCUGAAACAUGGGCAGUGCGGAAAGCUUGCUGAAACUGAUCCCAUGUGACAGUGUCAACUGGGUAAGUGGCUGUGAAAUUCUCCCACCAUGCUGCCGCGGGUCCGUCAAGCUGGUGAGCGGCAAACUUCACUUUCUCACCAUCCGUGCAUCCUGCAGUGGUCAACUCCCUUCCUAUCUUGCGGAGCCAAUCGUCUGCUACUAUCGGCUCGGUGCUACUGGAAAACACCGGCGGAUUCAGCCUAAGGAAACGGGCUAAGUAGUCAACAGGUGGUGGUGGUGGUGGGUUGUUGUUGUUUCCCUGAUUCUGAUUCUAAACUAGCAACUGCAUCAAGGUGUUCUGCUGCUGGAUCAACUGGGUGAGCUCCGGCGGAAAGGCAAAUCCGGGGUCACGUCUCGGAGGCAUCUGAGGGUUUAGAAAAGACGAGAAUUAAGAAUAGAGUGAGGUCUAAAGGGAAAACACUACCCCAAUGCACAUGAGCAAAUGCACACAAAAUCACUUCAUUCAAUCAAACAAGGGCUUACAAUCGGUCUAACUAUCGCAAAAGUGCUCGAACUAUAAUGUUUACAUGGGGGAAUACUACUAUUAUCUGGUGGUCAUCUACAAAUUUGAACCGGUGGAAGACUCCAUGAUAUCUGCUCCAGCUUCGUCUUCAAAGUCGGGUUCACUUGGAUCCGAAUCGGUGUCGUCGAUGAUGACGUAGUUGUCCGGACAUGCGACGUACAUGUCUUCCUUCCUGGAUGCUAACUUCCUCUUGAGUUCUUCAAUCUCUUGCUUAAGAUCGCCAGUGUGUCUUGCUAGAGCUACGAUCUCUUCCAUGUAGUCUUUGCGUGUAGACUUCAGUUCUCCUUCUAGCUCGAUGAUCCUUGCCUUUGCAUUCUUCAACUCUAUCAUAUCAUUGCACAUCUGGUUCUUGUGGCGUCGAAUGUGCUGGUUUAACUCCUGGAUGAAAGAUGCAAUGGAUCUAUCCUUCUUGGUGCUAACUAACUCCCAUUGUUCAUCUCGGCGUCCGCAAAUCUGGUAGAUAGUGUCCUUGAGGUCUUCUUGGUAAACUUCUCCAAUGCGUCCUAUGGUGAUACGAGCUGCCAUGCUCUUUCCCACACUCCAGGUUGGUGCAUUGAAAACACUAUCUAUAGGCUUCGUGAUUGACGCGAAUGUUUUUCCCGGAACAUGAGCUUGAAUCUUCCAGCGCUCCUCUUCAGGCAGAGUGGCGUUGAAGGUUCCCAUGAAGCUUGGUAAUCCAAUGUUUAGGUACUUGGUGACUUCCUUCAGGUGAAAUCCAAAUGGUGUGCCUUCAUCCGGUUGAGCAUACUUAAUCUUCGCGUUCGUCAUCCUAAAAGAGUAGAAAAGAUGAGGAGUUUAGAAAAUGAGAAGAGAAGGGUGAUCUAUGGCUUUAACUUAGUGGUCGUGUCCUACAGUCAGCGUGUGCUCUGAUACCAUCUCUGUAGCGACCCGACCUGAAUGGAUCAAGUGCUCUGUGCUCAGGUGUCAUCCCUGGAUCAGUAAUGCUGACACCACACAGUACAUCGAAGGAUUUAUAGCAGAGUGGCAAUCACACACUUAUUACAUCGUUGUCUCAAAGAGAACUUUACAAUAAAUAUGGCUUAAGGCCAUCUAAUAAUGAUUACAGUGGAAGACUCGGAAGAUAAAUGGGUCCAUCAACUCCAACGGCAUCACUGAGUAUAGGGCCACGACCUAAAAACACCUUACUCGUCGUCUGAAAAGUCUGCAACAUGAGAAGUUGCAGCCCGAAAACGGGUCAGCACAUGGAAUAUGCUGGCAAUGUAACACAUAGAGAGUAAUGGAAUGAAACAGCUAUACUAUAUGCAUAUAAGGCUGGUGGAAAGCUCUAUGGUUACAGUUUUGCGUAAAGCCAGUUUUUCCCUACUGCAAAGGAAUAAAUUUGUUUAACUAUCAUGGUAGUUGUUAAACAUCGAGAAUGGUUGACAGCAUUCCGAUCCCAAUUAAGUGAACAGUUAAAACCCAACAACAUUAAUUAGAAGUAACAUGUUGAGAUUCACAUGAUAUUCAAGUACUAGAUACUCAAGUUGUCCAUAACCGGGGACACGGCUAAUCAUGAUUAGUUUGUACACUCUGCAGAGGUUUGCGCACUUUUCCCCACAUGACUCGAUCGCCUCCGUUUGUUUUCUCGCACUACAUGGUGUUUGAGAAACGGAUGACCGAGACAUAGUCUUUCAGAAGCACUAGCACCUUACAUGUGGGGUAGACCGUACCACCUACAACCCCUACAUCUGCUAGUCCACCCUGUAAGAGUUCGCACAACUUAGUCAACUAUGCCAGAGCCCAUAGUAGCAUGUGGCUGCACACGGAAGUUUCUAGCAUGAAUGAUCUUAUGAUCCCUUUGAGCCUGGGUGGCGGUCCAAAAUAAAACAGGCAAGUCCUGAUAGACAUCAGGUGCCUCAAUCCACCCAGAUGUGUGUUUAAGUUGCCACCUUAGAUAAACCAUUAAAAUUAUCAACUCACAUCUGUCAUGGAUAUCACUCACCCAAUCCACGUCUACUAGCAUAGCAUGGCAUAAUAAGCAAACGUAGAAGUAACUCCCAAAGGUUUCAUAAUAAUACAGGUGAUAGGUACUACCUCAUCUACUUCCCAUCCCACAGUUUAAUUAGAUCCUAAUCAUGCAAUGUGUGAGGAUUGAUCUAAUGCAAUAAAACAUGGGUUGUAGAAAAGGUAUGAUCAAAGUGUUACUUGCCUUGCUGAUGAUCCGCGAGACCUAGGGUUUCGAAGUAACAAGCGGCGCAAUCCGGGUGAUCUAUCACAGACAAACAACAAGCAUACAAUAAGUACUCAUCUAAUGCACAGGUAAAACUCGAACAAGAGAACGAACCAGAAAAUUCAACUUAAGAACUCCGGUUGCAAAGAAAGAAAGAACCGAACAAGGAAACGGAAAAUAAAAGGCGGAAGAAAACAACUCGGUUCUAGCAAGUUGAAACUAGGUCAAAUUUUACCGGGGCAAAAACUUGUUUAGGUUGAUUAGACGGAACGGCGGUUUCGAAAUGAAACUCCAGGCGCUUGAAUCACCUGAUUCCGAUAAACAAGCGAGAAGAAAGACUAGAACGAAGAUCGAAUCUGAGAUCGCGAUCGCGGAAUAAAUCCGACGAAAAGAAAGAGACGAACGGUUAAACGAACGGGCGUCGUUAAUCGAGGAAUAAUCGGUGAUCACGUUCGUUGAGACGAACGGUCCAAAAGAAGAUCGAAAACCGAUCUAGGGUUUUCGGAAAAGAAACCGAAAAAGAAACGGAAAACCCAUCUAGGGUUUCGGAAGAAAACCGAAACAAAACCAGAAGAAAAAGAAAAGAAUCGGAGAGAAAACGGAACGGUUCUUUUAGGAAAAACCUGACCGGGGAAGAAAAAAGAGGUGCGGCGCGGGGCUACCUCCGGCGAGGCGGAACUCCGAUGGCGGCGAGGCAAGAGCGGCGACGGCGGCUAUAGGCGCGGGGCGGCGGGUGAGGGGCGCGGGGUGGGGCUGCGUGCUGCUGCUUGCUGCGGCUUAGGAGGAGAGGGGCUUGGGGUUUUGAUUUGAUGUUUUGGAGGGGGGUGUUGGUAUUUAUAUAGGUGAGGGGAGGGGGUUUCUUGGGGUAGGGGACAAGAAAUAGAGUAGGAAAAGGAAAACGAAACAAAGGAAAGAGGGCUAGAACCAGCCUUGAGUCCCUCUGGGACUCGGCCUGGGCGAGGGAAGGCGGCGGCUGGGGCCUGGCGCCUGGCGCGCAGCGCUGCUGGGGGCGGCGGCUGGCUGGGCCUUUGGCCCGGCUGGCCUGCGGGAGUUCCCUUUUUUUUAAAUCGGUUACGCGCGCAGAAAAACAAAAGAAAAACUAUCUAAACGAACUCCGAAAAUUACUAAAGUAAAUUUUCCCCGACUCCUAAAAAUGAGCCGAACAAAAUGAACUUUACUCCGGGCCUAAAAUGCAAUUUUCGAAAACGCGCAUUUUUCCCUAUCCAAAUAAAAAGCAAACAAAACUCCGGCGAAACCAAAAUUUGAUUUAUUCAUUAGAUCUUCAUUUUUCCUAACUUUGGGAAAGUCAUAUUAUUCCCUCUCUCAUAUUGUGAUAUUGGGAAAAAUAAUUGAAGAUGAAAUAAAAUAAAUCAAAUGAUCCUCUUUUCAAAAUUUGAGAAAACUCAAAUAUGAAAAUAACGAAAUCUCCAACUCUCUCCGAGGGUCCUUGAGUUGCGUGAAAUUUCUAGGAUCGGGCAAAAUGCAAGAAAAUAUGACAUGCAUGAUGAUCUAAUGUAUAACAUUCCAAAUUGAAAAUUUGGGAUGUUACAAGAAAUAUAUGAGACCUCCGAUUGACGUUUCUGGGUUGGAGUGUUCGGUAAACCGGCUGAAGUAACUACAUGGCCACUGUGUCGGGUUGUGCGGCGAGCUUCAUGCUGCUAUUUCUUCAAAAGAAAGUUGGGAUCCAGAUAAGCUAGAGGGUGUGAAAAUUUUACUUUCAAGUUUGCUUGACGGUUUUUCUGUUUUGGCUGAGGAUCUGAACCGAAGGAAAGAAUAAUUACCUCUACAUCUUCAUCCCGGCUAGCUUUAGCGUCCUCCUGAUAUGGGUCAUUGUCAAUGAGGUGUAUAAAAAAUGAACCAAGAGAAUCAAGUUCUACCUAUGAGUCCAGAUUAUCAAGAUCCUCGUCGAGGUUCAGCCCGGUGGAUUCAGUUGUUUUCUUCUUAGCAGGUUUUUUGAUGACCUCUGUCUUGGGACGAGGGUUCUUGGCCGGUUUAUCCUAAGGUUUCUUCUUCCAAAAUGGGUCGUCACCCUGUUAAAAGAUUGACAAAGGUUAUAAGAAAAAGUUAAGAAUAUCAGGUACAAACAGGAGUUAGGCAAAUUCUUAUAGCUGGCGGUUUAUUCAAAACGCAGAAGGGACUUAGCCCUAUUUUGCUGCAGACAGCCACCGAUUCAUCCAGUAUCUUUUUAACAGCUUCAGUGAUUUCAACGUCCGUUAACUGAAUUUCAGUGUGUCGUCGAGGAUCUUUUGAGUCCCCUGUGUACUCGCACAUUAAACUGGGGCGACGGCUUAAAGGCAAAAUACUCCAAGAUAUCCAGCAAUGAACAAAUAGUAAAGAUCAAAUAGGACAGUUUGAGAAUUGCGUGAUGAUGUAAAUUUAAACCUUCUCACAAAUGAAUCAGUUAGGUAGUAGUACUGAGGGCACUUAUCUGCCAAGAAGCUCUCAAGAUCAGCGUUACGCACAUAUGCUUCAAAUUCCUCCUUAAUUCCUGCCUGAACCAUGAAGUCCUCUAACGACCAUUCACAAGGCCGCACUUGAGCAUCUCUUGGUAGUUCAUUGUCCGGCUCGUGUAUUGCGGGCCUUGGGCCUUGCUUCCUUGAGGAACCACCUUGGUACAUUUUCCUAAACAUAUUUCUUCCUCUGAAAAAUUUCUAAAUUUUUUAGUAACUUAAAAAUAAAAGUGAACCAAACUCAACAAAAUUGAUAGCAACUACUCCUACAAGUGCCUAGAGGCUAUAUCAUGCAUUAAAACUACUUUUGACCACAUAAAUUUGACAUGCAAGCUCAAGAACAGGGUCACCUAAGCAGCAAAAUUUUGCAAUGAAUAAGGCACUAGAACAAAAACUAAUUGGACCAUUGGAGGAGUCACAUACCGAAGAACAAUCCCUCAAAUCAGUUUUGUGAAUGGAGCUUUUGAGUAAGGAGAUCGAAAAUGGCAGCAAGAUGAGCAAGAACUCGGGUUUGAGCUGGCUAGUGAUUUUUCUGGAGCAAGACGAAGUGUGUGGGUGUAAGGAUAAGUGGAGGGGACCCACGUGGGGUCCACGAGGCAAGGGGCGCGCCCUCCACCCUCAUGGGCACGUGGCUGCUCCCCCUGUUGUGUUCUUAGUGCCUAAAAUCCUUAAAUAUUCUGGAAAAAAUCAUAUUUCAUUUUCACGGCAUUUGGAGAACUUUUAUUUUCGGGGUAUUUUUUAUUGCAAGGAUAAUUUAGAAAACAGACAGAAAAUACUAUUUUUUCUUUAUUUAAUAUAAAUAACAGAAAGUAAAAAGAGGGUACAGAGAGUUGUGUUUUCUAAAUUCAUCCAUCUCAUGCUCAUCAAAAGGAAUCGACUAACAAGGUUGACCAAGUCUUGUUAACAAACUCAUUUCGAAUAACAUGAAACCGGAGAAUUUUCGAAUAACACUAGGUUACCUCAAUGGGGAUAUGCACAUCCCCAACAAUAAGAAUAUCAUAUUUCUUCUUGACAGUAGGAAGAGGAAAUUCAAAACCUCCAAUAGUAACUGUUGAAAUUUUUCCAAUAGAAUUGAUACUUUGGACUUGAGGUUAUUUCCUCGGAAAGUGUACCAUAUGCUCAUUACCAUUAACAUGAAAAGUGACAUUGCCUUUAUUGCAAUCAAUAACAGCCCCUGCAAUAUUCAAAAAGGGUCUACCAAGGAUAAUCGACAUACUAUCGUCCUCGGGAAUAUCAAGAAUAACAAAGUCCAUUAAAAUAGUAACGUUUGCAACCACAACAGGCACAUACUCACAAAUACCGACAGCUAUUGCAGUUGAUUUAUCAGCCAUUUGCAAAGAUAUUUCAGUAGGUGUCAACUUAUUCAAAUCAAGUCUACGAUAUAAAGAGAGAGGAAUAACACUAACACCAGCUCCAAGAUCACAUAAAGCAGUUUUAACAUAGUUUCUUUUAAUAGAGCAUGGUAUAGUUGGUACUCCGGGAUCUCCUAGUUUCUUUGGUAUUCCACCCUUAAAAGUGUAAUGAGAAAGCAUGGUGGAAAUUUCAGCCUCUGGUAUCUUUCUUUUAUUUGUAACAAUAUCUUUCAUGUAUUUAGCAUAAGGGUUCAUUUUAAGCAUAUCAGUCAAACGCAUAUGCAAAAAGAUAGGUCUAAUCAUUUCAGCAAAGCGCUCAAAAUCCUCAUCAUCCUUUUUCUUGGAUGGUCUAGGAGGAAAAGGCAUGGGUUUCUGAACCCAUGGUUCUCUUUCUUUACUGUGUUUCCUAGCAAUGAAGUCUCUCUUAUCAUAACAUUGAUUCUUUGAUUGUGGGUUAUCAAGAUCAAUGGCAGGUUCAAUCUCUACAUCAUUAUCAUUGCUAGGUUGAGCAUCAACAUGAACAUCAUCAUUAACAUUAUCACUAGGUUCAUGUUCAUUAUCAGAUUGUGUUUCAGCAUCAGAAAUAGAAAUAUCAUUGGGAUUCUCAGGUGUGUCAACAACAGGUUCACUAGAAGCAUGCAAAGUCCUAUCAUUUUUCUUUUUCUUCUUCUUAGAAGACUAGGUGCAUCAAUAUUAGUUCUCUGAGAAUCUUGCUCAAUCCUCUUGGGAUGGCCCUUAAGAUACAAAGGUUCCUGAGUCAUUUCACCCCCUCUAGUCAUAACUCUAACAACAUUAUCAUUCUUCUUAUUAUUUAAUUCAUUGAGCAAAUCAUUCUGAGCCUUAAGUACUUGUUCUACUUGAGUGGUAACCAUAGAAGCAUGUUUACUAAUAAGUUUAAGUUCACCUUUAACUCUAGACAUAUAAUCACUCAAGUGUUCAAGCAUAUCAGCAUUGUGUUUUAAUUGUCUACCAACAUAAGCAUUGAAGUUUUCUUGUUUAACAAUAAAAUUAUCAAACUCAUCUAAGCAUUGGCUAGCAGACUUAUAACGAGGAAUAUCACCUUCAUCAAAUCUAUAGAGAGAAUUUACCUUUACUACCUGUGUCGGGUUAUCAAGACCAUGUAUUUCUUCAAUAGGUGGUAAAUUCUUAACAUCUUCAUCUUUAAUACCUUUUUAUUUCAUAGAUUUUUUGCCUCUUGCAUAUCUUCAGGACUGAGAAAUAGAAUACCCCUUUUCUUCGGAGUUGGCUUAGGAGUUGGUUCAGGAAGUGUCCAAUCAUUUUCAUUACUCAACAUAUUAUUCAAUAGCAAUUCAGCUUGAUCAACAGUUCUUUCCCUGAAAACACAACCAACACAACUAUCCAUGUGGUCUCUGGAAACAUCAGUUAGUCCAUUAUAAAAGAUAUCAAGUAUUUCAUUUUUCUUAAGAGGAUGAUCAGGCAAAGCAUUAAGUAAUCGAGAAGCCUCCCCCAAGCUUGUGGGAGACUCUCUUCAAUUUGCACAAAAUUAUAUAUUUCCCUUAAGGCAGCUUGUUUCUUAUGAGUAUUUAGCAGAGAAGUAAUAAAUCAUAUCAUGGGGACUACGCACACAACUAGGAUCAAGAGAAUUAAACCAUGUUUUAGCAUCACCCUUUAAUGAGAAUGGAAACAACUUAAGGAUAAAGUAAUAGCAAGUUUUCUCAUCAUUAGUGAACAGGGUGGCUAUAUCAUUUAAUUUAGUAAGAUGUGCCACAACAGUUUCAGAUUCAUAGCCAUAUAAAGGACCAGAUUCAACCAAAGUAAUUAACUUAGGAUCGACAGAGAAAUCAUAAUCCUUAUCAGUAAUAAAGAUAGGUGAAGUAGCAAAAGCAGGGUCAUAUUUCAUUCUAGCAUUCAAAGACUUUUCUUUAAGCUUAGCUAAUAAUUUCUUAAGAUCAGAUCUAUCAUUGCAAGCUAAGAAGUCUCUAGCAGUUUCUUCAUCCAUAACAUAACCCUCGGGCACAAUAGGCAAUUCAUAUCUAGGUGGAGAAUCUUCAUCAUCACUUUCAUCAAUAUUAUCAGUUUCAAUAAUUUCAUUCUCUCUAACCCUAGCAAGUUGUUCAUCAAGAAAUUCACCUAGUGGCAUAGUAGUAUCAAGCAUAGAAGUAAUUUCAUCAUAAGUAUCAUGCAAAGCAGAAGUGGCAUCAUCAAUAACAUGCGACAUAUCAGAUGAAUAGCAGGAGUAGGUGUCGCAAGUUUACUCAAAAUAGAAGGUGAAUCAAGUUCAGAGCUAGAUGGCAGUUCCUUACCUCCCCUCGUAGUUGAGGGAAAAAUCUUGGUUCUUUGAUGUUUCAAGUUCUUAAUAAUUAUAUGCAGAUAUAAAUCCCAAGUGACUCAAAGAAUAUAGCUAUGCUCCCCGGUAACAGCGCCAGAAAAUAGUCUUGAUAACCCACAAGUAUAGGGGAUCGCAACAGUUUUCGAGGGUAGAGUAUUCAACCCAAAUUUAUUGAUUCGACACAAGGGGAGCCAAAGAAUAUUCUCAAGUAUUAGCAGCUGAGUUGUCAAUUCAACCACACCUGGAAACUUAAUAUCUGCAGUAGAGUAUUUAGUAGCAAAGUAAUAUGAUAGUAGUGGUAAUGGUAGCAAAAGUAAUGGUAGGAGUUUUGGUUUUAUAGUGAUUGUAACAGUAGCAAUGGAAAAGUAAAUAAGCGAAGAUCAAUAUAUGAAAAGCUCGUGGGCAUUGGAUCGGUGAUGGAUAAUUCAAUCAUGCAACAGUUAUAACAUAGGGUGACAUAUAAAUAGAUUUAGUUCAUCAAUGUAAUGUAGGCAUGUAUUCCGAAUAUAGUCAUACGUGCUUAUGGAAAAGAACUUGCAUGACAUCUUUUGUCCCACCCUCCCGUGGCAGCGGGGUCCUAUUGGAAACUAAGGGAUAUUAAUGCCUCCUUUUAAUAGAGUACCGGACCAAAGCAUUAACACAUAGUGAAUACAUGAACUCCUCAAACUACGGUCAUCACCAGUAAGUAUCCCGGUUAUUGUCACUUCGGGGUUAAUGGAUCAUAACACAUAAUAUGUGACUAUAGACUUGCAAGAUAGUAUCAAGAACUCACAUAUAUUCAUGAAAACAUAAUAGGUUCAGAUCUGAAAUCAUAGCACUCGGGCCCUAGUGACAAGCAUUAAGCAUAGCAAAGUCAUAGCAACAUCAAUCUCAUAACAUAGUGGAUACUAGGGAUCAAACCCUAACAAAACUAACUCGAUUACAUGAUAAAUCUCAUCUAGCCCAUCACCGUCCAGCAAGCCUAUGAUGGAAUUACUCACGCACGGCGGUGAGCAUCAUGAAAUUGGUGAUGGAGGAAGGUUGAUGAUGAUGGUGGCAACGGAUUCCCCUCUUCGGAGCCCCGAACGGACUCCAGAUCAGCCCUCCCGGGAGAGAUUAGGGCUUGGCGGCGGUUGCGUAUCGUAAAAGGUGAUGAAUCCUUCUCUCUGAUUUUUUUCUCCCCGAAAGUGUAUAUAUGGAGUCAAGAUGGACGUCGGUGGAGCAUCAGGGGGCCCACGAGGCGCCCCCACCCUCGUGGACAAGGUGUGGGCCCCCUGACGUGGAUUCUUCUUCCAGUAUUUUUUAUAUAUUUCAAAAAUAAUCUUCAUUGAUUUUUAGGUCAUUCCGAGAACUUUUAUUUCUGCACAAAAAUAACACCAUGGCAAUUUUGCUGAAAACAGCGUCAGUCCGGGUUAGUUCCAUUCAAAUCAUGCAAGUUAGAGUCCAAAACAAGGGCAAAAGUGUUUGGAAAAGUAGAUACGACGGAGUCGUAUCACCCGCCCGGUCGGAGGAGCAGGAAGCGACCGGGGGAGGGGGAUUGGGUCGGCCUACUGGGAUGGGCCGAAGCCUAAGGGGAGGCCAGGGGCAUUCUCUCUCUCCUUUGAGUUUCCUUUUUAUUUUUUAUUUUUUUUUGUUUCUCUUUUUCUACCAGCUUUUGCAUUUUAUUUUGCCACAAAUGACUUUGCAAAAAUAUGCCACUAGCCAAAACAAAUUCAAAGAAGUACUGUGCACUGCCACAAAAAUGUUGGGAAUGUUUUGAAUCCCUUUGGAUUUAUUCAAAAAGAAUAGGGCAUUUUGAAAGGCUGUUUUGGCUCUAUUAAAAAGCAUUAGGCCCAUUUAGAGUUGGUGAUGAUGUUGUGUUCCUUAACAACAAAUAGUUUUGGAUUAUUUGCUAAAAGGUGAACAUUUUUCCAACAAGUUUUGAUCAACUUCAUUUUGCACUUUGAAGUUGAAUGGAAUUCCAAAGAAGGAAUUUGAAAUGAGAUAUUAUCCCAACAUGAUUAUCAUUGCAAAUCUCAGUAGCUUAGCAUCAUCAUGAUGGAUUACUGUAGCUCCAUUACAUAGGGGUGUUACAAUUCUCCUCCUCUAAAAGAAAUUCUCGUCCCGAGAAUUAGGAGGUAGAAGGGAAAAGAUCGGGGUAUUUGGCACGGGGGUUAUCCUCGCGUUCCCAAGUGGCUUCAUCCUUAGUAUGAUUUGAACAUUGCACCUUGAGGAACUUGGUAACCUUCUGGCGUGUUUGACGUUCAGCUUCUUCAAGAAUGCGGAUCGGAUGCUCUUUGUAUGUGAGAUCAUCUUGAACUUCAAUCAGUCCUGGAUCCACUUCACGUUCCGGAUUCUUGAAGCAUCGGCGAAGUUGCGACACAUGGAAGACGUCAUGGACGUGAGAGAACUGAGGUGGCAACUCCAAUUAAUAAGCCACCAGUCCAUGAUGGGAGAGAAUGCGAAAAGGACCAAUGUAGCGAGGAGCUAGCUUGCCCUUGACUCCAAACCGAUGAGUGCCUCUCAAAGGGGUGACACGCAAAUAAGCUUGUUCACCAGGUUGAUAAGUUGAACCCUAGUGUUUCCGGUCAUAGUUGCUCUUAUGGCGGGACUGGGCCACCUUGAGAUUAUCCCGUACAAUGUGAACCUGCUCUUCAGCUUGUUGAAUAAUGUCUGGACCAAUGAGCGUCCGUUCCCCAGUUUCUGACCAAUUCAGAGGGGUUUGGCACUUACGUCCAUAAAGCACUUCGAAGGGUGCCAUUUUCAAGCUGGCUUGAUAAGUUUUGUUAUAAGAGAACUCCACAUAAGGGAGAGAUUCUUCCCACUUCUUGCCGAAAGAAAUAACACAAGCUCGAAGCAUGUCUUCAAGAAUUUGAUUGACUCGCUCGACUUGGCCUUGGGAUUGGGGAUGAUAAGAAGUGCUCCAAGUAAUAUGAGUUCCCAUUGCCUCUUGGAAACUAUCCCAAAUCUUCGAAGUGAAUAUAUUGCCGUGGUCUGAACCGAUCUCCUUCGGAAUGCCAUGGAGUUACACAAUUUGGGAGAUAUACAAGUUUGCUAAUUGACUAGCAGUGAUUGUCUACUUGACUGUCAGAAAGUGAGCAACCUUCGAGAAUUGGUUGAUGACGACAAAGAUAGCAUUGUUACCUUUCUAAGACUUGGGAAGGCCAGUGACAAAGUCCAUCUGAAUCUUAUCCCAUUUCCAUUCAGGAAUAGGGAGAGGUUGUAGAAGUCCAGUCGGUUUCUGAUGUUCUGCUUUGACGCGACGGCAAACGUCACAUUCUUUGAUAUAUCGAGCAAUAUCUUGCUUCAUCUUGGAGCACCAAUACUUCUGACGAAUGUCUAAGUACAUCUCAGUACUUCCCGGAUGAAUAGAGAGAGGGGUGUCAUGCACUUCUUUCAUCACCUUCUUUGUCAUAAGAUCGAACCGGGGUACUACAAUACGAUCUCUGAAGUAUAAGGUUCCAUCUUCAUACGAUCUCUAAAGUGAGAAAUCUCCAGCUUUCUCUAAGGCAAGAUCCUUUUUCAUCAGAUCAACAUGAGCAUCUUUGGCUUGAGCAAACUUCAUUGCUUUUAGAAGAGUUGGUUCCAAUACGAGGUUAUUUAGAGAACCUUGUGGAACUAGCUGAAGGUUCAGCUUGCAUAGCUCUUCAUAAAAGCAGGGUUGAGCUUUGUAGGCCAUGUGAUUAUUGCAAUAUGACUUGCGGCUCAGAGCAUCGGCCAUGACAUUAGCCUUACCAUGGGUAUAGGAUAUACCGCAGUUGUAGUCAGCAAUAGCUUCCAUCCAUCGCUGCUGACGGAGGUUCGGGUCUGGCUGAGUAAACAGGUACUUCCGACUCUGAUGAUCAGUGAAGAUAUCGCAAUGAUUGCCGAGAAGGUACUGUCGCCAUAGCUUCAGUGCAAAGAUAACCACAGCAAGCUCGAGGUCGUGAACUGGGUACUUCUCUUCAUGAGGACGCACUUGACGGGAGGCAUAAGCAAUCACUCUGCGCUCUUGCAUUAGGACACAACCUAAUCCUUGUCGUGAAGCGUCGCAAUAGAUGACGAAGUCCUUGUGAGAAUCAGGGGGAGCAAGCACUGGGGCAGAUGUCAGCUUGACCUUGAGUGUCUGGAAACUUUCCUGACACUUUUUAGUCCAAUCAAACUUAACACCUUUGUGUAGCAGAUUGGUCAGUGGCUUGGCGAUCUUGUAUAAGUUCUGGACAAAGCGGCGACAAUAGCUGGCUAGUCUGAGAAAGCUUCUGACUUGCUUGACAGUCUUCGGAGGGGUCCAAUCAAGAAUAGCCUGAACGCGCUCUAGGUUGACGGCAAUACCAUCCUUGGAGAUGACAUGACCAAGGUAUGUGACUUCGGGUAACUAUAAUUCGCACUUGGAAUACUUGGCAUAAAGUUGAUGCUCUCGAAGCUUUUCCAGAACAAGACGAAGAUGUUCGACAUGUUCUUCUUUGUUCUUCGAAUAUACCAGAAUAUCAUCCAGAUAGACCACGACGAACUUGUGAGGUAAUCCAUGAAUAUGUAGUUCAUCAGACAGGGGAAUGUGGCCGGAGCAUUGGUCAAGCCAAAAGACAUGACGGUGUACUCGUAAGAACCAUAACGAGUGACGAAUGCGGUCUUUGGAAUAUCGUCUUUGCGAACACGGAUCUGGUGGUAACCCAACCUCAAGUCGAGUUUAGACAAUAUUGAUGAACCAGCCAGUUGAUCAUACAGAUCAUUGAUCCGUGGAAGGGGAUAUUUGUUCUGAAUUGUAGCUUGGUUGAUAGGACGAUAGUCUUGGACCAAACGAUUCGUUCCGUCCUUCUUCUUGACGAAGAGAGAAUGUGCUCCCCAGGCGGAGGAACUUGGAAGAAUGAAACCCUUGCGAAGGGAUUUGUCGAUUUCCUCCUUAAGUUCAAGGAGCUCAUGAGGUGGCAUCUUGUAGGGUCGCUUGGCGAUAGGAACGGUGCCUGGUUUCAAGUCGAUGACGAACUCGACAGCCCGAGUAGGAGGUAUUCCUGGAAGUUCUUCCGGAAAGACAUCUAGGAAGUCACGAACAACUGGAAUCUUUUCAAUUCCCUCAAGAGGUGCUACAUUCAACACAUUCAGGAGAUAGAGCCGGGCCUCGGCAUUUUGAACCAGACGAGCAUUGUAGCUUACCAUCUCAUCUGAAGGGUGUAGAAGGUGGACGGUUUUAGUGGCGCAAACAAUAGAAGCCAUAUGUGCUUUCAAACAAUCCAUUCCCAGAAUGAGGUCAAUAUUGGAAGACUUCAGAAUAAUGGGGGAGGCAAAAAAUUCCAACCCUUCGAUUUCAACUGAAGCGUUGUGGCUAACCAUGGAGGUUUGGCAUUGGCCCGCAGUGGUUUUUACCACUAGUGGAGUGUGCAUCUCUUCGUAUUAAAUGCCAUGCAUGAAUGCAAAAUCUUCUUAUAUGAAAGAAUGUGAUGCUCCUGAAUCAAACAAGACAGAUGCUGGUACUGAAUUAACUAGAAGAGUACCCAUCACAGUAGCAGGCUGGUCUUGAGCUUUGUUUAGAUCAACAUGAUUAGCCUGACCAUGACCAUAAGGUCUGGCAUUGUUGUUGCAGGGUCGAUUGAUACACGCGCAUUAGAAGGCAGAGCCAACUGAUUCUGAUUCUGAGGGCAGUUCCUAGAACGGUAACCUGGAAGGCCACACUUGAAGCACAGACCAUAAUUGGGAUUGGAAGCAGGAUCUUGGGGUGGUGCAGUCCGAAGAGGCUACCUCAUUGGUGGAGGAGGCAGACACGGAGCAGCAUAGGACUGUCUUGGUGUAGGUGCAGUUGGAUGAUACAUGCUGUGGGGAAUCCAUAUUGACGCUUCUGCGCUGACGGGCCCGAAGGUGAGCCAGCGUCACGGCUGCGCCUAAGGGAUCCCUGGUGUUCCUGAAGACAAGUCUCAACCUUAAUGGCCUUGUUCACCAAGGUGGCGAAGUAGGCAAAGUCAUGAACGAGCAGUGCUAGUUUGAUAUCAGGGUGAAGUCCAUCACGAAACUUCUCUUGCUUACAAGCAUCAGUUGCAAUGUCUUCUUCAACAUAACGUAACAAGUCCAGAAAUUCCCGUUGAUAAGAAUCUACAGUCUUGUUGCCUUGGGUGAGGUUGCGGAAAUCUCGCUUCUUCCUGUCCAUGAUUCCCUAAGGAAUGAAGCGGGCACGAAAGGCAGCUUGGAAAUCCGGCCAAGUGAUGAUUGUUCCAGUAGGCAGGGUACGCCUAUGGCUGUCCCGCCAUUGAGCAGCGGGACCCUUGAGGAAGAAGGAUGCGAAGGUGACAUAGCUUGCAGUGGCUACAUCAGCAGACUCCAUUUCAUAUGUGAUGUCGCGGAGCCAGUCAUCAGCAUCAAGGGGUUGAGUUGAGUUGCGGUAGAUAGUUGGGUUGAGGCGCAUGAAGUCCUGUAGAGUUACUGGGGUUGGCUGUUGAUUCAUGUUCAGACGAGGAAACUGAGCCAUCAUUCCUUCCAUGAACUGGUGAUUCAGCUCAAAUUAUUGCAUCAUUCCGGCCAUGAAUUCAGACGGCGGUGGAGCAUGGGCACCACGGCCACGACCAGCGGGUCUAACCAUCCUGCUAACAUGUAACAUGGGUAGUUCAACAUUGAGCAUUUGCAACGACAAGGAUCAUUCAUGAUGAAACAUGCAUAAUGAAAGAGGUACGAUGGAUACCACAUAGUAGUCAACACGACAGUGUGUGUACUAUUCAGAAUACUAUUCUAAGGAAUAACUAUGGUUUAUCCAACUUCGGGGUGAAUGUGGUCACGGGAUCCUAAUGUUAGAGUUAGUAAAUUUGUCUAACCCGAAUGGAAGAGAGAUUAGAGCCCCAAAGUAUAGACGAGGCGUAAAAGAUCCUAAUACCACCCAAAUGGCGACGUAGGCCCGUAAGACACAUAGCCAAUGUUAGUAGAAGUUUUUUUAGUGACUAGACUCAACUUCGACCAAGGAGUUGGAAAGGGGGCUACCUACAGGCAGUCGGCUCUGAUACCAACUUGUGACGCACUCGACUCAAUCGUACACUAAUCAUACACGCAAAUGUGUAUGAUCAAGAUCAAGGACUCACGGGAAGAUAUCACAACACAACUCUAGACACAAAUUCAAAUAAUACAAGCUUUAUAUUACAAGCCAGGGGCUUCGAGGGCUCGAAUACAUAAGCUCGAAUACACAAGAGUCAGCGGAAGCAACAAUAUUUGAGUACAGACAUAAGUUAGACAAGUUUGCCUUAAGAAGGCUAGCACAAAAGACAAUGAUCGAAAAGGCAAGGCCUUCUGCCUGGGAGCCUCCUAACUACUCCUGGUCGUCGGCGGCCUCCAUGAAGUAGUAGUCACCCUCGGUGUAGUAGUAAUCAUAGGUGGUGUCGUUUGGCUCCUGAGCUCCACCAUCUGGUUGCGACAUCCGGAAAGAAGAAAGGGGGGAAAGAGGGAGCAAAGCAACCAUGAGUACUCAUCCAAAGUACUCGCAAGACUUAUGUCGGUGACAAAACCGGCGGAUCUCGGGUAGGGGGUCCCGAACUGUGCGUCUAAGGCGGAUGGUAAUAGGAGGCAGGGGACACGAUGUUUUCCCAGGUUCGGGCCCUCUUGAUGGAGGUAAUACCCUACGUCCUGCUUGAUUGGUCUUGAUGAUAUGAGUAUUACAAGAGUUGAUCUACCACAAGAUCGUAGAGGCUAAACCCUAGGAGCUAGCCUAUGGUAUGAUUGUUGUUGUCCUAUGGACUAAACCCUCCGGUUUAUAUAGACACUGGAGGGGGCUAGGGUUACACAGAGUCGGUUACAAGGGAGGAGAUCUACAUAUCCGUAUUGCCAAGCUUGCCUUCCACGCCAAGGAAAGUCCCAUUCGGACACGGGACGAAGUCUUUAAUCUUGUAUCUUCAUAGUCCAACAGUCCGGCCAAAGGAUAUAGUCCGGCUGUUUGAAGACCCCCUAAUCCAGGACUCCCUCAGUAGCCCCUGAACCAGGCUUCAAUGACGAUGAGUCCGGCGCGCAGAUUCAUCUUCGGCAUUGCAAGGCGGGUUCCUCCUCCGAAUACUCCAUAGAAGAUUUUGAACACAGGGAUAGUGUCCGGCUCUACAAAACAAGUUCUACAUACCACCAUAGAGAGAAUAAUAUUUCCACAAAUCUAAUCUGCUAACAUGUUUAGCAACAUGACAUCAUGCCAUGGCCCAGUCUUUAUUCGAACCGUUUUUCUCAACCAGCACUGCACGUAUCGCGAGGUGGUUUUCCUGACACGUCUUGUCAAAGCAGAGAUCGUGUCCCCCUUAUUAUGGGAUUCUCAUCAAUACGGACGUGGGUAACCCAAUCGUGCCUGUGGGUAUGACUCCUCGAUUUUAGGCAAGUCCCAAAUAGCCACGAGGAGGACGCUUGAUAUUCACCCUCUUUAUAAAGAGGCCAAGGCAUGUCCUUUUUUUCCCUCUCGUGCUCAAUUGAUUCCUUCCCCCGCCUCGAGUUCCAACACCCAAGGCUCAGGUCAGGCGCUUCGGACCUUCAACCAUGUCCGGAUCCAACCUCCAAGGUCGGUGGAUGCCUUCCUCUAUCACAGAGGAGGACAUCAAGAAGCUGAGAGAGGCCAGGUAUCUGACCGCCGAAAUCUCGCACAGACUGCCUGUCCGAGGGCGGGUCAUCCCCACUCCCGAACCCAACGAGAGUGUUGUGUUCAUAUUUCACUUCCUCCGAGGGCUAGGCCUCGCUCUGGAUCCCUUUGUUAGGGGGCUCAUGUUCUAUUAUGGGUUGGAUUUCCAUGAUCUGGCCCCCGAUUCCCUCCUUCACAUCUCAUCGUUCAUUGUCGUGUGUGAGGCCUUCCUCCGCAUUACCCCACACUUCGGCAUGUGGCUCAAGACUUCCAAUGUGAAGCUGAAGAUGAUCGAGGGGCGACACGCAGAGUGCGGAGGCGCCGUAAUAAGCAAAAGAGUUGAUGCUCCAUGGCCAGAGGGUUCCUUCCCAGAGGUGUCCAGUUUGUGGCAGCGGGGGUGGUUUUAUAUCACAGCUCCCCGGAGUACCAUGUAGGUAGCCGCCUCUGCCUUUCGCUCAGGCCCCCCACCACAACUGACGUCAUGGAUCAACAAGGGGCUGAACUGGGGCUAGUAAAUGAUGUGCCUAUAUUGCAGAGUCGCAUCCGAGAUCUCCUUGAGAGAGAUGUCAGCCUGGUCUUGGUAAUGCAAGUCAUGCUAGUUCGCCGGGUCCCGCCUUGCAAACGUCGACCCCUCCGUAUGUGGGAGUUCAACCCAGAAGGACCAUGAAUUAUUCAGCACUUCCUCGGCAUGACGCUCGAAGAGAUGUACAAAUUGUUCUUCGGACCACAAAUAAGGUGUCCGGACACCACCGAGGAUGCGGGUCUGAGCUGCAAUCGCCCAGAUACCCAAGUAAGUAAGCCCGUGGCCGAACACACUGUCUUUUUAUUUAUCAUAACAUCAUUAUGAAAAGUCGCUCUUUGACCAGGACUUGGUAACAAAGGCGAAGAUGAUCAGGUGUUCAGCCCCCCUUCCCGAAGGUUCAGCAAAUCUAGUACUAGCCAGAAUGCUCGAGAUGGCGCCUUAUCAGGCGCCCUCAGGGGAAGAUAAAGGGGAGAAUAAAGAGGCUGGAAGCGGGCCUCGCUCAUUAUUCAUCCAAACCGGGGGAAUUAGCGCCUCCGUGAAGGAGGAUAACCAGGGAGAAGAAUCUGAAAUUCCCUCUCCCCAAGGAAGGAAGAGGACCACCUCUGAAGACCCGGAAACAAAGGUUUCCAAACGGGGGAAGAAAUCUUCGCUAGAGGGUCCAUCCUCAGAGGGUACUCUUGCCGCACAGUGUCCGCAAGGGGAUCAGCCCUCUACCGAGCUGUAAGUAAACAAAAAGUACUUAAUGGUAAAAAUAUCCUACAUUACUUCUGAAGAUAAUAACGAAAGCAUAUAUCUUGCAGUUCGGAUCGUAGCCCUUCUCGACAGAGUUCGUCUUUGGGGGAUCUUCUUCCGGAGAUGAUGGAGAGUGAAACACCUCCCCCUGCCACCCCGCCUCAUGAGGCGGGCGACCCUGAAGUGUCGUCGCGGAGGGUUUCUCCUGAUCCGCCAAGGCCAGAGGGUAAUCCUUUGGCCACCCGAAGUCCUCAGUAUUUGGAUCAUAAAGAGAGCAACAGAAAGAGUCCGGAACCAUACAGUGUGCGGUCGGACGCACUGAAGGAUCUUCUGGAGCAAGCGGCCAUCUCAGAAGAGCAUCAUACGCUAAUGGGUACGGUGAUUGAAAGGAUUUCAUGCGCCGAAAGCGGGUUGCAUGAAGGUUUUAUGAGUCUGCUAAAAGGCUUUGAGGUACGUGAAAUAGUGUAUGUUUUUGACAGUACCGCACACAUUAGGUGUGCCCUAUGCAGAUAGUAGCCCCUGAGACUCUGGUUGCCAUCAAGAAUGGCGGCAAACAGAGGAUCAUAGUCCCAAGUAAUAAUCAGACCACCGUCAUGUGCAGGUGGCUGAAGGUCCGGUGGCUAGCCGGACUGGUGAGUUUGCCGAGCUGAAGCGGCAACUUGAUGCGGCAGAUGCCGACAUCGUGCUUGUGAACAAGUGGCUCAACGAGGCACAGGGUAUGUGAUUUCUCCGGUGAUCAACACAUAGUAAGAGGAGCAUGAUGCCAGUAUCUUUAAUAUGUUGUGACUGCAGAUGGAGCUGCCACCGUGGAGACCCUUCAGGCGGAACUUGCCCGAGCCAAGGAACAAGCCAGAAAUAGCGAUGCGGCCGCUCUAAAGGCAGUCGAAGAGUUGAGGGCCGAACAAGCCGCGCAUUGCCAGAGCAAGGAAAGAAUGGCCAAGAUGGCGUUGAGUUGAAAGAUGCCGCUAACCGUUACCAGCUUCUUGAAAAAGAAAGCCGAGCGAAGGCGACAGACCUAGAGAAGGCCAUGGUAGCAGCCAAGGAAGCCCGCUCCAAAAUCAGAGCGAUGAAGGAGGAGCUGCGUCAAGCUGGAGAUAUCGUGGUUGGGAAGCCCUUUUUGUUGUGGACUAAGUUCAGAGAUCCGAAGUAUGCCCCUCUUGAUCAACUAUGGAGUUCUACAGACGCAUACGUGGAUUUGGCGGCAAGUGCUGCUGAUGCGGGCGAGUCAAGGAUCAAAAAGAUCGUGAAGUGGAAAAGCUGUUCUGGUCAUAGUUCCAUGCUCCAGUGCAUCUGCUGCUGUUGAAUGAGCGAAUGGCCGAGUGGGCCGAGCUCCAUAGGUUUUUCGGACUUGCCAUGAGGUCUUUUGUGGAUCAUCUGUGGCCGGAAGGGCCAAGGCCGAAUAGUUACUUUAGUUUAGUGCAACAAUUCCUUGGUGUUGUGCCGCACAUCGACGCUAUGAAAAGGUCAGCGUGCAUAGAGGGUGCGCGGAUGGCACUUGCCCGUGUCAAGACAUAUUAGGCAGAGAUUAAGGAUGGCAAUGGGUCGGGUUUGGAUCGGGUUGAACAAUAUUAAAUCCAUAUCCAUAUCCAUGAAGACAGUCUUUGUCCAUCCACGAAAAAAUCCAUGGGUGAUAAAUUGUGUCCAUGUCCAAACCCGAUAGAUAUCCAUACCCAUUGGAUAUCCAUUGGGUCCUCUCAAGAAAUAUAAAUUACACAUAACAUAGCGUUAACAUAAGCUCCUCCAUUCUUCACCUUGUGGCAGGCUAGGCCUCACUUAUGCUAAACAUCAACUUAUGGUAAAUCAACAUCCACUAACAUGCUAAGAUCAUUUAGUAUUUUUCUAAUAGUUGUGAAUGACAAGUCAUUUAACAAGGAGAUAAAAAUAAGGGUAGGGGCAUUGGAGUAUGUUACAGAGGGGAUUGAAUGUCAACUAAUAAAAGUUAUGACAGAGAUUGUGCAAUUUCUUUUACAUGUUUUAGAUAACAAAGUGUAAAAUAGCAGUGGGACAUGUGACUGUGGGGUAGGGAUAGCAGAUUUUGGCCCAUUAAGUCACACUAUCGGGUCGGGUUUGGAUAUAUCCACGGGUACAAUAUUAUAUCCAUGCCCUACCCACGAGCAAUCGGGUCGGGUUUGGGCGGCGUCCAUGGACACAAAAGCAUAUCCAGAUCAUGUCCAUUCGGGUCGGAUAUCCAUGGAUAUCCAUGUCCAUGGGUAAAAUUGCCAUCCUUAGCAGAGAUGGAGGCCACCACUAUUGGAACACAGGGUUCGGUCGUGGGCCGAGUAGCUGCCGAGCACUACUUUGAAGAAGUCCUUGAAGGCGCUCGUUCGAUAGAGGCUCAGUGCUCGAAGAAUAUUAUGUUCUAGUGACAUGUAUUCCCAUUGUAAAAACAAUGUUUUAUUGAAUUAUAAAGGCUAUGUUUAUACUUUUGCCUGAAAGUAUUAUGAUGCCUCAUGUGCGGUCGUUUAUGUAUAUAUGUAUAUAACCUGAAAGAUUGCAGUCAUCGGUUUCAGCCCCCACGCAUAUAAUGCGGGGGUGUUCACAAAAAACGCGUAUUCACACUUGAUCCAUGAAGGAGGUGGUAGCGCAGCGAACGAGGCAAUCGGACUAUAUUGCUUUAACACUUUCACUUAGCCAUAGGAGUUUGACAGUGGGACUACUAUAUAGCCCCUGGUACUUCCGUGCUCGUGCGAAUACGGGGCGCGUACGUACAUGACCGGGAAACGGCCCUUCGUUAAUGCGGAGGAAUCCCGAAGAUUCCGUUAAGUCAUUGAGUGGUUAACCAGUCUCGCGCUUUAUCAUGACAGUCAGUUUUCGGCUUUCUCUACUGAGGUGCUCAUCCAGAUGAACCAGGGCACAAUCGCAGUAGUUCUCCCGGUGCUGCCUUAGCCGAUAGAGAGGAACAUAAGGUAGCAAAACAUGGGAGCCGGGCAAACCCAACAUUUGACCAAAGGCAUGAUUCAGAGCUGAUGCAUAUAAGGCCAAACUCGCGAUGCCGAACACUCCCUAAGGUAUUCGGUCUUUAUAACAUAUGUCGGGCUGAGCAAUGCCCUUAAUAAUAAACCUCGAGUGUCCAGGUAUGUGCAAUAUCCUGACGUGGCCACAUGCCAAUAACGUCAGCAUCCUUCUCGGUUGUAUUGAGUAUCUGGAGGAUGUGAACAACAAGAGACAGUAAAAAAGGUUUACACAGGGUCUUAAUCUGAAAAGAAACCUUUGAGCAGGUCCUUGAUGCACGUCUGCGCCUGUGUCUCCGUUGUGCCGUGUCCUGGAUGGGUGUAGCACGAUUGUCAUCUAUAAAAGAGAAGAACUUAGGUGAAAGUUGUCGUGCCAGAAAAUUGGUUAUUAUCAAUAAACCAUUAAAAUUCAAGAUAAGUCAAGUUGAGCCGAACUAGCCCUGAUUACAAAUGGGAAGCCCCUGGUACCGUCUAUGAGGGUUUAACCAUCAAACCAAUCUCAUGUAUAUGUAGUGAUGCACCGGACUCAUCUAACCGUGUCCGUGGUCUUGACGACCUGUCAUUUAUUCUGGUCGGUGAGGCCGCCUAGUGCUCGGCUGUUAAAGCCGCCGCACAUUCUUCCGCGCGUAGAGAACGCUCAAUAUUUCCACUAACUGUGAUGGUGCCACGUGGACCGGACAUCUUAAGCUUGAGAGAAUCGUAAUGCGGUAAUGCAUUAAAACGAGCAAAAGUCGCUCUUCCGAGUAGUGCUUGAUAGCCACUUCGGAAUGGAGCGAUGUAGAAAGUUAACUUUUCGGUUCGGAAGUUGUCGGGAGAACCGAAUACAACCUCUAGUAAUAGAGAGCCCGUACAGUGGGCCUCUGGGCCUGGUAUUACUCCCUUGAAGGUAGUAUUACUGUGGCUUAUUUUUGUCGGGUCUAUCCCCAUUUUGCAGACUGUGUCCUGAUAUAUCAGAUUUAGACCACUUCCGCCGUCCAUAAGGAGUCAUGUGAGAUGGUAUCCCUUUAUUAUUGGGUCUAACACCAAGGCAGCCAAUCCUGUUUAGGCUAGAUAGUCCAUCUCUGUUGCCUUUGAAAGGCUUUUCCCGCUGACCUGGUCGAGAGCCCCUGAAUCCGAUGUUGACCGUCGUAUUAUCUGGGUUGUCUUCUUUAUUUCGACGCUUGUUUUUACUGCAUCGUGGUUUUCCAUUAACAUCUCUGACUUCGGAUGUGCUUGGGUCGCUGGUGCUACUACGGGCUAACCAGCUAUCUUCGCCCGCGCAAAAGCGGGUCAUGAGGCUUGUCAGGGCUGCCAUUGUUCUUGGUUUUUCUUGGCCGAGGUGUCUGGCGAGCCAUUCAUCUCAGACGCUAUGUUUGAAAGCUGCUAAGGCUUCGGCGUCCCGACAGUCAACGAUUUGGUUCUUCUUAGUGAGAAACCUGUUCCAAAGCUUUCGGGCUGACUCUCCGGGCUGUUGAAUUAUAUGACUUAAAUCGUCUGCAUCUAGAGGUUAGACAUAGGUCCCUUGAAAAUUAGCCCGAAAAGCGUCCUCGAGCUCCUCCCAACUUCCAAUUGAGUUUUCAGGGAGGAUUUUCAACCAGUGCCGAGCUGGUCCUUUAAGCUUGAGGGGCAAGUACUUGAUGGCAUGGAGAUCGUCUCCGCGAGCCAUAUGGAUAUGGAGGAUAAAGUCCUCAAUCCAGACCCCAGGGUCUGUGGUCCCGUCGUAUGCCUCUAUGUUCACUGGUUUGAAUCCUUCUGGGAAUUCAUGGUUCAUCACCUCAUUGGUGAAACAUACGGGGUGUGCGGCACCCCUUUAUUUGGAUGUAUCAUGGCGUUCGGAUGGUUGUAGUAUUCGGUUUUGAUUUUGUGCCGGAGCAUGCUUCCUAGAUCCAUAGAUGGAUCUGGUCAUACUGGAUUUUUGGCGCAAGUCCUCACGUAGAUCGUGUGUUGACUUAUGUGCGACCUUGUUAGCCGCUCUAUCGCGGUCACAAGGUGGUUGAUCCGGCCAGUUAGCCGUUUUAUUUUUCGGUCGUAUGGGGUCUAAGGACUCAUCGUCGAAUUCGGGUAAUAGCUUGCGCUUUGGAUAGCUCUUUGUGUGGUAACCUCCACCAUACUUUUCUUCGUUGUCGAGCACUUUGUUCCACCUGCUGUUGAGCGUAUUUUGUACGGCCUUAAGCCUUUGCUUCUGCUUCUUCAGACUCCUCGCUGUGGCAAUAAGCCUUCUAUGGAGGUUCUCUUGCUCAAAGUGCGUUUCCGGGAUGAUGUGUGCAUCUUCGUCCGGACUGUUUUCCUCCCCAGAGGGGGUUUGAUGAGGUUUAUCCUCGGCGUCGCCGUGUUCGGACGUUGAAUCCGUACUAUGUUCGCCAUUUGCAGCUUCAUCGUGCUCUGCCGCCGGGGCAAUGUGGUCGUCGUUUCCUCUGGAGUUGACUGGAGUGUUAUUUUCUCUUGCGCUGUUAUCAUUGUUUUUGCCGAGGCGGGAUUUGGAGCGGCACCUACGCCGAUGCUUUGUUUGCUUCUUGGAGGGGUCAUCCUCCGAUGUCUCCUCCCGUUCCUCGUCAUCGUUUUCUUUGGGUGUAUCCACCAUGUAUAUGUCAUGUGAUGAAGUGGCUGUCCAGUGCCCUGUGGGCACUAGUUCCUAUUCCUCUCCUGCAUCGUCGUCCAUGUCAUCGAUUUUUGCAGUCAAAAUCGAGCAUGUCGGUUAAAUCGUUGACAGAGGCUACUAAGUGGGUGGUGGGUGGGCAGCGAAUUCCUUCAUCGUCCGCAUCCCAUUCUAGCCGGACAUAGUUCGGCCAAGGAUCUCCUGACAAGGAGAGAGACCUUAAUGAAUUUAGCACGUCGCCGGAAGUUGAGUGCUGAAAGAUAUCCGCGGAGGUGAACUCCAUGAUCGGCGCCCAAUCAGAUUCGAUAGGCACGGAUGUAGGCGGCUCGGAGUCUGUGGCCGGAGACGAAUCCAGUGGUUCGGCAACACGGCUCUCGUAAGGGGUGAAGUCAGUAUCCGGCUCCAUCACCACUAAGAGUGUGGCCUCCGUGGCAGGGUCUAUCCCUCCGUCCUCGGAUGGCGCAAUUUGCUCCGGAUUGAAGGCCAGAGUAGUUGUAGGUGUGAUCUCCCGAACACUGUCCGACGACAGAGCUAAAUCAUGCUCGUCGUGAUCGUGCGGCGCACCUGACAUGGGCUUGAAUCCGUUGAAGAUCAAGUCUCCGUGGAUGUCGGCAGUGUAGUUUAGGUUUCCGAACCUGACCUGAUGGCCAGGGGCGUAGCUCUCGAUCUGCUCCAGAUGGCCAAGUGAGUUGGGCUGUAGUGCGAAGUCACCUCUGGUCCAUGGGUCGGUGAACGAAUGGGUUUUGGGAAAUAGAGAACAUGGAAUCGAUUGAACAAAGGUGGCACCGGAAUGAAUAGCCCACUUGUUUCGGGCAAGAAUGAAUGGGACUGAUCGACUCGAGUUACCGAGCGACCUCCACUCUUCGACUCAAGCUUUCGCUUCUGCGCCGAAUAUGAAGAUCUGUCCAGGGAGGAAAACCUCACCCUGGACCACAUCGUUACCGAUGAUCGAAGGAGCCAUCAAGCCCUAUGGUGACGACACAGUGGAACUCUCAAUGAAAGCACCAAUGUCGGUGUCAAAACUGGCGGAUCUCGGGUAGGGGGUCCCGAACUAUGCGUCUAAGGCGGAUGGUAACAUGAGGCAGGGGACACGAUGUUUACCCAGGUUCGGCCCCUCUCGAUGGAGGUAAUACCCUACGUCCUGCUUGAUUGAUCUUGAUGAUAUGAGUAUUACAAGAGUUGAUCUACAACGAGAUUGUGGAGGCUAAACCCUAGGAGCUAGCCUAUGGUAUGAUUGUUGUUGUCCUAUGGACUAAACCUUCCGGUUUAUAUAGACACUGGAGGGGCUAGGGUUACACAGAGUCGGUUACAAGGGAGGACAUCUACAUAUCCGUAUUGCUAAGCUUGGCUUCCACGCCAAGGAAAGUCCCAUCCGGACAUGGGACGAAGUCUUUAAUCUUGUAUCUUCAUAGUCCAACAGUCUGGCCAAAGGAUAUAGUCCGGCUGUCCGGUGACCCCCUAAUCCAGGACUCCCUCAACUUACAUCAGAUCUAAACUAAGUAUGCAUCUGUAUCAAACAAAUGGGUUGUAUCUGUGGACUAAACUGCAGAAUGCCAGAAGAGAAGGGGAAAGCCUAGCCUAUCAAAGACUAGCAUCUUCAAGCAUCUUGCAGCAUUUAGAAGAGUACAGAUCAACAUAAUGUAAAGUAGUAGUAGUGUUAUCAACCUCGGCCAGAGAUCCUUUCUCGACUCCCUACGAGAAAGCAAUCCCAGAGCCAUACUAUCUAGCUAUCACCUCAAGUAUCCAGUUCUAGUUGUAUCGAUCGGGAUACAACUCCAAGUGUCCGUUACCGUAGGACAGGCUAUCGAUAGAUGUUUUCUUCCCUGCAAGGGUGCACCAACUUACCCACCACGCUCGAUUAACUCCGGCCGGACACACUUUCCUGGGUCAUGCCCGGCCUCGGCCAAACAAUACGCCACAACACGACCUAGGCUUAAUAGAGAGGUCAGCACGCCGGACUAAACCUAUCCCCCAGGGGUCAUGGGCCAUCGCCCCGGGAACUCCUGCACAUUGCAAACGCGGCCGGUGAGCAUACCUAUCUACCUCCUUAAAAAGGUAGGUGCUUACGCAGUCCAACCCGUCGCGCCGCUUAGUCGUUGACGUUUAUUAAGCUUCGGCUGAUGCAUACGACGCAGAACGCCCAUACAAUGCCCACGUGAUGGCUAGUGCUAUCAGGCCAGAGGCCCCUAGGAUCAAAUAUCCAAAUCAUAGUGGAUUAGGAAUGCGCGGUAAUAAGCAGAGACUCGCGAAAGAUGUGACCCCGUCGCCCCAUCUCGAGGACUUGCGGCAAGGGCUAAGAAUGCCCAACCACGCCUAUUAGUUAUCUCGCGGGCACCCUCCAGGUCAACCCGACUCCACAUCACUCACAAUUAAGCUCGCACGGGUACCCCUCAAGUCCGACCCGUCUUUAGUAACCUGGUUCAGGGUAAAGUCAUAGUAAGCAUAGUAACCGUUUGUCUAACACCAAGGGGGACCCUGAGGAACCACCCUCAAUGUAUUCCACUUGAUGUCAUCAUCAAGGUGAACGUAAGAAGAACCACCCUCGAGGUUCACACUUGAGGGGUUGCACGACAGAGUCAUAUCGGAAGUGGUUAAGGAGGAAAUCACCCUCGAUGACCACGACCAAAUAGCUACACUACAUAGAUCUUAUCAGGAGUGAUGUAUGAGGUGUCACCCUCGGCACUCGAUAGUAACUCUGCAGAGUCGUAUAACUAGGGAGGGGGGGUGAUGUGCGGUGUCGGGGCCUGGACGUCGACCACGUUGAUCGAGUCAUCGAACAUAAAGCGGGGCAACAAGGACAAGGUGGGGGUCACUGAUGGAUCACUAACCAACCUAUAUUAAGCAGUUUAGGAUAAGCAGGUAGGUAACAAUAAGCAGGUUACAAAAACAGGAUAUGCAUCAGAAUAGUAUCAUACAGAAAGCAGUAGUAGUUCUAAUGCAAGCAUGAGAGGGAAAGAAAUGGGCGACAUCGGAAUGCUCAAAGGGGGGUGUCGGUGUCAAAACUGGCAGAUCUCGGGUAGGGGGUCCCGAACUGUGCGUCUAGGCUGGAUGGUAACAGGAGGCAAGGAACACGAAGUUUUACCCAGGUUCGGGCCCUCUCGAUGGAGGUAAAACCCUACGUACUGCUUGAUUAAUAUUGAUGAUAUGGGUAGUACAAGAGUACAUCUACCACGAGAUCGGAGAGGCCAAACCCUAGAAGCUAGCCUAUGGUAUGAUUGUUGUUUUGUAUCUUGUCCUACGGACUAAAACCCUCCGGUUUAUAUAGACACCGGAGAGGGUUAGGGUUACACAAAGUCGGUUACAAUGGUAGGAGAUCUACAUAUCCGUAUCGCCAAGCUUGCCUUCCACGCCAAGGAAAGUCCCUUCCAGACACGGGACAGAGUCUUCAAUCUUGUAUCUUCAUAGUCCAUGAGUCUGGCUGAAGGUAUAGUUCGGCCAUCCGGACACCCCCUAAUCCAGGACUCCCUCAGUAGCCCCCGAACCAGGCUUCAAUGACGAUGAGUCCGGCGCGCAGAUUGUCGUUGGCAUUGCAAGGCGGGUUCUCCUCCAAAUUUUGUGUACCUGUUGAAUAAAGUCUGGUUUCUUGUAGAUGUUGCGCUCUUUGGCUUCUACGCCCAAUAAUGGUCGCUUCCCACGUGUCAAACGAAUAUGAAAAGUCUGAGUGUUUUUACAUUCACACCCCUAGCCACGUAAAUGAGCUGACCUAUUUAAGGGGACGAGGAUUUAGAUCCAAACUACAUCUUCCCCCCUUCGCGAGUGUUCAUCAGAGCGCAUCCGACAAAGGUCCAUUCCACCAUGGCCAGCCGUCGCGACUCCUCCUCUCGCCCUUCCAGCCCUCAGCAUGGAUAUUGGGAGAGAUGCUCUAUCCCACAUAGCGAGCUAGUGAUGCUUCAGACCAAGGGAUUUCUCCCCCCGGCCUAGUUCGAGCCGGCCUUGCCAUCUAUAAUGGCGGAGAACAAGCGGAGAGUGCCCCUAAUCCCUCCAAAGGAGAGUGGGUGUGCCUCGUCCCUUAUUUAAUAAGGGGUCUCGGAUUUCUAAUCCAUCCAUUUCUCCGGGGGCUCCUGGAGUUCUAUGGCCUCCGGCUACACAAUCUCACGCCUGCCUCCGUAUUGCAUAUCGCGGUCUUCGUAGCCCUCUGCGAGCUGUUUUUGGGUAUCGAGGCUCAUUUUGGGCUAUGGAAAAGGUUAUUCUGCCUCGUGCCCCGCUCUAAGGAGGGGUCAAUGUAUCAAGUGGGUGGAGCCGAAGUGUGGCACAUCGCCAGGACCGGAUAUCUGUCCGGAACCCCAAAGAAGGCGUCCGAAGACUGGCCCUCGGAAUGGUUUUAUAUAGAAGACGUCCCGCUGUCGGAUCCUGUCCGGAUUGGCCUCCCUGAAUUCGAUAGUGCUCCCUUAGAGAAGCACCUAAGCUGGCGUCCCCGGAGCCCUCAGAGGGAAAGUGACAGGGACAUCAUUUACCUGAUGGGACGAAUAAGAUUGCUAGCCCAUUCCGGACUAACCAUGAUCGGGGUUAUGGCCGAAUGCAUUAUGCGGGGGGUGCAACCGCUUCAGUAUAGAAGCCACCCCAUGUGGGACUUCAACGGGGAGGACGACGCUACCCGCUACGGCCGUAAGGGGCCGGAUUCAGCCGCCGCUCUGCUAAAGAUCUUGUCCACUUUGUAUAAGGGAGAAGAGGAGGAAUUUCUCUGCGUCAACCCACAGGGUGGAUUCUCUAUGCACAAUCCCCAAGCUGGGUAAGCGGUCGUAUUUACUUGCCCAUCCGUUUUGUAUUCCCAUUGUUAAAUAUUCAAUCUGACGAGUUCAACGCAGGAACUGCGCCGGGCUGUUAAGGAAAUAAGCAGCCCUCCUCCACAACCCGAGGACCCAAGACGGUCCCUCGACCCAUCCUCUCGAGAGGAUCCGGACAUAUCUGUUCAAUUGAGCAAGGACAACGCCUUGGUGGCCAUUACGGUCGAUUACCCAGGGCUAAUCCCGGCCUCCCAGGUAACUGAGAUCGAAGUCCCAGUACCCCGAAUAGUUGUCCGCCCUCUCAUGUUUUCAGUUUCCUGAUUACAACCGAACUUUGUAGGGGAGGUUUUUAAGGCAGAAGGCCGAACCUGCGGCGACAAGCCAACGAGGGGCCGCAGGGCCCCAUGGGCAGAAAAGAAGUGCAGUCCGAACCGAGGUGUCAGCGCAAAGGUAUGGCGCGCCCCCUUAUCCCAGGUGUUAUACCUUCGAGGCACAUUGACACUCGUGCUCUCUUCAGGACAAAGAGACCUCGCCGGACUAUAUCCGGAGAGGCUGCCAAUCGCGCCUCCACCAGCCAGGCUCCAAAGCCUGGUCCGGAGGUGGAGGCGAAUGCAAGGCGCGUGCCAGGCGCUCCUCCGACGGAGGAUGUGGAUGGGUUGUCUGCCACCAACUCUGAGGUGGAGAGUGCCAUGAACCACAGGCGUCGCCGGACAAUUCUUUGCGAUGCUUGUUUCUCCCAAGGGGCGUUAGAUGCCUUCAACUCGGGAGAUGCGUACCUCCAUGCCGCUCAAAAUGGUCUAGCCAGAGCCACGGAGCAAUAUGUAAAAGACAUACGGGUAAGAAAAUUUUGGUAAUUAUAUAUAUAUAUAUAUAUACCAGUAGCCCCCGAACUUGAAACAAUUAGAAUAAUUGAUUUAAGGAUCAUUUGUUAUGCAGGUUCUUACAGAAAAGAAUUCCCUACUGUCCAAGGAGCUGGAAGAGUGCAAAGCCCAACUUGAGGCUGCACUAGCCGCGGCAGGGGAGCCCAAGGAGACCCCCUCUGGUAAUAUACACUUCGAAAGAUAAGUAUUUUGCGAAGCACGGCAUGGGUGCGAAUCUGACAAAUGAAAUUGCGGAUGGCGCCGGAUUGAAUCCGGAAAGGCAACACCUCCUACGCCAGCUAAAGGCUGGUGAGAAGGUGCUGACAAAGGUGAGGCGGGAGAAGAACAAUCUCCAAGAUGCCAACACCAAGCUGGGCGUUGAGCUAAAAGAUGUUCGUGCCCAGCUGUCAGACUCCAUGAAGGAGAAUCAGCGGCUUCGGCGCGGCAUAUUUAGUAAGUGCUUGAACGAACCUUUGAAAGAAAGUUCGGCAGGGAAGUCGACUAAUAGAGCAAUGUCUGUAGGUGUGCUAACAGGUCGUCCUGUAGAGGAGAUGCCCGGUUCUACGGGUGACCUUCUUCCCGAGCUCUCGCAACUGCUCGAUCGAGUUCGGCAGGUGAUGCAAGGCGUCGCCCAGGCCCUGUGGCCAUCCGUCUCCAUGCCCGAAGGUCUUGGAGAGCUUGCGAAGAAGCUAAAGGGAGCACGGCGGCGCUUCCGAUUAUGGAAGAUAUCGGCCUGCCGUCAAGGCGCUAGGGAGGCAUGGGCCAUGGUGAAGACGCGGUACGCAAAUGCUGACCCCAACCACAUGGCCGAGGUCGGUCUUAUAGGGCCCGAUGGGAAGGAGACCCCUGUAAGCUUAGUAUACGGCCAAGUAGAGUUGGCCGCAAAGUAUUCCCAGCAGGACUGUAAAUUAGACAGCCUGUUAGAUGGUAUUGAAGAGGAAUACAAUCAGUCAAAAUGACUACGUAAUUUAAUUGACAUUUAUAAUGCCUUCUAGCCGGAUUGUAGAUCAUUUGUCAUGGCCGACCUUUUCGCUUCAGCCUCGGGACCUGACGGUCCGGAGUGUGUCUGAAUUCCCAUGUGGUUAUAUAGGAACCGGGGAAUGCAUGGAGACCAGGCGUAGGGGUCAUUAGUGCGUGAAGAGACAAGUGCCCGACUAGUUAUGUUAUAUUACAUGGUUACUAAGAAACAUCUUCCAGGGAGAAUAGUUCCGUUAGGGGUUCCUUUCCCUGGGAGGCAUGCCCUAAGGUGCAUGUCCAUGUUGCGAAAAGAAACGCAGGAAAAACAUCUCGGGGCGUAUAGAUAAAAAUAAAAAAAAGAUCAUCUUUAGUUCACCGACCGAAUAUUCCCUUAAGAAUGCUAGCUUUCAGCUUCACCCAGUCUGAGGUACACGUCUGGCUGACCCGACAGUAACAAUCGCAGAGGUGCUCCCUUUACCACCUAGCCAAACAAUCGGGAACGUAGGGGUAAGCACAGGAGCCAGGCAACCCAGCUUGGCCAAAACUUAAGACAUAUCGAUGCAUAUAAUGGUGAAUAAAAGGUACAUGCGGAAGUGUGACACAUGUGUUGGGCAUGAAGCCCGUAUGAAUAAGCUUCUGUUUAAAGAAGCCCCCAGGUUUAAUGAGCGCGGAUAGCGCGUCACUUUAUGAGCCUUUAAAGGCUAUAAGAGAGAGAGAGAGAGUGAGAAGAAGAGAAAUGUAAGACAGAAAAUAUAUAAAAAAUGGACAGAGGAUGGAGACGAACACAGAGUCCGGCGCUAGGCAUAGAAUCUUCGGAGACGGGAUGCGUUCCAUGGGUUUGGCUCGAGUCGGUUAAACGAUGCAUCCCGCGGGCGGUACGCUCCUCCAGUCAGGACUUGGUCAAUUAUGAAGGGACCUUCCCACUUGGGCUUGAGUUUGUCCUUUUUAUUGUCCGGUAGUUGUAGAACUAAUUCGCCAACGUUGUAAUUUUUGGCCCAUACUUCUCUGCUUUGGUAUCUUUGAGCCUGCUGUUGAUAGAAUGCGGAACGGGCUUUUGCCACGUCACGCUCCUCCUCCAAUGCGUCCAAACUGUCCUGCCGAUCGAGUUCGGCUUCUCUUUCUUCGUACAUGCGCACUCGAGGUGAGUCAUGAAUUAUGUCGCAAGGCAAAACUGCCUCUGCGCCGUACACCAUAAAGAAUGGUGUGUAUCCGAUGGUGCGAUUCGGCGUGGUCCGCAGCCCCCAGAGUACAAAGUCGAGCUCCUCUACCCAGUGCGUGUUAGAUUCCUUGAGGGACCGCACUAAUCUGGGUUUGAUGCCGCUCAUGAUAAGACCAUUUGCACGUUUGACCUGGUCAUUAGUUUGUGGGUGAUAGACGGAGGCAUAAUCGAGCUUGAUGCCCAUGUUUUUGCACUAGAGUUUUACCUCGUCGACCAUGAAGUUCAUGCCGUUAUCAGUGAUGAUGUUGUGGGGGACGUCGUAACGGUGUACAACCCCGGAUAUAAAGUCUAUCACUGGUCCGGAUUCGGCCGUCUUAACAGGCUUGGCUUCUAUCCAUUUGGUGAACUUAUCCACCAUGACCAGUAAGUAUUUUUGCUUGUGGGUUCCGCCUUUAAGGGGUCCAACCAUGUCAAGCCCCCAGACCGCGAAGGGCCAAGUAAUGGGGAUAGUUUGGAGGGCGGUGGGUGGCAUAUGGCUUUGGUUUGCAAAGAGCUGGCAACCGGUGCAUCGUUGGACUAAGUCCUGAGCGUCUGCCCGGGCCGUCGGCCAAUAAAAGCCUGUACGGAAGGCCUUGCUUACAAGGGACCGAGAUGCAGCGUGAUGACCGUCGAGUCCGGCAUGAAUUUCAGCCAGGAGGUUCCGCCCCCCCUCUUCGGAGAUGCACCUUUGAAGGACUCCGGUAGUGCUUUUCUUAUAAAGCUCUCCCUCGUGGAUUCUGUAGGCUUUGGAUCGCCGCACUAUGCAGCUUGCCUCAUUUUGGUCCUCGGGGAGUUCCUACCUAGUAAGGUAGGCGAGGAAUGGUUCUGUCCACGGGGCGAUGAUAGCCAUUAUUACGUGGGCUGAAGGUGUUAUUUCAUUGGCAGAGCCUCCCAUUGUGUCAGAAUGUUCGGUGUCGGGCAGUGCGGUUGGGUCCGGGCUGUUAUUGUCCGGCUCCCCUUCCCAUACUACGGAUGGCUUGAACAACCUUUCCAAGAAGAUGUUGGGGGACUACAUCGCGUUUUGCGCCGAUGCGUGCCAAGACAUCUGCCGCCUGAUUAUUUUCCCAUGCUAUAUGGUGAAAUUCAAGCCCCUCGAACCAAGCUGACAUUUUUAGGACGGCGUUGCGGUAAUCUGCCAUUUUUGGAUCCUUGGCAUCAAAGUCUCCAUUUAUUUGGGAUAUUGCGAGGUUCGAGUCCCCGCGCACCUCUAGGCGUUGAAUGCCCAUGGAUACUGCCAUCCGGAGACCAUGUAAAAGGGCAUCAUAUUUGUUGGAGUCCGUGUACAUAAUCUGGAGUACGUAUUGAACUGUGUCUCCUGUGGGGGACGUCAAAAUGACGCCAACCCCCAGUCCGGCCAACAUCUUGGAGCCGUCGAAAUGCAUGAUCCAAUUUGAAUAUGUGUCAUACUCUUUAGGGAGUUCGGCCUCCGUCCAUUCUGCGACGAAGUCGGCCAAGACUUGCGACUUGAUGGCUCGCCGUGGCUUAUAAGUUAUGUCGAAUGGGAGGAGCUCAAUGGCCCAUUUUGCAAUCCGGCCCGUUGCGUCACGGUUGUUUAUAAUAUCGUUAAGUGGUACUUCUGAGGCUACUGUUAUUGAACACUCUUGAAAGUAGUGUCGUAGCUUCCGGGAUGCCAUGAAUACCGCGUACGCGAUCUUUUGAUAAUGCGGGUACCGUGAUUUGCAGGGAGUGAGGACAGUGGACACAUAAUAGACCGGCUUUUGAAGGGGGAAUUUGUGUCCGUCCGCUUCUUGUUCGACGACGAGCACUGCGCUUACAACCUGAUGUGUUGCUGCAAUGUAUAAUAGCAUUGGUUCGCCAAUGUUUGGUGCGGCCAGGACUGGGUUUGUUGCCAGUAUGGCUUUUAUUUCGUCGAGUCCGGCCGUGGCUGCAUCCGUCCAUUCGAAGUGUUCGGUGCGCUGAAGGAGGUGGUAAAGGGGUAGGGCCUUUUCUCCCAAGCGGGAGAUAAAGCGGCUUAGAGCCGCCAUGCAUCCGAUUAACUUUUGUAUUUGUUUGAGGUCCUUUGGGAUAUCCAGUUGCGACAAAGCUCGGAUCUUGGCUGGAUUUGCUUUGAUUCCUCUACCGGAUACAAUGAAGCCCAAGAGCUUUCCGGCUAGAACACAUUUUUCCGGGUUGAGCUUGAUGUCGUAUGUUCGGAGGUUAUCAAAUGUGAGCCUCAAGUCAUCUACUAGAGAUUCGACAUGUCUUGUUUUGACAACCACAUCAUCUACAUAUGCCUCCACUGUUUUGCUGAUCUGGCUUGCCAGACAUGUCUGAAUCAUGCGCUGAUAUGUUGCGCCAGCAUUUUUUAGCCCGAAGGGCAUCGUGUUGAAGCAGAAUGGGCCGUAUGGUGUGAUAAAUGCCGUUGCGGCUUGGUCUGGUUCUGCCAUCUUGAUUUGAUGGUAGCCGGAAUAUGCAUCGAGGAAACACAACGAAUCGUGUCCUGCGGUAGCGUCGAUAAUUUGAUCGAUGCGGGGGAGGGGGAAGGGAUCCUUUGGGCAAGCCUUGUUAAGGUCUUUAAAAUCAACACACAGGCGCCAGGAUUUGUCCUUCUUUGGUACAAUCAUCAGGUUUGCUAGCCAGUCCAGAUGUUUUAUAUCUCUGAUGAAUCCGGCCUCCAAUAGCUAUGCUAGCUCCUCUCCCAUGGCCUGUCUCUUAGGUUCGGAAAACGCCGAAGAGCCUGUUUGACAGGUUUGAAUCCUAUUUGGAUAUUUAAGCUGUGCUCGGCCAGUCUGCGUGGGAUUCCUGGCAUGUCUGAAGGGUGCCAGGCGAAAAUGUCCCAGUUCUCUCGUAGGAACUCUCGCAGUGCGGCAUCUACAUCAGGGUUUAACUGUGCCCCGAUGGAAGCUGUUUUAUUGGGGUCCGUUGGAUGGACUUGGAAUUUGACUAUUUCGUCCGCCGGCUUAAAGGAGGUGUACUUGGAUCUUUUCUCGAGUACCACAUUGUCCCUAUUCACCAUAGAGCGCAGCGCAGUCAGUUCCUCAGCCGCUAGGGCUUCGGAAUGCCUCGAGGGCCAGUGCGAAUGUCUUGUUUUCGGCGCGGAGUGCUGUGUCUGGAUCACUCCAUGGGUUUAUUGUUGCUACUUGGUAGACUUCGGCAAGGCUGCGGAGUGUCCUUUUUCGCAUAUUAUUUGAUGCGAAAGUCUCGAAGACUGUUAAUACCGUAUUGGUGUCUCUGGGGUGGCUUUCUGUGGCCUCUGGAAUUAGGAGAUUUUCGCCAAUUUUGGCCACCUGUCGGAGUAUCCAACAUGCUCUAAGGCUGUGAGUUGGUGUGGUGUCCUCUGUACUGUGAAUUUUACAGGGUCCAUUAAGCCAUCCUUCCAGUACGGUUCCAUGCCCUGUAGAGGGUUUUUGCUUUUUGGUGUUUGACCCGGGUGUCUGGCGAUGAUGCACCCUUUUAUUUCGGAUUGGGUUUGUAUUCAGGGCCGGAUCGUCCCAAAAUUUUAUUUCGGUUUUCCAGACGCUUUCCAUCGCAUAGUACUUUCGUACGAUGGACGCCAAGUCAGCGAAGCGUGUAAUAUCACGGCGACUUAUGGCGUUGAGGAUUCCCUUGUCCGUGCAAUUAUUGCAAAAGAUUGAGAUUGCGUCUUCCUCGUGGCAGUCCUUUAUCCUGUUCUUAACCAGGAGGAAUCUGGCCCAGUAAUGAUGUACUGUUUCAUCGGGCUCUUGCCUAAUUUGGGAUAGAUCGCUUAUGUUCGGGUGGGUGGGAGGAACUAAAUCCGAAGCCUCACCCCAUCUGAGGCUCAGAGGCCGAGGAAUUUCCUAACUCGAAAAUUUGGAUUCCUGGAUGCUGUCCAAUGAAUCCAGCCCGUCGCCUGACUCUAAGUUCAGGUCUUGAGUGAUAUCCUCCCCUCCGCGGGUAUCCGGCUUGGAGGGAUCGGGAAUCCGGACGUAGCUAGUCCUUAAGAUAGAUGAAGGGUCGCCGCACUGUCCCUCUACCACGGCAACAUGAUGGGUGACUUGGGGAGAGUUAAUCUCUCUCAGAUCGGGUUUAGGCCCAAUCUGGUCGUGAUCCGUAGCGACUCCCAGGGCGGCGAUGCGAUCCAAGAGCUCGUUUAUUGAGCAGAGCUCCAUUGGAUCUAACUGCUCGACGAGUUUUGAGCUGACAUGAAGAUUGUUUUCGAUGGCUCGAGAGGUCAUUGUCGAUGCAGAAGCCGAACAGGCGGUCAUAAGAAAACCACCUAGCCGGAGGGUUUGGCCGACAGCCAAAGCUCCCUUAGCAACGGUGCCGUCUUUAAAGACGGGGUGAGGCAUCCUUCCUGAUGGCGACGACACAGAGGAACUCUCAAUGAAAGCACCAAUGUCGGUGUCAAAACCGGCGAAUCUCGGGUAGGGGGUCCCGAAUUGUGCGUCUAGGCCAGAUGGUAACAGGAGGCAAGGAACACGAAGUUUUACCCAGGUUCGGGCCCUCUCGAUGGAGGUAAAACCCUACGUCCUGCUUGAUUAAUAUUGAUGAUAUGGGUACUACAAGAGUAGAUCUACCAUGAGAUCGGAGAGGCUAAACCCUAGAAGCUAGCCUAUGGUAUGAUUGUUGUUUUGUAUCUUGUCCUACGGACUAAAACCCUCCGGUUUAUAUAGACACCGGAGAGGGUUAGGGUUACACAAAGUCGGUUACAAUGGUAGGAGAUCUACAUAUCCGUAUCGCCAAGCUUGCCUUCCACGCCAAGGAAAGUCCCUUCCGGACAUGGGACGGAGUCUUCAAUCUUGUAUCUUCAUAGUCCAGGAGUCCGGCUGAAGAUAUAGUCCGGCCAUCCGGACACCCCCUAAUCCAGGACUCCCUCAGGGGGUUUGCUUGCCUGGAAGCUCUGCUCAAAAGGAAGAGGUGUCGUCGACAUAGUCGAUCACAGGGGCGGCAUCGGUCUCGGGGUCUACCGGAGAGAAGAGGGGGAAGAAACAAUAAAUAUAAAGCAAACAAAGCAUCACAAAGCAUAACAUGGCAAUAUGUUGUGCCGGGUGUGACCUAACAUAUGGCUACGCGAUAAAGGUGAAGGGGGAAAACAACCGGGAAUGUUUUCCCGGUUCCAGACCUAUGUCAGACACAUGACUGAAGGGGGAAUGUUCCAUGUUCAGAUAGUUAGAGGCAUCUGACAGGUAAACGGACUGCGUAUCCGGAUUCGUCUCGUCGUUCUGAGCAACUUUCAUGUAUAAAACUUUUUCAUCCGAGUUACGGAUUAUUUUCUAUGAUUUUCAAAGAUUUAACAAUAUUCUGUAAUUAUUAUUAACUAAAAAGAUAAUACUGCAUCAGCAUGACACCAUCCUGACGUCAGCAGGGUCAACAUUCAACUCUGACCGCGUUGACUGGUCAAAAGGAGUAGUGGGGCCCAUCUGUCAUAGACUCAACUAAUUGAGCAGGUUUAAUUAGACUAAUCUAGUUCAUUAGGCUAAUUAAGCAAGAUUAAUUAAGUUAAUUAAUUAUCCAACGAAUUAAUUAAUUAACUAUUUAUUUAUUUUUAUUUUUCUAAAAACCUUUUUUAAUAAAAGCCAGGGCGCGUGGGGCCCGCUGGCAGUGGCAUAAGGCCAUCCUAGUGGAGCGGGUUAAUGGGCGGAGGGGCAUGGGCGUGGGCGCCCGUCGAAUGGGGCACGGCGAGGCCGUGGCCGGCGAUGGUCAUCGGGGCGCGGUGGGGCGCCAACCAGGGGAAGCGAGGUCGUGGGGCGAGCGGGCUGCGGCGUCGCAGCAGCGCUGGCGAGGCGGCGCGCGNNNNNNNNNNNNNNNNNNNNNNNNNNNNNNNNNNNNNNNNNNNNNNNNNNNNNNNNNNNNNNNNNNNNNNNNNNNNNNNNNNNNNNNNNNNNNNNNNNNNNNNNNNNNNNNNNNNNNNNNNNNNNNNNNNNNNNNNNNNNNNNNNNNNNNNNNNNNNNNNNNNNNNNNNNNNNNNNNNNNNNNNNNNNNNNNNNNNNNNNNNNNNNNNNNNNNNNNNNNNNNNNNNNNNNNNNNNNNNNNNNNNNNNNNNNNNNNNNNNNNNNNNNNNNNNNNNNNNNNNNNNNNNNNNNNNNNNNNNNNNNNNNNNNNNNNNNNNNNNNNNNNNNNNNNNNNNNNNNNNNNNNNNNNNNNNNNNNNNNNNNNNNNNNNNNNNNNNNNNNNNNNNNNNNNNNNNNNNNNNNNNNNNNNNNNNNNNCGACUGCUACGAGCUAGCGCGCUGCGGCGGGCGGGCGGACGGCGCAGGAGGCAAGGCGCGGGCGUGCAACGGCGGAGCCGGGCAAGACCAGGCGCAGGGCGCGGGCCGUGGUGGCGAACAACGCGGCUAGGGGCGGCGCGAGUGGCGUGAGGACGGCGGGCGAGGCCGCCGCGGCGACAGCGGGUAACCGGACGACGCAGUGGCCAGCGGCGGGAGGCGGGUCACGACGACAAUAUGCGGCAGCCAAAGUCGAGCGUCGAACAAAACGAGCAUAGCGGCUCGGUCCCGACGGGCUAUCCGGCUGGAGGACUCCUACGAGAUGCCACGAGCGCGGUGGCGUGCUCAGUCGAACUGGAGAAGCACGAGAGGAGCGGCACAACGAGCAGUGGUGGCGCGAGCUUCGGCAAUGGCGGCAACGGCACGGGGAGCAGACUACGGAUCGACGACGUAUAAACGAAGGAAAGGAGAGGGGCGGGAGCUCACGUUGCGGCACACGAAGGCCGUCGGGGGCUUAGUAGCGUAGGGCGGUGGCCAGAGUCGAAGGUGACGACGGCGACCCGAGGAAGACGACGAAGGGGAUCCGGCGCUGUAGAGGUCCGCGGCUUUGACUCGUGGUCGGGGACGGCGUAGCGUGCACGGGCAAAGCUUCAAGACAACUCGGCGAGGUGAGGUUGGACAGUGGCAUGCGAUGGACGGCGGUGGCCGCGCUCGGGCGCUCGAGGGCAGAGGCAAGUCCAUAGGGGGAGGAGGAGGUGGAUCUGGGAGAGGGCGGAGAGGGGGGAAGUGGAGCGGGGAGGCGAGGGGAUUCUGGGAGUGGGUGGAGGUAGGUGGGGGGGGACUCGAGGAGCCGGAGGGGCGCUCUUAUCCUCUCGCGGGUGCGUUGCUGGCGAGGUGGCUGGGCGGCGACGGGCGCGUGCUGCCCCGCCCGGUCGGAGGAUCAGGAAGCGACCGGGGGAGGGGGAGUGGGCCGGCCUACUGGGAUGGGCCGAAGCCUAAGGGGAGGCCAUGGGCUUUCUCUCUCUUCUCUGAGUUUCCUUUUUCUUUUUUUGUUUCUCUUUUUCCAGCAGCUUUUGCAUUUUAUUUUGCCACAAAUGACUUUGCAAAAAUAUGUCACUGGCCAAAAUAAAUUCAAAGAAGUACUGUGCACUGUCACAAAAAUGUUGGGAAUGUUUUGAAUCCCUUUAGAUUUAUUCAAAAAGAAUAUGGCAUUUUAAAAGGCUGUUUUGGCUCUGUUAAAAAAUAUUAGGCCCAUUUAGAGUUGAUGGUGAUGUUGUGUUCCUUAACAGCAAAUAGUUUUGGAUUUUUUGCUAAAAGGUGAACAUUUUUCCAACAAGUUUUGAUCAACUUCAUUUUGCACUUUGAAGUUGAAUGGAAUUCCAAAGAAGGAAUUUGAAAUGAGAUAUUAUCCCAACAUGAUUAUCAUUGCAAAUCUCAGUAGCUUAGCAUCAUCAUGAUGGAUUACUGUAGCUCCAUUACAUAGGGGUGUUACAAAAGGUCCCCAUUGAGCUUCGCCUCAACAAAGACGAGGCAGAUGCUUUGGAGAUGUCCUUCCCUAACGAGGCUUGCACAUCACAAGCAAGGGUGUUGAUGUACCUAACUAUGAACUCUUGGGCGGGGAGCAUGCUUCAGUGCAAACAAUUCAGGCGAAGACUUCUUACCUAGCGAGCUACACUUAUUAAUGUUGAAUAUACUACGGCUGGAGGGUUGUGCCCCACAUACGGCGAUUGGUCCAUUGGGCCCGAUGUACCGUAUCACAGAAGCGGUCAAGUUUGGCACUGAAGGAUGAGUCAAGAUCCACCACAUCGAUGUGUAGAAGCUCCGUGCCAUGUCUAUGCAUGCUCCCCAAGGUCAUAAGGAGUCCAACCCUGCUGUGGGGUUAGAUCGACUUCAUACGAAGCCAAUGAGUGAUGUAGUGUACUACAUAGUAGACUUAAGUAGACAAUUGAGCACGACGUUAGAGCCGAGACAACUCCCUGUGGCAUAGCAUUGGUCGUGUUCUAAGGCUGGUUGUAGUAAGUAUCAUAUACUAGUAUCAUGCAUAUGAUACUAGUCUUUGAUACUACAUCCGUAAUGCAUAGUAUCAUAUGUUGGUAUGAUAUGUUGGUAUCAUAGGGUACUACAGUUAUUGUCAUGCAUGACACAAAAAAAGCACACCAUUUAAUAUGAUACGGUAUCAUGAUAUGAUACCCAAACCUCUCUUUCUUCAUUUAAUUCUAUGUCACCUCCAGUUCUUUUCGGCGAUUCUCCAGAAUCGCCCCCCUCCCCGGCUUCUCCCAGAAUCGCCACUUCAUAUAUUUUUUACAAUCCUAGCUAAUUAGACCUUAACUAGACAAGAUUGUCAAAAAAAUAUGAAGUGACGAUUCUGGGAGAAGCUGGGGAGGGGGCCGAUUCUGGGAGAAUCACUCAAAAGAACUAGCCCCUAAAUUGCUUAGUUGGCAUGGGUCCCCUGCGAGAAGCAUUUCUGGAACACGGGUGUCCUGAACACUUUAUUUUGAAUAAUUUGAAAAUCACAUUUGAAUUAAAAAAAUAUCCAAAACAAACCCUACGCUAAUAUGAAUGUAUACCACACAAGUGUAAAGUUUGAUGAUGAAACAAGUUGACAUGUGAGCUACAUAAAGAUGACAAAUUGUUAAUUUUGAGAAGUUAAACCAUGCACACAUUGUUCACCGCUAAAAAAAAUCCACGCUCUUGUCUUCUUUGUGUAGCACAUAUUAAUUUACUUCGUCAUCAAACUUUGCCCGUGUACAGUAUAUCUCCAUACUACUGCAUAAAAUUCGUGUUCGUAUUUUAAAGACUUUCAAACAUGAUUUUCAAACUAUUUGAAAUGAAGUGCUCAUGCGACCCUUGCUCUGGAGCAACGUUUUGGCCUCCCAUGUUCCAAACCGUCCUCACCGAUACACUUCUCUAUUCUUAUAAAAAACUGAGUUGGUGAUGAUGGUGUGCCCGCCAUCUUAUAAUAUAGACCGUUCGAUCUAUAUCUGACAGAUAGAAAGCAAACUAUGACAAUUUUGCAAAAGGAUAUCCGCACCUCUCGUUCAUCCUUAUCUCCCACAACUUCAUUGUUGAGUAAUUAAAAAAGAAGCCUCCGGAACAAUCUGGCAUGGUGGCCGCUGCCGGCGUCGUCCAUCUCCAUGCCUCUGCUAAGUCCGACCACCAAUCACCACCGCGCCCCACUCCUCACCUUAUCUCUCAUCUUUCUCGAGAUAUCAUUUUUUCGAUGAAAUUCUCGAGAUAUCAUUAGUUUUUACACAUGUGAUUACUCCUGCAUGAGUCAAUCACAAUAGAUGUUUUGUAAAAAAAUGCAUUUUGAUGUCCUGUGCAAUGCACGGGCAUCUUGCUAGUCAUAAAAAAAAAAGCAGACACUUUCCAAUCCACCGCGCUCCUCUGGUCUCCGCGGUCUCCAAUUUCAAAUCCAUCCCCGUAUCCGCCGCCACGUCAUCGAUCCGCGCCACCAGCCUCGCACCCGCACCUCCAUCCCACCCUUCAUUUCAAUCCAACGUCCCACCCCCGCCGUCCCACGGAUCGAUCCCAGCGAGCGCCUCCCGCGGUCCCGCCCCAAAGCCACGAAAAUCCCGCGCUUUCCCCCCAAAUCCUCCCGAUAUAAACCCGCCACCACCCCCCAAUCCCAGCACAAGCUUCUUCCCAAGCACUUCCUCUUCUUUCUAAGCGCACACAUCCCUCGGAGCUAGGUGGAUCGGCGAUGUCGGGGCGCGGCAAGGGCGGCAAGGGGCUGGGGAAGGGCGGCGCCAAGCGCCACCGGAAGGUGCUCCGCGACAACAUCCAGGGCAUCACCAAGCCGGCGAUCCGGAGGCUGGCCAGGAGGGGCGGCGUGAAGCGCAUCUCGGGGCUCAUCUACGAGGAGACCCGCGGCGUGCUCAAGAUCUUCCUCGAGAACGUCAUCCGCGACGCCGUCACCUACACUGAGCACGCUCGCCGCAAGACCGUCACCGCCAUGGACGUCGUCUACGCGCUCAAGCGCCAGGGCCGCACCCUCUACGGCUUCGGCGGCUAGAUUCGUGUCGUGUGUCCGUGUGUUCUGUGGAAGACGGGUUUUACUACUGCUUUGGCGUGCGUCGUUGUGUUCCGUCUUGUGUUCAUUAGGCUGUAAUUCCUUGUUGCGGUCAAUGAAACUAGUUCUGUUCUGAAUCCUGACCUGAAGUGCAAUUGGUUUGACUUAGAUGAAAUGCAAUUGGAUGAACGAUUUAUCACUCGUUGCAAUCUGUACAGAUGCAGAAGUAUUGUUGGAGUGGUAAAAUGUGAAUCAAGACGCCAGAUGCAUAUUCCUGAAAUACUGACCAAGUGCUUCGCUGUGUUGAAUUCGGUUUUGGUUUUCUAAGGUUGGUUGGUUUGAUAUUAGAUUUCUCAUUUUAGAUCGUGUAUAGCUGAAGUGCAGUUGAUUUGUCUUAGCUGAACUGCAGUUGAUUGAACGAUUUACCACUCGUUGCAACCUGUAGAAGGGGCGCAUCCUUUUGAUUUGGUUUGGUUUCACUGGGGAACGAAUCUUGUUUUUUUUUUCUGUGCAGAUCUACAGAUGCACAGGUGUGGUUGUUGGAGUGGUACGAACCCUCCAUUAAAAUGUGAAAUCAAGAUGCAAGAUACCUAUUCCUUAAAUCUUCACCAAGUGCUUCGAUGUGUUGGAUCCGGUUUUGAUUUUUGUAAGUCUGGUUAAUUUGUUUUAUUAUUAUAUUUCUUGCUUUAGAUCGUAUAGCUCUACUGCUGGACUGUACAUUUGAGUUAUAAUUGAAAUGCAACUGAACCAAUGUUUACAUUGGACAGAUAGCUGAACUGCAAUGGAUCCAGUAUUGAACGUUCGAGUUGUUGCUGAAAUGCAAUUGAAUGAAUAAUUAUCACUCAUUGCAAUCUGUAGAAGAGACGGACCCUUCUGUUUGGUUUUGGUUUUGCUGGGGAGUGAAUCUUGAUUUUUUUUUUCUGCAGAUCUACAUACCCCAAAGUGGUCGGACCCUUCCCUGGACCCUGCACAAGCGGGAGCUACAUGCACCAGGUUGCCCUUUUAUCUACAUACUCCAAAUGUAUAUAAAAUUUCUGAAUGAUACAUCAAGCCUCUGGAGUAUAUAAAAUUUUGAAUGUUUCAAUGUUGGUGGGGUGUAAAUAAUCUAGUCAAUACAAAUAUGAAAUCAAAACGCCAAAUAUGGCCUUCUAUUCCUGAAUGAAACAACAACGAGCAUGUGGAGCAACUAUCAGAAUGUUUCUGAAUGAUACAUUAAGCACUGGGGCAAUCAAAACAUUUCUGAAUGAUACAUCAAGCCUCUGGAGCAACCAUCAGAUUUGAAAUAGUACAUCCGACAACUACAACUGCAUGCUGUAUGUAGAACAACUAUCUGAGGCUCUGCACUAAACUGAUAUUUUUCCUAAUAAUCAGCUCGUUCCUCAGAGGAAUGUACAGUAGAGAUUAUAUUCCUUUCCUAAUAAUAAUCUUGUUCCUCAGAAGGAUAUACAGUACUACAACCAACUCGUAGGAUGAUUUUUCUUCUUUGAGAAAUUGUAAGUCCCUAUCAAUAAUUCUCUAGAGCAGGAAUUGCUUGCCGGUGUAUGUUUUGCCAAACUCCCAAUCCUUGGGCACAACGUUAAAAUUGGUCAUCGUCGUGCCGUCACUCGAGGUGAGCUCAAAGGACACCGGCUGCCCUGUGAGAUCUAAGUUGAUGUGCCAUAUCUGGCCCCAGUUGCGGCCCAUAUCGAGCCAGCCAGACUCUGUUCCUUUGAUCUUCACUGAUCUGACAUCGCCAGCGCCACCGACAUUGCUGAUUAGGACUGUGAAGAAGAAGCUCUUCCCGGAGACCGAGAACCGCACGCCGCCUUCACGAAGGCACUUGACGCUGUUCAUAAGAAAACAAGUCAAUCUCAGCAAAGAAUCAGAGGCAUUUUUUCUGACAGGUUAAUGCUAUUAGUAGCUUUAUUUGUCCUUGUUGUUUGUUCUCAUGCAAAUCCUGCAAACUACUCCCUCCGCCCCAUAAUGUAAGACGUUUUUUCACACUAGUGUAGUGUCAAAAAACGCCUUACAUUGUGGGACGGGGGGAGUACUUAACAAGUAAUGAAAUGGUGUGACAUAGAUGAGUCCCAAAUCAUAGUAGGAUGUAUAUUUCCAUGUCAAUUGUCCUACGAAACAUGAAAUCUCCAGGAUCACGAAAACACAUUGAUAGCAGAAUGUUGUACAAAUCCGUCAUUCAGGAAACCAUCUCAAAGAAUCACCUCAAUUUUUCAAAUUACUAGACAACUUAGACGCACGUAAAGAUUAUUACACCCUUCUAUAAUAUACUUUUCAGUUUAGCAUACAUGCACGUUUUUAACUUUGUAUUCUGAAUGGCACAGGAGUAGAACCUCACUAAUUUACAGAUGCGAUCGUAGUCUGUUUGAAUCUCAAACAGUAACAAAUUAAAUGAAGUGUAAGCACAAGCUAAGAUGAUUAGUUUCAGUUCAAGAAAGUCCUAGUAGUAAAAAUAAUUAAUGAAGUUUUCUCUGGAAAAAUAAUCAAAUGAAGUUGUUUCAAAGGGAACUCAAAGAGCUACCAACCAGUGCAUAAAUAUCUAACACAAACAUAGAAUAUUAAGGACAACCACAAAUAAUGUGCCACUACAACUUGCAGGGCCAGUUUGAUUGUCACCAGGUAGUACCUGAGAAGCAGAUAACUUGUGUAGCUUUAUUAGUGAUGAUGUGCAUUUUUGCUGUUUCGUGAAACAGUGGUUUGUUCUCUACCAUACAUUUAUUCUUUCUCUUUGGAAUAGUGCUAAUUGCUAUUCGCUAACAGUAAAGGAGCUAUAUAACAGCUGAUGAAGCUAAAGUCUGACAUAGUUUAGUUGCAGAGCACAGCAGGGUUGAUAUUGCUGCCAAUUGCCUCAGGCGAUGAUUUGGAACAUCAAAUCUUGAGGAUAAAAAAUGCACAUUAACAACACAUUUCAUUAAACCUGUCAUUCAUCAAAGCAUCUAGAAGAAGUACCUGUCUCUGCUACACCUUUUAAGUGUGGCAUAUAUGCAGGUUCCUAACUUUAUGUUCUGAACAGCACCAGCAUAGUGCUUGCUAAUUUACCAAAUUUGAGUGUGAAGUGUUACCAUUCGCCAUAUCCUAAUAUGUUUGGAUCUUAAAUACCAAUAACAAACCAAAAAAAGGGUAAAGCUAAGAUGAUUAAACAAUCAGGCAAGUCACUAUCCAAAGUUCCUUUUUAACACAGUUUUAGUAGUACAAAUAAUCAACUAGAUUUCCCUCAAGAAAAUAAAUCAAGUUGUUUAAAGGAUCCCAAGGAGCUACCAACUGGCAUAAAUAUCAAACAUAACCACAGAAUAUUAAGGACAACACCAGUUAAUGCGCCACUACUAUUUGUAGGGCCAGUUUGGUGAUACCGGGUACUGGAGGGCACAUCAUGUAAACCCAGAAGCAAAUAACCUGGUGAUGCUAGUUCGGUGCACAUCAACAACUCUAGAAGUUCCAAAAAAAAUCUUGCAACCUCUCCAUUAAUAUGGUUCAACCAGUCCUUACAGCAGUCAAUAGAAUAUUUAAGCACUAACUGUCAAUAAGAUCCACAUUUCCCAGAAUUCCUCAGUUAUCAACAAAAUACAGGAUAAUCACUCAGAUAAGAGGUGCUUAGUUUCUUUAUGUUUUUAAUUAAUUUUCAUAUGAGUUAUCAUAGCUCAGCAUACCGAUUCUGCACUCUAGUAACCAUAGACUGUCGUGAAUUGUGGAAUAAAAUUUAGAUGAUGUGAAAAUAUAUGCAAUGAUGAAUCCAAUGAUAUAUAUUUGGUGGUGUAUAUGUUAAUAUAUUUUUCUACAAACUUGUUUAAAGUAUAUAAAGUUUGACUUCAGACAAACGUAAUAUGCGGAGUAAAUAAAAACGGAGGGAGGACAACUAGUUAUCACCAGCUGCAUUAUCAUCAUCAAGAUGAUAGCGCUGUUUUAAUUCUAAGAGAGCCCCAAAGAACAAAAUAAACUCAAGGAGCCACGAAAGUCUAAUGCUUACACCAAUGAAUAUGAUGCAAAUACUGAACCAAACUGUAGUACAGUACUAUAAUUGAUCAAAUCACGCAAACCGAGCAUGUGAUACUCUAGAUAGUCAAUGGCUCGAUGCUGCAUCAAAAGGCUCAUAGGUGCUUUCCUCCUAACCCAAACACCAAAUCACAUUAGUACAUUUAUUUACACUUGGUUCUAUGCAUCUUUGUACUACCUUGUUAGUAAAGGAAGGCCACAUUAGAGCAGAUAAAACUACCCUAAUUCGAAUCCUAACCAAAAGAACUUGCACUUCACCACAGUGGAAGAGGGUCCACUUGAUCCCCUCCACACUUUCCUCACCAACGGACACUUGCAAUUCAGCUUUUUUGGGAUCCCACAUUGCGGCAAACCAAAGCAAUCUCUAGCUUGGCAAGCACUUUCCCAGCUCUACACAAAUUGAAUCAGGAAACCGAGGAAACUUUGGCCUUAGAUCUAGCCGAACAUGGAGUGCAAAGCAGAGCGAGAUCGAGUGCAGGCAAGAAUGGAGCAUACGUACCGGCGGUACUGGAUGGGCAUGACGCCGGCCUUCCAGAGCGCAAUCUUCUCGAAUGCCUGGAUGGGGAGGAGGAAAUGGUGGUUGGGCGGGUUGCAGACGCCGCCGGCGUCGGCGGGGAAUCCGUAGUUGGGCGGGCAGAAGUUGGUGGCGGUGACGACGAUGGAGGUGCCGGGGAGGCAGUACUUGAGGUCCUCCACGCACUUGACCUCGUAGCAGCCCCCGCAGGCGGCGCCGCGCUCGAACAGCGCCGUGCUCAGCCCCACCGUUGCCAUCCCGUACCCGUGCUUCCCCAGAUCCCCGAACCCGCACGCGCCACCUGCACGCCGCACCCCACAAAAAGAAAAUCACAGAUCAGCUCCGUGCCCAUGUCCAUGGCCGCCAGGAUCGCAAGAACCGACUGUGGUACGAGCAGAGAAGCUCCGGUAACCGAGCGUGCGGUUUGUGGAAAUUCCGUUGGCGGCAACAUACCGAAAGAGGAAAAGUGAACUAAUUAAUGCCUGCAGCAUGGACGCGAGGAAUUUUGGUAGGAGCGCAAGGACGGUUUGGUGGAUUCGUUUCUUGGACUGCUGCCAUGACGGAGAGCUAGGCGAGGUUUGUUGGUGCUUACCGAUGGCGUCCCCGGGGUCGGCGGCGAAGUAGGAGGACUUGGCGUUGCGCCAUUCGGAUAGGGCGGAGGAGCCGUAGGAGGAGGGGUGCUGGUGGCCGGCGGCGAGGGCCGGGAGGAGGAAGACGACGAGGAGGAUGAGCGGGGGAGCCAUGGCUCCCAGCAAGCAGCUUUUCGUCCGUGCGCUUGCUUCUCAGUGAAGUGAAGCAGGGGAGAGUGUGAAAUGGAGGUGCUGUGCUUCGGUGUUCUGUCUUUUUAUUUUGCAGGUUCUGGGGCCUUCUUUGCCUUUAUACAUGUGCACACGGGUAUAUUUUUAGUGCAGGUUCUCUUCUCGAGUGCUCCAGCUUUUGAUCGAUUAAUUCUUUUCUUUUCGGGAAAGAGUGCAUUUGCUCGUCUGUUUUGUUUCCUUUCCUGGUGCACCGCAGCUUAUUGCUUCGGUGAAACGGCAAAAUUAGAGCACUUACAAUCGGACUUUGCAAAUUCGGCUCCUCAAACGUUCGCAGAUAGUGACCGGUCACGUCUUAAACUAAUCAUUCUAUAUCACCUUUUUCACAUUUCAAUCCUUAGAUUCAUACAAAGCAUGCAAAAAAAAAAAUCAUACGCACGUACCCUAACUAAUCUUCGUUGUCGGAGACGUCCACAACAAUGUGUCGGGCGCCGGUUGCACGGGCGGGUAGGAGGGUGCCGGCUGCUCGACCUCAUCCAUAUAGGCGAGCAUCUCCGUCUCCUCCGCGACCUACUGCGCCUCGAUCUCCUGCCGGCGACGGCGUCUGGCCUCCGCAGCCGAUUCCGACGGGAGGGAAUCGAGGAUGGUCUGCUGCUCCGCCUGCAAAUCCACUGCAUCCGGAGGUAGCCCCUCGGCGAUCCGGACUUCACGCUUAGCCCGGAUCUGCUGAAGGAGCUCGAGCCGGCACUCCGGCGCCAUAAAUGGCCCGCUCUUCACCCGACGGCGUGGAGGCAUGGCUACUAAGCGGACGGGUGAAGUAAAAAGUGGCGAUGUGAACGGACAUGUGGAAGAAAAUGUGGAUGGACGGUAGGGUUUCGGCGCCGCCGGUCGACUUAAAUAGCUGGGCUAGGCACUAAGUGACCCGCCGGAGCUGCGUCACGCGGCCAGUGCUCAAAAGGAGACGAGCUUCGGAUCGUCGGGUUUCCAGGUGUUUUCGGCUGGGACCCCGCCGCCAGUUCGACGUGGCAGGUGUGCCCGGACGCGUUCGGACGCCCCAUAUCCGUCACAUAUUUAGACUGGAUAUGAGGGUGUCGGUCAGCCCGGGCGUUUGAAGUCUGUUUGAGAUGUCUAUCUGAAUCGAAAAAACAUGACCGAUGAGUGACUGGACGGACUGCCGGGCAUUUGAGGCCGGUUUGGGACCCACGGCUUAGAUGCUCUUAACAAAUUCUAUCAUGAGUGAGAGGUUCAUGAUAAACCCGGAUCGACGGUCAGUACUGCCGACGCUGCUCGAAACAGUUGUGUUAAGGUACUCGUAGAUACUCUCUCGAUUACUAGUAGCAAUCACUUGCGGAUACAAGUUUGGUGGCGAUUACAGGAACGAUACAAGAAUUUGGUUGCUAGGGUUCGACGCGAGACAGGAAGAGGAAAGGGGAAAAGAGCCGAGCCGCCGUUGUCGUGAUCCUCUGGAUAACCCUAGGACGCUGCCGCUCCUCUCCUCAAGUAGCUUCCAGGACGGGCUUCAGUUAACCCACGCUGGGCCGGAGACGCGUGGGUUGGGCUUCCUGGGCCGGGCCGCACGUGGAGCCGUGGAGACCUGAUCGUUGGUGUUGCCUUGCGGGCCGGCCCUAUCAGGGACGCUGACAUCCCCCUCUUCUUGAGCAGAGGCUUGCCCCAAGCCUCCGCGAGCGAGAAACGCUCCCUGAGACUCGCCUUGUCUUCCCAAGUUUCGCCGAGCGUCUCUGAAUUGGACCAACGGACGAGCACUUGUUCCCUCAUCUUGCCCUUCUCCUGGAGCCAUCUUGAUUGCAGAACUGCCACAGGAACCGCGAGCUCAUCAUAACAAUGAGGUAACUGAGGUUCAACAGCCAUACCCGUGCUCAGGACGCGUCGAAGGAGCGAGACGUGGAAGACUGGAUGGAUAGUUGCUUGCGAAGGAAGCUGGAGCUUGUAGGCGACAUCGUUGAUCUUGCCGAUGAUAGGAAAUGGACCGUAGUACUUGAAUGCCAGCUUGUGAUUUGCUCGUGGCGCGACGGAGGUUUGGAUAUAUGGUUGCAGUUUCAGGUACACUUGAUCGCCCACUUCAAACUGACGGAACGAUCGCUUCUUAUCCGCCUGGCUUUUCAUCAGCUGUUUUGCUCUGUUCAGGUGUUGCUGUAACAGUUCCUGCACCGUAUCCCUUUCCUCGAGCCACGAGCUGAGUGCUGGCACUGAACAGGUGUUGUUUGCUGUUAUCCCCCAGUGCCGUGGCUCGUAACCGAACAUAGCUUUGAAGGGCGUCAUGCCUAUGGCCGAAUGGUGUGAGUUGUUGUACCAGAACUGAGCUAACGGGAUCCAAAAACUCCACCGCCUGGGAUAAGCUUGAGUGAAACACCUCAAGAAUGUUUCCACACACUGGUUAACUCGCUCUGUUUAGCCAUCCGUUUGCGGGUGGUUGGCUGUGCUGAGUCUAAGUUGUGUGCCUGCGGCCUUGAAAAGCUCCUGCCAAAAGUGGCUAGUGAACACAGGAUCGCGAUCUGAUACUAUUGCUCCCGGGAGACCAUGCACUCUGUAGACUUGUUGGAUGAAAAGUUGGGCCACCGAUGCUGCUGUGUAUGGGUGCGCUAGUGGCAAGAAGUAGCUGAACUUGGUUCGCUUGUCUACAAUCACCAGGAGACAGUUGAACCGGCUGGAUUGUGGGAGGCCGUCCACAAAAUCCAUGGAUAUCAUAUCCCAAGGUUUGUUAGGGAUUGGUAACGGCAGCAAGAGACCUGGUGAAGCUGCCCGAUCUAGUUUCGCUUGCUGGCAUAUGACACAACACUGCACAUAGUGUUUGAUUUGAACUUUCAUUUUGGGCCAUGCAAAGAGACGCCUGAUGCGUCUGUAAGUGACUGGGAAUCCCGAGUGACCCCCUACUAGGCUGUCAUGAAACGCUUGGAUUAUACGUUGUUGUAUGUGUGUUCCUCCUCCCAGCCAAAUUCUGCCUUUGAACCUGAUGAUGCCUUGCUGCAGUAAGAACCUGCCUUUGGGAUCGUCACGCACAACCAGCUGUUCCAAUAGUUUAUGCGCCUGCGGGUUGUUGUUAUAACUGUUGAUAGCAUCUUCUAACCAACUAGGUUGACAUGACGUGACCACUGAUAGCACCUCCGCUGGACUGGCGCGUGACAAGGCGUCCGCGCCGUUGUUUUCAGAUCCCUUCUUGUACUUGAUGCGAUACUGGAGUCCCAACAGCUUGGUAAAAGCUUUCUGUUGCCAUGGUGUGUUCAGCCGCUGUUCCUCCAGGUGAGUGAGGCUCUUCUGAUCUGUAUAUAUGACAAAUUCUGCGUUUUGCAAAUAAGGGCGCCAUUGAUCUACGGCCACGAUGAUUGCCAGAUAUUCUUUUUCGUAUGUGGACAGACCCUGAUAUCUCAGACUCAACGCUUUGCUCAUGAAUGCAAUGGGGUGUCCUUGUUGCUGCAGAAUUGCUCCAAUGCCUGUGUCGCAUGCAUCUGUCUCCACUGUGAAAGGCUGCUCGAAGUUCGACAAUGCUAGCACUGGUGCGGAGAUUAGGUGCUUCUUCAGGACUUGGAAAGCUGUUUCCGUGAUCGAUGUCCACUGAAAUGGCACGCCUUUCUUCAACAAAUUGAACAGCGGUCGUGCUAUCACUCUGAAAUUGCGCACAAAACGGCGAUAGUACCCUGCGAGACCCAGAAAGCUUCGGACUCCCUUGAUAUCUUGCGGUGAGGUCCAGUUGGUAACUGUUGCUAUCUUGGCCGGGUCCGUGGCUACCUUGCGAGCACUGAUGACAUGGCCUAGGUAGGAUACCUGGCUUUGCCCAAACGCACACUUGCUGCGCUUAACUUUCCACUGAUCCUUGCGUAGCAGUUCCAACACCUGCAGCACCUGGCACUUGUGCUCCUCUAACGUAGCACUGAAGAUUAAGAUGUCAUCGAAGAAGCAUAGCACGCAGACACGUAGCACUGGCUUGAGGGUUGUAGUCAGCCCUUCUAUGAACAUGGGUGGAGCCCCAGCCAACCUUGAACUCGAAGUGCCCCUGAUGCGUGGAGAAUGCCAUCUUGUACUCCUCCCCCGACGUGAGCCUGAUCUGAUGAUAGCCUGCGUGCAAGUCGAGCUUUGAAAACCACGCUGCACCAUGUAGCUCACCCAGGAGCUCUUCUAUAACAGGAAUUGGAAACUUGCCGACGACUGUAAUGGCAUUCAGUUGUCUGUAAUCUAUACAGAGACGCCAGGUUCCAUAUUUCUUCUUAACAAGUAUGACUAGAGAUGAAAAAGGACUAUUUCUUCGCUGAAUGACUCCUGAUUUCAGAAGUGCUUCGACUUGAGCUUCUAUCUCCGUCUUCUGUUCUGGUUUGUAACGAUAUUGCCUGACAUUUACUGGCUGAGCUCCAGGUAUUAGCGGAAUGCGGUGAUCGCACGCCCUUCGAGGUGGAAGCCCUACUGGUUCCGCAAACACAUCCGAAAAUUGGUCCAAGAUUUCCUGAAUGCACGCUGGAGUUUGCUCCAAUUCCUCCUGCUGGGCAGCCACCACACAAAGGUGUAUAAUGUGUGUGAUCGAUCUGUUGCUGCACAGGUUCUGCAACUGCAAGCUAUUGAUGGACUGACAACUGGUGGAAGUCGCGUCGUGCCCCAUGAGACGAAGCGGCCCUGCUGGAGUGGGAAUCUCAAUGAAACGAGCAUGCCAGUCUACCUACAUCGGGCUAUGUUCCUCUAACCAAUCCAUGCCGAGUAUAACAUCGUACGUGCCCAGAGCCAAAACUUUCAGAUCCGUGUAGAAUUCGUGCCCUUGAGCAUACCAUGCGCAUUGCGGCGCGACCUCAGUGCAGAACAGUUCUCCCCCAUCUGCCACACGCACACGACUUGGAUUAGGCAGAGGUCGAACCCCUGAAAGUCAACUUGCUAAGUGCUCGUUGAUGAAGGAAUUGGAGCUGCCCGAGUCGAUCAGCAUGAGUACUUCAUGCCCUUGAAGCCACGCUCGCAGCUGAAAAGCUUUGGCCGAGACCCCUCCCGUAACUGCCGAAACUGAGAUGGCCAUGGCUGUAUUCUAAACCUCAUCCUCGGAGCUCAUUUGAGUGUCGACGAAACUGUCAAGGCCGAAGAUAUCCAGAAGCUCCUCAACUACAUGCAGCUGCACUGUGGUGGGGCAUACAUGAUCGUGCCCCCAUCGUUCACCGCACUUAAAGCACAGCGUGCCCCCAUCGUUCACCGCACUUAAAGCACAGCCCCCGAGCUCGUCGGUAAUCACGGAGGGUCUUGAGCUUGGACGCGUCAGCGCGGGCCGCGUCUGUACCACGACGAUCUGCUGCCUGCGUCGCUGGUACCGAUCGCACCGGAGGUGGGUGAAGUGGCAUGGGAGUGCCUCCCCGCUUGAAAGAUCGUGGAUGUCGCCUAGAGGGGGGGAGGGGGGAAUAGGCGUUUUAAAAUAAUUACGGUUUAGGCUUGAACAAAUGCGGAAUAAACCUAGCGGUUAAUUUGCCAAGCACAAAACCUAAAACAACUAGGCUCACCUAUGUGCACCAACAACUUAUGCUAAGCAAGAUAAGCAACUAUGUGAUAGCAAGAUAUAUGACAAGAAACAAUAUGGCUAUCACAAAGUAAAGUGCAUAAGUAAAGGGGCUCGGGUAAGAGAUAACCGAGGCACGCGGAGACGACGAUGUACCCCGAAGUUCACACCCUUGCGGAUGCUAAUCUCCGUUUCGAGCGGUGUGGAGGCACAAUGCUCCCCAAGAAGCCACUAGAGCCACCGUAAUCUUCUCACGCUCUCGCACAAUGCAAGAUGCCGUGAUUCCACUAAGGGACCCUUGAGGGCGGUCACCGAACCCGUACAAAUGGCAACCCUUGAGGGCGGUCACCGAACCCGUACACUUUGGCAACCCUUGGGGGCGGUCACCGGAACCCGUCAAAUUGCUCGGGGCAAUCUCCACAACCUAAUUUGAGACCCCGACGCUUGCCCGGAUCUUUAGACCACAAUGAUUGAGCUCCGAACACCACCAACCGUCUAGGGCACCCAAGCACCCAAGAGGAACAAGCUCAAGGGUACCAAGCACCCAAGAGUAAUAAGCUUCUCAACUUGUAACUUCCACGUAUCACCAUGGAGAACUCAAACCGAUGCACCAAAUGCAAUGGCAAGGGCACACGGAGUGCCCAAGUCCUUCUCUCUCAAAUCCCACCGAAGCAACUAAUGCUAGGGAGGAAAAUGAGAGGAAGAACAAGAAAGAGAACACAAAGAACUCCAAGAUCUAGAUCCAAGGGGUUCCCCUCACAUAGAGGAGAAAGUGAUUGGUGGAAAUGUGGAUCUAGAUCUCCUCUCUCUUUUCCCUCAAAAACUAGCAAGAAUCCAUGGAGGGAUUGAGAGUUAGCAAGCUCAAAGAAGGUCAACAAUGGGGGAAGAACACGAGCUCCAAGGAUAAGGUUCAUUGGGGAAGAAGACCCCCUUUAUAGGAGGGGGAAAAUCCAACCGUUAUGUGCUCAGGCCGCACACGAGCGGUACUACCGCUCCACGAGCGGUACUACCGCUCAGGUGGAAGAAACAGGGAAAAGGAGCAACAAAACAUGAACCUUAGGGCGGUAGUACCGCAGGAGACAGCGGUACUACCGCUGGGUUAAGCGGUACUACCGCUCCCUUCAACGGUACUGCCGCGCAGAACGAAGGGUAAAGGGAAAGAGGGAACCGGGCGGUACUACCGCGGAGGAAGGGCGGUACUGCCGCUAAGGAGCGGUACUGCCGCACUACUGCCAGCGAGGUACCGCACAAUCCGACAUAGAAAAAGACCCCUCGAAACGACGUGGUAGGGACCUGGUAAGCCAACGGUAGUACUGCUGCGGAGUCACCGCUGGUACUACCGCUUCGGAGCGGUACUGCAGCUUGUGACCCCUCAACAAUGGGGGAAGAACACGAGCUCCAAGGAUAAGGUUCAUUGGGGAAGAAGACCCCCUCUAUAGGAGGGGGAAAAUCCAACCGUUAUGUGCUCAGCCCGCACACGAGCGGUACUACCACUUAGGUGGAAGAAACAGGGAAAAGGAGCAACAAAACAUGAACCUUAGGGCGGUAGUACCGCAGGAGACAGCGGUACUACCGCUAGGUUAAGCGGUACUACCGCUCCCUUCGGCGGUACUGCCGCGCAGAACGAAGGGUAAAGGGAAAGAGGGAACCGGGCGGUACUACCGCGGAGGAAGGGCGGUACUGCCGCUAAGGAGCGGUACUGCCGCACUACUGCCGCAGCGAGGUACCGCACAAUCCAACACAGAAAAAGACCCCUCGAAACGACGCGGUAGGGACCUGGUAAGCCAACGGUAGUACUGCUGCGGAGUCACCGCCGGUACUAUCGCUUCGGAGCGGUACUGCCGCUUGUGACCCCUUAGCGGUACUACCGCUGGAUACCACGGUACUACCGCUGGGACCCUGACAAAACCACACUCAAGAAAAGAAGAACUGCCAUAACUUCUGCAUAUGAGCUCCGAAUUGAGCAAACUCAAGCUUGUUGGAAACAAGACGACGAGUAGCAUCAAAACAGCGGCUGGUUAUAGUAAGAAGAGGCAGGGGAGGUAUGCAUAACAAAAAGAGGAGUGAAACCUCCAACCGAGAAGAAUCGGCAAAACCUCCAACAUCGAAAACAUCAUAGAAGAGGCAUGCGAACUCCGUUUUCGAUGAACUCAAGCUUGUCAUCAAGAUGACCAUAAGCUCUAAGAUUCACAAAGAGAACCAAACAAGAACCAAGAAAUAUGAUGCAAGGAUGCAAUGGUUUGAGCUCUCUACGAACGAUACGAUCAAGCUACUCAUCGAGAGCCCCCCUUGAUAGUACGACAAUCGAUCCUAUAACCCGGUCUCCCAACUACCAUCAUGAGACCGGUAAAAUAGAAAACCUACCAAGGGCAAACCUUUGCCUUGAACAUGGUCCAUUUGAGCUAGAUGAUGACGAUCUUGACUCCCUCAAGUUGGACCACCUUUCUUGAUUGGGUUGACUCGAUGAAGACUAGUUGAUUGCUCCCCCAUACUCCACUAUGGGUGAGCCACUCUUCCGCACAUCUUCACAAGUCCAUUGUCACCACAAAGGAUGGCAAGCUUCAAGCAUUUGAUCUCUUCGUGAUGCUCCACUUGAAAUUGCACACCGCAACCUUUCUUGAUUGUGUUGACUCAAUGAAGACUAGUUGAUUGCUCCCCCAUACUCCACUAUGGGUGAGCCACUCUUCCGCACAUCUUCACAAGUCCAUUGUCACCACAAAGGAUGGCAAGCUUCAAGCAUUUGAUCUCUUCGUGAUGCUUCACUUGAACUUGCACACCGCAACCUAACCCCACAAAGAACCCUCACGAAGACCAUGGGUCAGUACACAAAGCGUAAUUGGCAAUGCUUACCAUACCAUGGGAUCACUUGAUCCCUCUCAAUACAUCUUCUACGCUUUGUGGGUUGAUCAGCUUGAUUCACUCUUUGACUUAGUCUUGAUCAACCUCUCACAAGACCAAUCUUUAGGUAAUUCCUUGAAUAGCACCUUGGUCGACACAAACUCUCCUUGAACCCAACACAUGUACUCCAAGAAAAGUCUAUGGACAAAACCUUCAAAUAUAACUCAAGGCAACCAUUAGUCCAUAGAGAUUGUCAUCAAUUACCAAAACCAAACAUGGGGGCACCGCAUGUUCUUUCAAUCUCCCCCAUUUUGGUAAUUGAUGACCAUCACUUUCAAGAGAGUUUAAUACACGGAAUUAUGCAUCACCAUGCAAUGCAACAACUAAUAAUGCAUGCGUAUGAGAUGCAAAUGCUUAGGAACAAAACCAAAGCAAGGAGAAAACUCUAAAGACUUCUCCACAAAACUCUCUGAAACCUCCACAAAACUCUCUGAAACUUCUCCCCCAUUGGCAUCGAUUGCCAAAAUGGGCGAAAAGCUUAGAAGGCCAAUAUAGAUUGAGUUCCUCCAGAAGUUGUGUAUUUCUCAACAAGAGAGAGGAAUGCAAUACACAUAUCCAACGGUAAAUACUUGGAGGAAGACAAACUAUAUUGAGGCCCAAAGAUUGCUAAAGGAAGAUAUGCCACAAAGACAUAAUCGACAGAGACACAAGCAAUCAAGCGAUCAAAAGAUACCAAUUGAAGCAAGCUAUCAAAAGAUACCAAUUGAACCAACUAGGCCAAUGAUCCUACGAGCCACAAGAAAGAAAGAUAUUAUGAUAUGAGCAUAGGAGUGUUCUAAAGAAACUAGAGAAGCUCCCCAUGAUUUGUGCACAUCAAGAAUUUUUGUAUUUGGAUACAAAGUGCACAAAAUAGGAUCAUAGCUCCCCCAAAAUCAAUAGAAACUUACAACAAGUGCAAGUGAGCAUAAAGGAAACUAAGCCUAGUACUUGCAACAAACACAUGGUUGAGCAACAAGUGAAAGAGGCAACUUAAGAAUGGGCUCAACCAAAAUGAUGUGUGAGAGUCAAGGCAAUGCACUUGAGAAGACUAAUGUACGGAUGAGCAUUAAGCAUCAAUAAAGUCUUGAAAGAAUGAGGCAACACGGUGCAAGGCCUAUCAUUACCACACACAACAAGCAAAUGGGUUCACAAGCUUACUAAUAAGCAUAUAAAGAACCUAUGCUUGUGACAACCCGUGGUGAAGAUAGAAGAUGAAAGCCUCAUCAAGAUGAGGGAUAUCAAUUAAGAUGGCAAAAGCCUCGUAAAGAUAAGCAUGACGAAAAUAAUCUUCACCACUCAAGAGUGCAUCAAGAUGCAACGAGAUAAGACACGCACUCAAGGCAAAAGCUUUCAUGGAGCCACCAAAGAAAUAACAUAAGAAAGACAAGGUGGUUGUGAAAGAAAGGAUAUCAACUAGAUAUGCAACUUUUCUCAAGUGUAUAAGAUUCUAGGUAGACGAAAUCAUGAUGAUAUAUAUCUACAAAGAAGGAUGUACAUGCGAAAUAGUUGCAACACGAGGAACAAGAUAUCCACAAGGAAAUCAUAAAUAUACCAAUAAGAUAUUUGCUUGAAAGCAUAGCACAUGGCUAGAUAAGGUCUUAUUGCAUAUAAAUGAAUUCCAACCACACGAACAUCAAAGACAUCACAACUAGCAACAAGACAUCAUUGUUGGGAUGCUUUGAGAAAGGAAACAAGUAUCACAAGAGAGAAUGGAUAACAUGCCAUGAUACAACCUACGAAAGGUUGAUGCAAGAAAUGUGUGCAUGAAGUAGAUGAUGAUACUUGUUACCGAGAUACCAUUGGAUGGAUGUAGUAGAUGCCAAUUAAAGGUAGAUAGUAGUUCAUUAAUCAUCCUAGCUUGACUCCAAUAAGCACAUGGUGACACCACCUUCCUUGUGAGUGAGCCGAGCAUCCAAUGCAUCUCCACUUGUUCCUAGAACAACAACACAAACAAAAUGGUACCCAAACUCAUUGGGACCAAAGAGUUAGAGAACCAACAACACAUAGGACAAACUCCACAUAAAUAUGUGCAUAUAGAUAUGAAAAUGAAUUUCAUGCACAUCUCAUCCAAUUUGAGACUUGGUGGAGUUCACCCUAUAUAUUGGGUCAAAGAAAGCAAACAUGCCAAAGAAACUACAAGAAGUAAAUAUGCAUGCUCAAGACUUUCAAGAACCGAGACCAAAAGACAAAGAAAUACCAAGCGAAGAAAAGAUACCAAAUGAAUAAAUCAUCACUUGGAGGAUAUCCAUUAAAGAUACAUCAAGGAAUGAGAUAUCUGAAGGAAAUAUGCCCUAGAGGCAACAAUAAAAGUUAUUAUUUCCUUAUAUCAUGAUAAAUGUUUAUUAUUCAUGCUAGAAUUGUAUUAACCGGAAACAUAAUACAUGUGUGAAUACAUAGACAAACAGAGUGUCACUAGUAUGCCUCUACUUGACUAGCUCGUUAAUCAAAGAUGGUUAUGUUUCCUAACCAUGGACAAAGAGUUGUCAUUUGAUUAACGGGAUCACAUCAUUAGUUGAAUGAUCUGAUUGACAUGACCCAUUCCAUUAGCUUAGCACCCGAUCGUUUAGUAUGUUGCUAUUGCUUUCUUCAUGACUUAUACAUGUUCCUAUGACUAUGAGAUUAUGCAACUCCCGUUUGCCGGAGGAACACUUUGUGUACUACCAAACAUCACAACGUAACUGGGUGAUUAUAAAGGAGCUCUACAGGUGUCUCCAAAGGUACAUGUUGGGUUGGUGUAUUUCGAGAUUAGGAUUUUUCACUCCGAUUGUCGGAGAGGUAUCUUUGGGCCCUCUCGGUAAUGCACAUCACUGAAGCCUUGCAAGCAUUGCAACUGAUGAGUUAGUUGCGAGAUGAUGUAUUACAGAACGAGUAAAGAGACUUGCCGGUAAUGAGAUUGAACUAGGUAUGGGAUACCGAGAUCGAAUCUGGGGCAAGUAACAUACCGAUGACAAAGGGAACAACGUAUGUUGUUAUGCGGUCUGACCGAUAAAAGAUCUUCGUAGAAUAUGUAGGAGCCAAUAUGAGCAUCCAGGUUCCGCUAUUGGUUAUUGACCGGAGACGUGUCUCGGUCAUGUCUACAUUGUUCUCGAACCCGUAGGGUCCGCACGCUUAAGGUGACGAUGACAGUUAUAUUAUGAGUUUAUGCAUUUUGAUAUACCGAAGGUUGUUCGGAGUCCCGGAUGUGAUCACGGACAUGACGAGGAGUCUCGAAAUGGUCGAGACAUAAAGAUUGAUAUAUUGGAAGCCUAUGUUUGGAUAUCGGAAGUGUUCCGGGUGAAAUCGGGAUUUUACCGGAGUACCGGGAGGUUACCGGAACCCCCCGGGAGGUAUAUGGGCCUUAGUGAGCCUUAGUGGAAGAAUAGAAGAGGCAGCCAGGGCUGGGCCGCGCGCCCCUCCCCCCCUUGGUCCGAAUUGGACAAGGAGAGGGGGCCGGCCCCCCUUCCUCCUCUCUCUCCUCUUCCCCCCCUCCAUGAAUCCUAUUCCAACUAGGAAAGGGGGGGAGUCCUACUCCCAGAAGGAGUAGGACUCCUCCUGGCGCGCCUCUCCUAGUCGGCCGGCCCCCCUCCCUUGAACCUUUAUAUACGGAGGCAGGGGCACCCCCUAGAGACACAAGUUGAUCCACGUGAUCAUAUUCUUAGCCGUGUGCGGUGCCCCCUUCCACCAUAGUCCUCGAUAAUAUUGUAGCGGUGCUUAGGCGAAGCCCUGCGACAGUAGUACAUCAAGAUCUUCACCACGCCGUCGUGCUGACGGAACUCUUCCCCGACACUUUGCUGGAUCGGAGUCCGGGGAUCGUCAUCGAGCUGAACGUGUGCUAGAACUCGGAGGUGCCGUAGUUUCGGUGCUUGAUCGGUCGGGCCGUGGAGACGUACGACUACAUCAACCAAACGCUUCCGUUGUCGAUCUACAAGGGUACGUAGAUCACACUCUCCCCCUCUCGUUGCUAUGCAUCACCAUGAUCUUGCGUGUGCGUAGGAAUUUUUUUGAAAUUACUACGAAACCCAACAGUGGUAUCAGAGCCAGGUUUUAUGUGUUGAUGUUAUAUGCACGAGUAGAACACAAGUGAGUUGUGGGCAAUAUAAGUCAUAUUGCUUACCAGCAUGUCAUACUUUGGUUCGGCGGUAUUGUUGGACGAAGCGGCCCGGACCGACAUUACGCGUACGCUUACGCGAGACCGGUUCUCCCAACGUGCUUUGCACAAAGGUAGCUAGCGGGUGACAGUUUCUCCAACUUUAGUUGAACCGAGUGUGGCUACGCCCAGUCCUUGCGAAGGUUAAAACAGCACCAACUUGACAAACUAUCGUUGUGGUUUUGAUGCGUAGGUAAGAUUGGUUCUUGCUUAAGCCCGUAGCAGCCACGUAAAACUUGCAACAACAAAGUAGAGGACGUCUAACUUGUUUUUGCAGGGCAUGUUGUGAUGUGAUAUGGUCAAAACAUGAUACUAAAUUUUAUUGUAUGAGAUGAUCAUGUUUUGUAACCGAGUUAUCGGCAACUGGCAGGAGCCAUAUGGUUGUCGCUUUAUUGUAUGCAAUGCAAUUGCGCUGUAAUGCUUUACUUUAUCACUAAGCGGUAGCGAUAGUCGUGGAAGCAUAAGAUUGGCGAGACGACAACGAUGCUACGAUGGAGAUCAAGGUGUCGCGCCGGUGACGAUGGUGAUCAUGACGGUGCUUCGAAGAUGGAGAUCACAAGCACAAGAUGAUGAUGGCCAUAUCAUAUCACUUAUAUUGAUUGCAUGUGAUGUUUAUCUUUUAUGCAUCUUAUCUUGCUUUGAUUGACGGUAGCAUUUUCAGAUGAUCUCUCACUAAUUAUCAAGAAGUGUUCUCCCUGAGUAUGCACCGUUGUGAAAGUUCUUCGUGCUGAGACACCACGUGAUGAUCGGGUGUGAUAGGCUCUACGUUCAAAUACAACGGGUGGAAAACAGUUGCACACGCGGAAUACUCAGGUUAUACUUGACGAGCCAAGCAUAUACAGAUAUGGCCUCGGAACAUGGAGAUCGAAAGGUCGAGCGUGAAUCAUAUAGUAGAUAUGAUCAACAUAGUGAUGUUCACCAUUGAAACUACUCCAUCUCACGUGAUGAUCGGACAUGGUUUAGUUGAUUUGGAUCAUGUGAUCACUUAGAGGAUUAGAGGGAUGUCUAUCUAAGUGGGAGUUCUUAAGUAAUAUGAUUAAUUGAACUUAAAUUUAUCAUGAACUUAGUCCUAGUAGUAUUUUGCAAAUUAUGUUGUAGAUCAAUAGCUCGCGUUGUUGCUUCCCUGUGUUUAUUUUGAUAUGUUCCUAGAGAAAAUUGUGUUGAAAGAUGUUAGUAGCAAUGAUGCGGAUUGGGUCCGUGAUCUGAGGUUUAUCCUCAUUGCUGCACAGAAUAAUUAUGUCCUUGAUGCACCGCUAGGUGAUGGACCUAUUGCAGAAGCAGAUGCAGACGUUAUGAACGUUUGGCUAGCUCAAUAUGAUGACUACUUGAUAGUUUAGUGCACCAUGCUUAAUGGCUUAGAAUCGGGACUUCAAAAACGUUUUGAACGUCAUGGAGCAUAUGAGAUGUUCCAGGAGUUGAAGUUAAUAUUUCAAGCAAAUACCCGAGUUGAGAGAUAUGAAGUCUCCAACAAGUUCUAUAGCUAAAAGAUGGAGGAGAAUCGCUCAACUAGUGAGCAUGUGCCCUGAUUGUCUGAGUACUACAAUCGCUUGAAUCAAGUGGGAGUUAAUCUUCCAGAUAAGAUAGUGAUUGACAGAAUUCUCUAGUCACCAUCACCAAGUUAGUAGAGCUUCGUGAUGAACUAUGAUAUGCAAGGGAUAACGGAAACGAUUCCCAAGCUCUUCGUAAUGCGGAAAUUGACGAAGGUAGAAAUCGAGAAAAACAUCAAGUGUUGAUGGUAUACAAGACCACUAGUUUCAAGAAAAGGGCAGAGGGAAGAAGGGGAACUUCAAGAAGAACAACAAGCAAGUUGCUGCUCAAGUGAAGAAGCCCAAGUCUGGUCCUAAGCCUGAGACUAAGUGCUUCUACUACAAAGGGACUGGUCACUGGAAGCGGAACUACCCCAAGUGAUUGGCGGAUAAGAAGGAUGGCAAAGUGAACAUAAGUAUAUUUGAUAUACAUGUUAUUGAUGUGUACUGUACUAGUGUUUAUAGCAACCCCUCAGUAUUUGAUACUAGUUCAGUUGCUAAGAUUAGUAACUCGAAACGGGAGUUGCAGAAUAAACAGAGACUAGUUAAGGGUGAAGUGAUGAUGUGUGUUGGAAGUGGUUCCAAGAUUGAUAUGAUCAUCAUCGCACACUCCCUAUACUUUUGGGAUUAGUGUUGAACCUGAAUAAAUGUUAUUUGGUGUUUGCGUUGAGCAUGAAUAUGAUUUGAUCAUGUUUAUUGUAAUACGGUUAUUCAUUUAAGUAAGAGAAUAAAUUGUUGUUCUGUUUACAUGAAUAAAACCUUAUAUGGUUACACACCCAAUGAAAAUAGUUCGUUGGAUCUCGAUCUUAGUGAUACACAUAAUCAUAAUAUUGAAACCAAAAGAUGCAAAGUUAAUAAUGAUAGUGCAACUUAUUUGUAGCACUGCCGUUUAGGUCAUAUUGGUGUAAAGCGCAUGAAGAAACUCCAUGCUGAUGGGAUUUUGGGAAUCACUUGAUUAUGAAUCACUUGAUGCUUGCGAACCAUGCCUUAUGGGCAAGAUGACUAAGACUCCAUUCUCCGGAAAAAUGGAGCGAGCAACUGACUUAUUGGAAAUAAUACAUACUGAUGUAUGUGAUCCGAUGAAUAUUGAGGCUCGCGACAAGUAUCAUUAUUUUCUGAUCUUCACAGAUGAUUUGAGCAGAUAUGAGUAUAUCUACUUGAUGAAACAUAAGUCUGAAACAUUUGAAAAGUUCAAAGAAUUUCAGAGUGAAGUGAAAAAUCAUCGUAACAAGAAAAUAAAGUUUCUACGAUCUGAUUGUAGAGAAGAGCAUUUGAGUUACGAGUUUGGCCUUCAGUUAAAAACAAUGUGAAAUAGUUUCACCACUCACGCCACCUGGAGCACCACAAUGUAAUGGUGUGUCCGAACGUCAUAACCAUACUUUAUUAGAUAUGGUGCGAUCUAUGAUGUCUCUUACCGAUCUACCACUAUCAUUUUGGGGUUAUGCAUUAGAGACAGCUGCAUUCACAUUAAAAGGGCACCAUCUAAAUCUGUUGAGACGACACCGUAUGAACUGUGGUUUGGCAAGAAACCAAAGUUGUCGUUUCUUAAAGUUUGGGGUUGCAAUGCUUAUGUGAAAAAGUUUCAUCCUGAUAAGCUCAAACCAAAUCGGAAAAGUGUGUCUUCAUAGGAUACCCAAAAAGUUACUGUUGGGUACACCUUCUAUCACAGAUCCAAAGGCAAGACAUUCGUUGCUAAGAAUGGAUCAUUUUUAGAGAAGGAGGUUCUCUCGAAAGAAGUGAGUGGGAGGAAAGUAGAACUUGAUAAGGUAAUUGUACCUUCUCCCUUAUUGGAAAGUAGUUCAUCAUAGAAAUCUGUUCCUGUGACUAUUACACCAAUUAGUGAGGAAGCUAAUGAUGAUGAUCAUGUAACUUCAGAUCAAGUUACUACCGAAUCUCGUAGGUAAACCAGAGUAAGAACCGCACCAGAAUGGUACGGUAAUCCUGUUCUGGAGGUCAUGCUACUUGACCAUGACGAACCUACGAACUAUGAAGAAGCGAUGGUGAGCCCAAAUUCCGCAAAAUGGCUUGAGGCCAUGAAAUCUGAGAUGGGAUCCAUGUAUGAGAACAAAGUAUGGACUUUGGUUGACUUGCCUGAUGAUCGGCAAGCCAUUGAUAAUAAAUGGAUCUUCAAGAGGAAGACGGACACUGAUAGUAGUGUUACUAUCUACAAAGCUAGAAUUGUCGCAAAAGUUUUCGACAAGUUCAAGGUGUUGACUACGAUGAGAGUUUCUCACUCGUAUCUAUGCUUAAGUCUGUCCGAAUCAUGUUAGCAAUUGCCGCAUUUUUAUGAAAUCUGGCAAAUGGAUAAACAAAACUACAUUCCUUAAUGGAUUUAAAGAACAGUUGUAUAUGAUGCAACCAGAAGGUUUUGUCAAUCCUAAAGGUGCUAACAAAAUAUGCAAGCUCCAGCGAUCCAUCUAUGGACUGGUGCAAGCAUCUCGGAGUUGGAAUAUACGCUUUGAUAAGUUGAUCAAAGCAUAUAGUUUUAUACAGACUUGCGGUGAAGCCUGUAUUUACAAGAAAGUGAGUGGGAGCACUACAACAUUUCUGAUAAGUAUAUGUGUAUGACAUAUUGUUAAUCGGAAAUAAUGUAGAAUUAUUCUGCAAAGCAUGAAGGAGUGUUUGAAAGGAAUUUUCCAAAGAAAGACCUCGGCGAAGUUGCUUACAUAUUGAGCAUCAAGAUCUAUAGAGAUAGAUCAAGACGCUUGAUAAGGUUUUUCAAUAAAUACAUACCUUGACAAGAUUUUGAAGUAGUUCAAAAUGGAACAGUCAAAGAAAGAGUUUCUUGCCUAUGUUACAAGGUGUGAAAUUGAGUAAGACUCAAAGCCCGACCACGGCAGAAGAUAGAAAGAGAAUGAAUGUCAUUCCCUAUGCCUUGGUCAUAGGUUCUAUAAAGUAUGCCAUGCUGUGUACCAGAUCUAUUGUAUACCCUAACACUGAGUUUGGCAAGGGAGUACAAUAGUGAUCUAGGAGUAGAUCACUGGACAACGGUCAAAAUUAUCCUUAGUGGAAUAAGGAUAUGUUUCUCGAUUAUGGAAGUGAAAAAAGGUUCGUCGUAAAGGGUUACACCGAUGCAAGUUUUGACACUAAUCUAGAUGAAUCUAAGUCUCAAUCUAGAUACAUAUUGAAAGUGGGAGCAAUUAGCUAGAGUAGCUCCGUGCAGAGCAUUGUUGACAUAAAUAUUUGCAAAAUACUUACGGAUCUGAAUAUAACAGACCCGGUGACUAAAAUUAUCUCACAAGCAAAACAUGAUCACACCUUAGUACUCUUUGGGUGUUAAUCACAUAGCGAUGUGAACUAGAUUACUGACUCUAGUAAACCCUUUGGGUGUUGGUCACAUAUCGAUGUGGAUUAUGGGUGUUAAUCACAUGGUGAUGUGAACUAUUGCUAUUAAAUCACAUGGUGAUGUGAACUAGAUUAUUGACUCUAGUGCAAGUGGGAGAUUGAAGGAAAUAUGCCCUAGAGGCAAUAAUAAAAGUUAUUAUUUCCUUAUAUCAUGAUAAAUGUUUAUUAUUCAUGCUAGAAUUGUAUUAACCGGAAACAUAAUACAUGUGUGAAUACAUAGACAAACAGAGUGUCACUAGUAUGCCUCUACUUGACUAGCUCGUUAAUCAAAGAUGGUUAUGUUUCCUAACCAUGGACAAAGAGUUGUCAUUUGAUUAACGGGAUCACAUCAUUAGUUGAACGAUCUGAUUGACAUGACCCAUUCCAUUAGCUUAACACCCGAUCGUUUAGUAUGUUGCUAUUGCUUUCUUCAUGACUUAUACAUGUUCCUAUGACUAUGAGAUUAUGCAACUCCCGUUUGCCGGAGGAACACUUUGUGUACUACCAAACGUCACAACAUAACUGGGUGAUUAUAAAGGAGCUCUACAGGUGUCUCCAAAGGUACAUGUUGGUUUGGUUUAUUUCGAGAUUAGGAUUUUUCACUCCAAUUGUCGGAGAGGUAUCUUUGGGCCCUCUCGGUAAUGCACAUCACCGAAGCCUUGCAAGCAUUGCAACUAAUGAGUUAGUUGCGAGAUGAUGUAUUACAGAACGAGUAAAGAGACUUGCCGGUAACGAGAUUGAACUAGGUGUGGGAUAUCGACGAUCGAAUCUGGGGCAAGUAACAUACCGAUGACAAAGGGAACAACGUAUGUUGUUAUGCGGUCUGACCGAUAAAAGAUCUUCGUAGAAUAUGUAGGAGCCAAUAUGAGCAUACAGGUUCCGCUAUUGGUUAUUGACCGGAGACGUGUCUCGGUCAUGUCUACAUUGUUCUCGAACCCGUAGGGUCCGCACGCUUAAGGUGACGAUGACAGUUAUAUUAUGAGUUUAUGCAUUUUGAUGUACCGAAGGUUGUUCGGAGUCCCGGAUGUGAUCACGGACAUGACGAGGAGUCUCGAAAUGGUCGAGACAUAAAGAUUGAUAUAUUGGAAGCCUAUGUUUGGAUAUCGGAAGUGUUCCGGGUGAAAUCAGGAUUUUACCGGAGUACCGGGAGGUUACCGAAACCCCCCGGGAGGUAUAUGGGCCUUAGUGGGCCUUAGUGGAAGAAGAGAAGAGGCAGCCAGGGCUGGGCCGCGGGCCCCUCCCCCCCUUGGUCCGAAUUGGACAAGGAGAGGGGGUCGGCCCCCCUUCCUCCUCUCUCUCCUCUUUCCCCCCCUCCACGAAUCCUAUUCCAACUAGGAAAGGGGGGGAGUCCUACUCCUAGAAGGAGUAGGACUCCUCCUGGCGCGCCUCUCCUGGCCGGCCGGCCCCCCUCCCUUGAACCUUUAUAUACGGAGGUAGGGGCACCCCCUAGAGACACAAGUUGAUCCACGUGAUCAUAUUCUUAGCCGUGUGCGGUGCCCCCUUCCACCAUAGUCCUCAAUAAUAUUGUAGCGGUGCUUAGGCGAAGCCCUGCGACAGUAGUACAUCAAGAUCGUCACCACGCCGUCACGCUGACGGAACUCUUCCCCGACACUUUGCUGGAUCGGAGUCCGGGGAUCGUCAUCGAGCUGAACGUGUGCUAGAACUCGGAGGUGCCGUAGUUUCGGUGCUUGACCGGUCGGGCCGUGGAGACGUACGACUACAUCAACCAAACGCUUCCAUUUCGAUCUACAAGGGUACGUAGAUCACACUCUCCCCCUCUCGUUGCUAUGCAUCACCAUGAUCUUGCGUGUGCGUAGGAAAUUUUUUGAAAUUACUACGAAACCCAACAAUAUCCAUUGAUACACUCAAAAAGAAAGAUGUCAAACUCCCAAAAGAGAGAAUGGUUCCAAACAAACCAAGCCCUCUACAAAGUUUCAUGAUGGCACAAAGCACCAAAAAGAAACGGCUUGCCUUCCACAAACACACACUUGAUAAGGAUCACAAGAUGAGUGUUUUAUAGAGAAUACGAUAGCUCCCCCAAGACUAGUGCAUUAUAGAGAAUUUGCAUUUGAAUACAAAAUGCACGAGGUGGGAUCACCGCUUUCACUAUAUCUAGAAAACACUAGACAAGGUCAAGAAAUACACAAGAUCCACAGGUGGUAUGGAAGACAAAGGGAGUUGAUACAAACCUUGGCAAGAGAAAGGGCAAAUAAAAAGAAAAAGCCAAUGUAAAGAUGAUCAAUAGAUUCUACCACAAAAGUGAGUACCAAUUGUCAAAAGACAAGAAGUAAACGGAAAAAAUUCCCGGUGGUAGAUAACAAGGAUAUCCGACAUUAUCUUCACACCAAACAAAAAGCAAAAUGCAACUUGUAGAGCUAACAUGCCACCUAGGAACAAGAUAAUUUACAAUAUCAACUCUAGGUGACAAUAUCUCAAAUGUACACAUUUUCUAGGCUAGUAAUAUACACAUAGCAUAUUACUCCCCCAUAAUGUGAUACCAAUUAAGGAAGAACAAGAGGCAAAUAAAAGGAUCCAACAAGAGAUAAUUAAUGGACUAUUUAGAAUUUGAAUUUCUCAUGAGAAGACAUACCACAUAGCGACUAGAUAAUCUUGUAAUAUCAAUACUAGAUGGUAUUCCUCAUGUACACACAUUUAUAGGAUUGUGAGGUGCACAAAGCACAUCACUCCCCCACAAUGGGAUAUUCCAUUAAUCUCUCACAAGAGCCAACUAAGAUAUGACCAAGAUGCACAAAGGCUCAACUAACGACACACAUGUACAUGAUGUGCAAACCAACACACACAUACUUGAUUGCUCAAGAUAAUCAAGUUGGAAGCACAACAUAUACAAACACAUGCAAGGAACAAAGCCAAACAUGCAAAGGGGCAAGUAAUUUUCAAUGUAAACAAUUUAAGCACGAGUUACCACAAGGAGGAAAAUUGGAUAUAAGAUAGAAACUUGAUAAUCCAAAUGACUUGGCUUGAGACAAUAAGAAUGAUGAAGUCCCCUUAAUUCUUCAUAAUGUAGCCAAGUCUCCAAUGACCUCCAACAUCACCUAUUGAUCAAGUUUGAGCUUGUUGGUCCCCAACCAAGUUGGGUCCUAAGAGGUUAGUCACAAUGGGCUUGGCUACCCAAAUGGUUCUUUGCUUCAAACCACUUUGAGUACCAACAAACUUGGCAACCACAUUGCCAACAUUAUCCUUCCCAAGAGAAUAGACAUCAUCAAUAAUAAUUGGGUUGGAUAAGUUACCACUAGUGCAUGAAGAGGCGAGGUGACCUUUCUCGCGACAUAGGUAGCAACGUCUACUCUUCACUUUCUUCUCACUUGAUUUCUCAACUUGAGAAGCAUAAGCUUGAGUCUUCUUGGGAAGAGGCUUUUCUUCAACUUGAGGUUGAGAAUGAGAGUGAACUUGUGGCCGCUUCCCUUGUUGCUUGUCACUAAUGGGCUUCUUCUUCAAUUGGCAAGAUCUAACAUGAUGCCCUUCUACUUUGCACUUGAAGCAAACAAUCUUGGCCGAAUUCUUGACUUGUUUUUGGCCCUUCUUUUUGUUCACCUUGGACUUCUUCUUCUUGUUGGAGUUGAAUCCAAGUCCAACUUUGUCAUUGGUUUUUUUUUGCACACUCAAGAUAUUGUUGAGUGUGAAUUUCCCUUCAUGACUCUUUUCCAAGUCUUUCUUCAAAGAAGUGACUUGGGCCUUGAGCUCUUUGAUUUCCUCUACAUGGUUAGUCUCAACACAAGUACUAGAGGAAGUAUAAGCUUCAACAUUAGAGCAACAAGGCAAGGAAAGCAAUUCAUCACAAGAUGUACCAAUGUUAUGCAUGGAUGAAUUGCGAGGACCAGCACAAGGCAAUAUAGCAUUUUGACCAAAAGUAGUGCUAGUAUCCACAUGAGGCUCACUAGAUGUUACCUUAGCAAGCAUGGCCUCUUGAGCUAUCUUUAGCACAUUAUGGGAUACUAGAAGAUCAUCAUGAGAGCUUGUGAGCUUUACAUGAUUUUCUUCCAACAUCCCAUAGUUGCUAGAUAGCAACUCAAGUUGAGCCCUUAGCUCAACAUUCUCCAUUAAUAUGGAUGCUUCACAAGAGAUAGAGUUAGUAGCACAAGCAUCAUCAUUAGCAACAAGAGGAGAAGACAACUUGGCAAGCUCUUCUGAAUAUGAAGCUUUAAGUUGAGCAUGAGACUCGGUGAGUUUGAUGAGCUCACUCUUAAUGACCCUUGAGCCAUUUUCGAGGUGCUCAAAGUCCUCAAGGAGUUUAGCAUGCGCAACUUCAAGCUCCUCAUUUUUAGUUUCAAAAUCAUUGGCCACCUCAAGAGCUCUAUCACGAGAUUCCCUCACUCUAGAUAAUUCUAGAGCAAAAGUCUCCUUAAGAGAUUCCUUGGUGGUUUGUUCAAGUUCAAGAGCUUGAGAGAGGUCUGCAAUCUCAUUUGCGUAAUCACGCUCAUGAGCUUCCAUUUUAUCAAUGGUGACCUCAUGCUCCUCUAGAUGAGAUUCCAACUCCUCAAUGUAUUUCUUGCCUUCAAUGGCAAUAGACAUGAUUUCCAUGAAGUUGGAACAAGCAAGUUUAUUUUUGUGAAGAGCUUUAAAAAUCAUUUCCCCCUUAGUUUUUAAGGAGGCAACAUUAUCAUUCUCUUCAUCAUAAUCAACAUCAUCAUCACUCUUGCCAUCAUCAUAAGAUAUAUUGGGAUUCAAAGUGGGAGAUACCUUUGAAGCCUUGGCCAUAAGGCAAAAUGCAAUAGAUGAUGAUGUAGGAUCCGUUGAAGCACCAUUCAAGACCACAUCUUGUUCCAUGGGGUGUUGGGUUUCCUCUACAUUGUUAGCACAACAAUUCGAGGACAUAUAUGCAUUUUUAUCAUGGCAACAAGACAUAGUAAACAUAUCAUCAUGAGAUUUAGUCAAGAAAUUUCUACAUGAUAUGCAAGGACUAUCAACACAAGCAUGUGAAACAUUUGGAGUGCUCGAAGUGUUAAGGCCCAAAGAAGGAGCAUUGCAAUAAGAUAGUGAUGAAGGAUCAUCCACAAUAAACAUACUAUCAUCAUUGCAAUGACCAACACUACUCACCAUAUCAUUACCUUGGGGCAAACCACAUGUAGGUGAAGUAGAAGAAGUUGAGAAGACUAUACGACCAGAGGUGGAGAGAGAACAAUCAUCCCCACAAAUCUUGGACACUCCAUAUUUAUCUUGAAGCUUCGUCCACAACUCAUGAGCAUCCCGGAACGACAUGAGUUGAAAUAUAACUACAUUGCUCAAAGCAUUGAAAAGCACAUUAGAAGCUUGAGCAUUGAGAUAAGAGUUUUUCUCAUCCUCUAAAGAUAAUCUUUGGGGAUCCUUUGGAGGAGAAAAACCCAUAUCUACAAUUCGCUCUAAAUUUGGGUCCAUGACCCUAAAGAGAUUAAGCAUGCGAAUUACCCAAACAUCAAAAUUUGUGCCAUCGAAACUAAGAGUGUCAGAGAAUCCUAAUCCCCUAGUCGACAUCUUUACUCUCUAGGCGGUUAAGCCUAACAAAGAGAGACGAGGCUCUGAUAACAAUUGAAAGAUCAUGGAUGUCGCCUAGAGGGGGGGGGGUGAAUAGGCGUUUUAAAAUAAUUACGGUUUAGGCUUGAACAAAUGCGGAAUAAACCUAGCGGUUAAUUUGCCAAGCACAAAACCUAAAACAACUAGGCUCACCUAUGUGCACCAACAACUUAUGCUAAGCAAGAUAAGCAACUAUGUGAUAGCAAGAUAUAUGACAAGAAACAAUAUGGCUAUCACAAAGUAAAGUGCAUAAGUAAAGGGGCUCGGGUAAGAGAUAACCGAGGCACGCGGAGACGACGAUGUAUCCCGAAGUUCACACCCUUGCGGAUGCUAAUCUCCGUUUGGAGCAGUGUGGAGGCACAAUGCUCCCCAAGAAGCCACUAGAGCCACCGUAAUCUCCUCACGCUCUCGCACAAUGCAAGAUGCCGUGAUUCCACUAAGGGACCCUUGAGGGCGGUCACCGAACCCGUACAAAUGGCAACCCUUGGGGGCGGUCACCGAACCCGUACACUUUGGCAACCCUUGGGGGCGGUCACCGGAACCCGUCAAAUUGCUCGGGGCAAUCUCCACAACCUAAUUGGAGACCCUGACGCUUUCCCGGAGCUUUAGACCACAAUGAUUGAGCUCUGAACACCACCAACCAUCUAGGGCACCCAAGCACCCAAGAGGAACAAGCUCAAGGGUACCAAGCACCCAAGAGUAAUAAGCUUCUCAACUUGUAACUUCCACGUAUCACCAUGGAGAACUCAAACCAAUGCACCAAAUGCAAUGGCAAGGGCACACAGAGUGCCCAAGUCCUUCUCUCUCAAAUCCCAUCGAAGCAACUAAUGCUAGUGAGGAAAAUGAGAGGAAGAACAAGAAAGAGAACACAAAGAACUCCAAGAUCUAGAUCCAAGGGGUUCCCCUCACAUAGAGGAGAAAGUGAUUGGUGGAAAUGUGGAUCUAGAUCUCCUCUCUCUUUUCCCUCAAAAACUAGCAAGAAUCCAUGGAGGGAUUGAGAGUUAGCAAGCUCAAAGAAGGUCAACAAUGGGGGAAGAACACGAGCUCCAAGGAUAAGGUUCAUUGGGGAAGAAGACCCCCUCUAUAGGAGGGGGAAAAUCCAACCGUUAUGUGCUCAGCCCGCACACGAGCGGUACUACCACUUAGGUGGAAGAAACAGGGAAAAGGAGCAACAAAACAUGAACCUUAGGGCGGUAGUACCGCAGGAGACAGCGGUACUACCGCUGGGUUAAGCGGUACUACCGCUCCCUUCGGCGGUACUGCCGCGCAGAACGAAGGGUAAAGGGAAAGAGGGAACCGGGCGGUACUACCGCGGAGGAAGGGCGGUACUGCCGCUAAGGAGCGGUACUGCCGCACUACUGCCGCAGCGAGGUACCGCACAAUCCAACACAGAAAAAGACCCCUCGAAACGACGCGGUAGGGACCUGGUAAGCCAACGGUAGUACUGCUGCGGAGUCACCGCCGGUACUAUCGCUUCGGAGCGGUACUGCCGCUUGUGACCCCUUAGCGGUACUACCGCUGGAUACCACGGUACUACCGCUGGGACCCUGACAAAACCACACUCAAGAAAAGAAGAACUGCCAUAACUUCUGCAUAUGAGCUCCGAAUUGAGCAAACUCAAGCUUGUUGGAAACAAGACGACGAGUAGCAUCAAAACAGCGGCUGGUUAUAGUAAGAAGAGGCAGGGGAGGUAUGCAUAACAAAAAGAGGAGUGAAACCUCCAACCGAGAAGAAUCGGCAAAACCUCCAACAUCGAAAACAUCAUAGAAGAGGCAUGCGAACUCCGUUUUCGAUGAACUCAAGCUUGUCAUCAAGAUGACCAUAAGCUCUAAGAUUCACAAAGAGAACCAAACAAGAACCAAGAAAUAUGAUGCAAGGAUGCAAUGGUUUGAGCUCUCUACGAACGAUACGAUCAAGCUACUCAUCGAGAGCCCCCCUUGAUAGUACGACAAUCGAUCCUAUAACCCGGUCUCCCAACUACCAUCAUGAGACCGGUAAAAUAGAAAACCUACCAAGGGCAAACCUUUGCCUUGAACAUGGUCCAUUUGAGCUAGAUGAUGACGAUCUUGACUCCCUCAAGUUGGACCACCUUUCUUGAUUGGGUUGACUCGAUGAAGACUAGUUGAUUGCUCCCCCAUACUCCACUAUGGGUGAGCCACUCUUCCGCACAUCUUCACAAGUCCAUUGUCACCACAAAGGAUGGCAAGCUUCAAGCAUUUGAUCUCUUCGUGAUGCUCCACUUGAACUUGCACACCGCAACCUUUCUUGAUUGUGUUGACUCAAUGAAGACUAGUUGAUUGCUCCCCCAUACUCCAGUAUGGGUGAGCCACUCUUCCGCACAUCUUCACAAGUCCAUUGUCACCACAAAGGAUGGCAAGCUUCAAGCAUUUGAUCUCUUCGUGAUGCUUCACUUGAACUUGCACACCGCAACCUAACCCCACAAAGAACCCUCACGAAGACCAUGGGUCAGUACACAAAGCGUAAUUGGCAAUGCUUACCAUACCAUGGGAUCACUUGAUCCCUCUCAAUACAUCUUCUACGCUUUGUGGGUUGAUCAGCUUGAUUCACUCUUUGACUUAGUCUUGAUCAACCUCUCACAAGACCAAUCUUUAGGUAAUUCCUUGAAUAGCACCUUGGUCGACACAAACUCUCCUUGAACCCAACACAUGUACUCCAAGAAAAGUCUAUGGACAAAACCUUCAAAUAUAACUCAAGGCAACCAUUAGUCCAUAGAGAUUGUCAUCAAUUACCAAAACCAAACACGGGGGCACCGCAUGUUCUUUCACCGCUGAGGCGCCUCUGGAGGUCGUGGAAGACUGCCGAACGCGCCUUCAGCCACCUCCUCCUGAAGCAGUGCAAGCGCGCAGGCGGUAUCCAGGUCCGGUGGCCUCUGAACGAGCACCACUGCCUGAAUAUCCUUCCUCAGCCCCUCGACAAAACAAGUCAAGAAGUAGAAAGGAUGAAUCGUGUCAGAAUAUGAUGAUAAAUGGUUUAUGAUCAAUUCGAAUUGCUCUAUGUAAUGUGCUACAGAAGAAGUUUGGCGGACAAUAUAGAACUGCCUGAUCAGCGUCUGAUGCCGAUCGCGACCAAACCGGGUAUAGAGUAAGGCAGUAAAAGCAUCCAAUCAAAAUCUGCAAGUCUUUUUUGUAUGGAUUGAAGCCAGAUGGCGGCCGACCCCGAGAAAUUCAGGGCCGCCAUGGGUACCCAAGGUAAGAUGCCAAACAUUUGGAAGUACUACUCGCACAUAGUUUUCCACAAAUUCGGGUUGUCGCCCGAGAACUGCGGAAAUGCAAUGGAUGGGUGGGAUUGACCCAGUCCAGACAGGAGUUGACUAGCAUGAGCAAACGGCGAGAGCGCGGGCGGAGACGCUGAUAGAGAGGAGGACGGACCUGUUGCCGGGGGUGGCGGCGGUGUCUGUAAGAACACCGCGGCGUUCCCCCGUGGCAAAUUGAAGACGCCGUGGCCACUGGGCCCUGGGAUGUCGCUGCCCGCGCCGCCACCAGCCCCCGUGAGGACGCUGGUCGUCGCAGAAGGGCCUGACUUCGGAAGCGUCGCGUGAGGGUCCUCGUCCCUCGUAGAGGACGGCAGUUGCGCCAUCUAGAGCGCCGCCACCGCAUCGCCGAGAUCAGCGACCCGCUUCUCCAGAUCCGGACGCCAAUUGACCAAGUCAUCGAUCUUGGCCGUGGAAGCCUGGAUCUCCGCGAUUGCCUUGUUCUGGGCCUUGAGGGUGUUGUCGAGCCGCUCGAGGAAGGCCUCGAUUGCAGGAUCCAUGGCGACAAGGUGUGUGCGAGCUUGGCGUAGACCUCUAGUCUCGAUGAGCUGCACCAGGAUGCAGCGGAGGGGAAUUACUGGUCUCUGAUACCAGAUGUUAAGGUACUGGUAGAUACUCUCUCGAUUACUAGUAGCAAUCACUUGCGGAUACAAGUUUGGUGGCGAUUACAGGAACGAUACAAGAAUUUCCUUGCUAGGGUUCGACGCGAGACAGGAAGAGGAAAGGGGAAAAGAGCCGAGCCGCCGUUGCCGUGAUCCUUUGGAUAACCCUAGGACGCUGCCGCUCCUCUCCUCAAGUAGCUUCCAGGACGGACUUCAGUUAACCCACGCUGGGCCGGAGACGCGUGGGUUGGGCUUCCUGGGCCGGGCCACACGUGGAGCCGUGGAGACCAGAUCGUUGGUGUUGCCUUGUGGGCCGGCCCUGUCAGGGACGCUGACAAGUUGUGAGGAUGGUCGACAAGCCGUCGGUUCGGUGGUCUCAUUCCACCCGGUACAUCCGACCAUACUAGGUGGUGUACUGUCGACAUUGUGGGAGCCAUAGAACACAUGGCAGCAGGCCAGUACUAGCUCCAUGUCGGUACAUCCCAGUUUGCAGCCGUUUUCUUCUUCCAUCCGAGAAAUAGUUUUGCGGUUGGUUCUUUUCGUCCCUUCAAUCAUCCGGGUGCCGAACAGAGACGCGCCAAUCCGACGGGAACGGGCUGUGGAUUCUGGAGCGCGGGGCACACAGGGUUUUGGAAUUACAGCGGGCGGUGCCCGUGACGUACGUGCAUGUGAGGUGGUGUGGCGCCCUCCUUUCCUGUCUCCUUGCGGCUCAUGCGGGGGUGGCUGGGAAACGCGCACCCAGAUGCUUGUGACUUCGGCUGGAGUGCCCGCCGCCACUGAUGCUUCUGAUUUUUUUUGAAUCUUGAGAGCCCCGAGCAAUUGAUGGAUCCAAGUUGGCUCUAGUCAACCGAUGUAGCAACUAGCAAGAUCCGAUUAUGUAGGCGAUAAGGCGAAAUACUAGUGGAUGGAAUUAUAAGAUUAAGAUGUGAGUAUUUCCAGAAGAUGGUCAAAGGAUCUCUUUAGACUGGUCACAGGGAGGAGUAACUUAAACUAGUGUCAUGCAUAUAUAUUAUGACAGUAGUCUAAGUUACUAUCUUCAUAGUGCAAAAUAACAUAGUAGCAGUGUCAUAGAUGACUUCAUUUAUUAGCUUAUAGAUUCAUCUUGUCUUGGGAAACGUUAUGUUACAGUAAGGCUGCUGCCAAUGCAUGGAUGCUUAUAUGAGGUGCUAAGCACAUUAAAUAACUUAGAGCAUCUUCAGCCGUUGGCCUCCCAGGGGGCGCCUAAAAUCGCCGCCUGGGGUGAGCCGGCGCAAAAAAUCGGCCUGGGGACGAGUUGGUCCCCAGCCGCCCGCCCCAGGCGCGUUCAAAAAAGGCAAAAAUAUAGCAAAGUUCGGCAAAGUUCGGUGAAGUUCGACAUAUAUUACAUAAUAGUCGCGGAUUUUUAUUACAUAAUAUGUCUAAAUUAAAAAACUGGCUGAACGCGGAGUAGUCGCUGUUGUCGCCGCCAUCAUCGCCGCCGGGCUUCUCCUUCUUGACGCGGUCAUCCCUGGUGGACCCCUGACCGGCGUCGCCAACUCGGACUGGUGGCGGCGGCGCGUCGUCGUCGUCGUCGCUAUCCUCGAUGACGAUGACGCCUCCUUCGUCGCGGCCCCCGUGGCGCUGCGCGAAUCGCUGCAGGGUGGCGCAUGAAGGAAAUAUGAUCUAGAGGCAAUAAUAAAGUUAUUAUUUAUUUCCUUAUAUCAUGAAAAUGUUUAUUAUUCAUACUAGAAUUGUAUUAACCGGAAACAUAAUACAUGUGUCAAUACAUAGACAAACAGAGUGUCACUAGUAUGCCUCUACUUGACUAGCUCGUUGAUCAAAGAUGGUUAUGUUUCCUAACCAUAGACAUGAGUUGUCAUUUGAUUAACGGGAUCACAUCAUUAGGAGAAUGAUGUGAUUGACUUGACCCAUUUCGUUAGCUUAGCACUUGAUCGUUUAGUUUGUUGCUAUUGCUUUCUUCAUGACUUAUACAUGUUCCUAUGACUAUGAGAUUAUGCAACUCCCGUUUAUCGGAGGAACACUUUGUGUGUCACCAAACGUCACAACAUAACUGGGUGCUUAUAAAGGUGCUCUACAGGUGUCUCCGAAGGUACUUGUUGGGUUGGCGUAUUUCGAGAUUAGGUUUUGUCACUCUGAUUGUCGGAGAGGUAUCUCUGGGCCCACUCGCUAAUGCACAUCACUAUAAGCCUUGCAAGCAUUGCAGCUAAUGAGUUAGUUGCGGGAUGAUGUAUUAUGGAACGAGUAAAGAGACUUGCCGGUAACGAGAUUGAACUAGGUAUUGAGAUACCGACGAUCGAAUCUCGUGCAAGUAACAUACCGAUGACAAAGGGAACAACGUAUGUUGUUAUGCGGUUUGACCGAUAAAGAUCUUCGUAGAAUAUGUAGGAGCCAAUAUGAGCAUACAGGUUCCGCUAUUGGUUAUUGACCGGAGAUGUGUCUCGGUCAUGUCUACAUAGUUCUCGAACCCGUAGGGUCCGCACGCUUAAAGUUCGAUGACGGUUAUAUUAUGAGUUUAUGUGUUUUGAUGUACCAAAGGUAGUUCGGAGUCCCGGAUAAGAUCGGGGACAUGACGAGGAGUCUCGAAAUGGUAGAGACGUAAAGAUCGAUAUGUUGGACGACUAUAUUCGGACACCGGAAAGGUUCCGAGUGAUUCGGGUAUUUAUCGGAGUACCGGGGAGUUACGGGAAUUCACCGGGGAGUGUAUGGGCCUUAUUGGGCUUUAGGGGAAAGAGAGAGAGGCAGGCCGCGCGCCCCCCAAGGCCUAGUCCGAAUUGGACUAGGGGGAAGGGCUGCGCCCCUUUCUUCCUUCUCUUCUCUUUUCCCUUUCCUUCUCUCCUACUCCUACUACUUGGAAGGGCUCCUAGUUCUACUAGGAAAGGAGGAAUCCUACUCCCGGUGGGAGUAGGACUCCUCUAGGGAGCACCAUAGAGAGGGCCGGCCCCACCCCUCCUCCACUCUUUUAUAUACGUGACCAGGGGGCACCCCAUAGAGACAACAAUUGAUCUCUUGAUCUCUUAGCCGUGUGCGGUGCCCCCUUCCACCAUAAUCCACCUCGAUCAUAUCAUAGCGGUGCUUAGGCGAAGCCCUGCGUCGGUAGAACAUCAUCAUCGUCACCACGCCGUCAUGCUGACAAAACUCUCCCUCAACACUUGGCUGGAUUGGAGUUCGAGGAACGUCAUAGAGUUGAACGUGUGCAGAACUCGGAGGUGCCGUGCGUUCGGUACUUGAUCGGUCGGAUCGUGAAGACGUACGACUACAUUAACCGUGUUGUGCUAACGCUUCCGCUUUCGGUCUACGAGGGUACGUGGACACACUCUCCCCUCUCGUUGCUAUGCAUCACCAUGAUCUUGCGUGUGCAUAGAAAUUUCUUGAAAUUACUACGUUCCACAACAGUGGCAUCCGAGCCUGGUUUUAUGCCUUGAUGUAAUAUGCACGAGUAGAACACAAGUGAGUUGUGGGCGAUAUAAGUCAUACUGCUUACCAGCAUGUCACACUUUGGUUCGGCGGUAUUGUUGGAUGAAGCGGCCCAGACCGACAUUACGCUUACGCUUACGCGAGACUGGUUUUACUGCCGUGCUAUGCACACAGGUGACUAGCGGGUGUCAGUUUCUCCAACUUUAGUUGAACCGAGUGUGGCUAUGCCCGGUCCUUGAGAAGGUUAAAACAACACUAACUUGACAAACUAUCAUUGUGGUUUUGAUGCUUAGGUAAGAACGGUUCUUGCUCAGCGCGUAGCAGCCACGUAAAACUUGCAACAACAAAGUAGAGGACGUCUAACUUGUUUUUGCAGGGCAUGUUGUGAUGUGAUAUGGUCAAGACAUGAUGAGAUAUAAAGUUGUUGUAUAAGAUGAUCAUGUUUUGUUGAAGUUAUCGACAACUGGCAGAAGUCUUAUGGUUGUCUCUUUAUUGCAUAAGAUGCAAGCACCAAAUAAUUGUUUUACUUUAUCGCUAUGCGAUAGCAAUAGUUGCAAGAACAAUAGUUGGCGAGACGACCAUGUGACGACACAUUGAUAUAGAUCAAGAUGAUGGAGAUCAUGGUGUCAUGCCGGUGAUGAUGGAAAUCAUGACGAUGCUUUGGAGAUGGAGAUCAAAGGCACAAGAUGAUGAUGGCCAUAUCAUGUCACAUAUUUUGAUUGCAUGUGAUCUUUAUCUUUUAUGCAUCUUAUUUUGCUUAGUUCGACGGUAGCUUUAUAAGAUGAUCUCUCACUAAUUAUCAAGGUACAAGUGUUCUCCCUGAGUAUGGACCGUUGCGAAAGUUCUUCAUGCUGAGACACCACGUGUUGAUCGGGUGUGAUAGGCUCUACGUUCAAAUACAACGGGUGCAAAACAGUUGCACAUGCGGAAUACUCAGGUUAAACUUGACGAGCCUAGCAUAUAACAGAUAUGGUCUCGGAACACUGAGACCGAAAGGUCGAGCGUGAAUCAUAUAGUAGAUAUGAUCAACAUAGUGAUGUUCACCAUUGAAACUACUCCGUCUCACGUGAUGAUCGGACAUGGUUUAGUUGAUAUGGAUCACGUGAUCACUUAGAGGAUUAGAGGGAUGUCUAUCUAAGUGGAAGUUCUUAAGUAAUAUGAUUAAUUGAACUUAAAUUUAUCAUGAACUUAGUCCUGGUAGUAUUAGCAUAUCUAUGUUGUAGAUCAAUAGCUCGCGUUUAGCUCCCCUGUUUUAUUUUUGAUAUGUUCCUAGAGAAAACUAAGUUGAAAGAUGUUAGUAGCAAUGAUGCGGAUUGGAUCCGUGAUCUGAGGUUUAUCCUCAUUGCUGCACAGAAGAAUUAUGUUCUUGAUGCACCGCUAGGUGACAAACCUAUUGUAGGAGCAGAUGCAGAUGUUAUGAACGUUUGGCUAGCUCAAUAUGAUGACUACUUGAUAGUUUAGUGCACCAUACUUAAACGGCUUAGAAUCGGGACUUCAAAGACGUUUUGAACGUCAUGGACCAUAUGAGAUGUUCCAGGAGUUGAAGUUAAUAUUUCAAGCAAAUACCCGAGUUGAGAGAUAUGAAGUCUCCAACAAGCUCUAUAGCUAAAAGAUGGAGGAGAAUAGCUCAAGCAGUGAGCAUGUGCUCAGAUUGUCUGGGUACUACAAUCGCUUGAAUCAAGUGGGAGUUAAUCUUCCAGAUAAAAUAGUGAUUCACAGAAUUCUCUAGUCAGCAUCACCAAGUUAGUAGAACUUUGUGAUGAACUAUAAUAUGUAAGGGAUAACGGAAACGAUUCCCAAGCUCUUCGUGAUGCUGAAAUCGGCGAAGGUAGAAAUCAAGAAAAGCAUCAAGUAUUGAUGGUAAACAAAACCACUAAUUUCAAGUAAAGGGACAAAGGGAAGAAAGGGGAACUUCAAGAAGAACGGCAAGCAACUUGCUGCUCAAGUGAAAAAAACCCAAGUCUGGACUUAGUCUGAAACUGAGUGCUUCUACUGCAAAGGGACUGGUCACUGGAAGCGGAACUACCCCAAGUAAUUGGAGGAUAAGAAGGAUGGAAAAGUGAACAUAGGUAUAUUUGAUAUACAUGUUAUUGAUGUGUACUUUACUAGUGUUUAUAGCAACCCCUCAGUAUUUGAUACUAGUUCAGUUGCUAAGAAUAGUAACUCGAAACAGGAGUUGCAUAAUGAACAGAGACUAGUUAAAGGUGAAGUGACGAUGUGUAUUGGAAAUGGUUCCAAGAUUGAUAUGAUCAUCAUCGCACACUCCCUAUACUUUCGGAAUUAGUGUUAAACCUAAAAUAAAUGUUAUUUAGUGUUUGCGUUGAGCAUGAAUAUGAUUGGAUCAUGUUUAUUGCAAUACGGUUAUUCAUGUAAGUUAGAGAAUAAUUGUUGUUUUGUUUACAUGAAUAAAACCUUCUAUGGUCAUACACCCAAUGAAAAUGGUUUGUUGGAUCUCGAUCGUGUUGAUACACAUUUUCAUAAUAUCGAAACCAAAAGAUGCAAAGUUAAUAAUGAUAGUGCAACUUAUUUGUGGCACUGCCGUUUAGGUUAUAUUGGUGUAAAGCGCAUAAAGAAAAUCCAUGCUAAUGGGCUUUUGGAAUCACUUGAUUAUGAAUCAGUUGAUGCUUGCGAACCAUGCCUCAUGGGCAAGAUGACUAAGACUCCGUUCUCCGGAACAAUGGAGCGAGCAACAGAUUUUUUGGAAAUCAUACAUACUGAUGUAUGUGGUCCGAUGAAUAUUGAGGCUCGCGGCAGGUAUCCUUAUUUUCCGAUCUUCAUAGAUGAUUUGAGCAGAUAUGAGUAUAUCUACUUGAUGAAACACAAGUCUGAAACAUUUGAAAAGUUCAAAGAAUUUCAGAGUGAAGUGGAGAAUCAUCGUAACAAAAAAUAAAAGUUUCUAUGUUAUAAUCGCAGAAGUAAAAUAUUUGAGUUACGAGUUUGGCCUUCAGUUAAAACAAUGUGAAAUAGUUUCACUACUCACGCCACCUGAAACACCACAGUGUAAUGGUGUGUCCGAACGCCGUAACCGUACUUUAUUAGAUAUGGUGCGAUCUAUGAUGUCUCUUACCAAUUUACCACUAUCGUUUUGGGGUUAUGCAUUAGAGACAACUACAUUCAUGUUAAAUAGGGAACCAUCUAAAUACGUUGAGACGACACCAUAUGAACUAUGGUUUGGCAAGAAACCUAAGCUGUCGUUUCUUAAAGUUUGAGGUUGCAAUGCUUAUGUGAAAAAGUUUCAACCUGAUAAGCUCAAACCCAAAUCGGAGAAGUGCGUCUUUAUAGGAUACCCAAAAGAAAAUAUUGGGUACACCUUCUAUCACAGAUCCGAAGGCAAGUUAUUCAUUGCUGAGAAUGGAUCCUUUCUAGAGAAGGAGUUUCUCUCAAAAGAAGUGAAUGGGAGGAAAAUAGAACUUGAUGAGGUAACUAUACCUGCUCCCUUAUUGGAAAGUAGUUCAUCACAGAAAUAUGUUCCUGUGACUACUACACCAAUUAGUGAGGAAGCUAAUGAUGAUGAUCAUGUAACUUCAGAUCAAGUUACUACCGAACCUUGUAGGUAAAUCAGAGUGAGAUCCGCACCAGAGUAGUACGGUAAUCCUGUUCUGGAGGUCAUGUUACUUGACCAUGACAAACCUACGAACUAUGAGGAAGCAAUGAUGAGCCUAGAUUCGGCGAAAUGGCUUGAGGCCAUGAAAUCCGAAAUGAGAUCCAUGUAUAAGAACAAAGUAUGGACUUUGAUUGACUUGUCCAAAGAUCGGCGAGCCAUUGAGAUUAAAUGGAUCUUCAAGAGGAAGACGAACGCUGAUAGUAGUGUUACUAUCUACAAAGCUAUAAUUGUCGCAAAAGGUUUUCGACAAGUUCAAGGUGUUGACUACGAUGAGAGUUUCUCACUCGUAUCUAUGCUUAAGUCUGUCUGAAUCAUGUUAGCAAUUGCCACAUUUUAUGAAAUCUGGCAAAUGGAUAAACAAAACUACAUUCCUUAAUGGAUUUAUUAAAGAAGAGUUGUAUAUGAUGCAACAAGAAAGUUUUGUCAAUCCUAAAGGUGCUAACAAAAUAUGCAAGCUCCAGCGAUCCAUCUAUGGACCGGUGCAAGCAUCUCGGAGUUGGAAUAUACGCUUUGAUAAGUUGAUCAAAGCAUAGAGUUUUAUACAGACUUGCGGUGAAGCCUGUAUUUACAAGAAAAUGAGUGGGAGCACUACAACAUUUCUGGUAAGUAUAUGUGAAUGACAUAUUGUUGAUCGGAGAUAAUGUAGAAUUAUUCUGCAAAGCAUAAAGGAGUGUUUGAAAGGAGUUUUUCAAAGAAAUACCUCGGUGAAGUUGCUUACAUAUUGAGCAUCAAGAUCUAUAGAGAUAGAUCAAGAUGCUUGAUAAGUUUUUUCAAUGAAUACAUACCUUGAUAAGAUUUUGAAGUAGUUCAAAAUGGAACAGUCAAAGAAAGAGUUCUUGCCUGUGUUACAAGGUGUGAAACUGAGUAAGACUCAAAGCCCGACCACGGCAGAUGAUAGAAAGAGAAUUGAAGUCAUUCUCUAUGCCUUGGCCAUAGGUUCUAUAAAAUAUGCCAUGCUAUGUACCAGAUCUAUUGUAUACCCUACACUGUUUUUGGCAAGGGGUACAAUAGUGAUCUAGGAGUAGAUCACUGGACAGCGGUCAAAAUUAUCCUUAGUGGAAUAAGGAUAUGUUUCUCGAUUAUGGAGAUGACAAAAAGGUUCGUCGUAAAGGGUUACGUCGAUGCAAAUUUUGACACUGAUCCAGAUGACUCUAAAUCUCAAUCUGGAUACAUAUUGAAAGUGGGAGCAAUUAGCUAGAGUAGCUCCGUGCAGAGCAUUGUUGACAUAGAAAUUUGCAAAAUACUUACGGAUCUGAAUGUGGCAGACCCGUUGACUAAACUUCUCUCACAAGCAAAACAUGAUCACACCUUAGUACUCUUUGGGUGUUAAUCACAUAGCGAUGUGAACUAGAUUAAUGACUCUAGUAAACCCUUUGGGUGUUGGUCACAUGUCGAUGUGAACUAUGGGUGUUAAUCACAUGGUGAUGUGAACUAUUGGUAUUAAAUCACAUGGCGAUGUGAAUUAGAUUAUUGACUCUAGUGCAAGUGGGAGACUGAAGGAAAUAUGCCCUAGAGGCAAUAAUAAAGUUAUUAUUUAUUUCCUUAUAUCAUGAUAAAUGUUUAUUAUUCAUGCUAGAAUUGUAUUAACCGGAAACAUAAUACAUGUGUCAAUACAUAGACAAACAGAGUGUCACUAGUAUGCCUCUACUUGACUAGCUCGUUGAUCAAAGAUGGUUAUGUUUCCUAACCAUAGACAUGAGUUGUCAUUUGAUUAACAGGAUCACAUCAUUAGGAGAAUGAUGUGAUUGACUUGACCCAUUUCGUUAGCUUAGCACUUGAUCAUUUAGUUUGUUGCUAUUGCUUUCUUCAUGACUUAUACAUGUUUCUAUGACUAUGAGAUUAUGCAACUUCCGUUUACCGGAGGAACACUUUGUGUGCCACCAAACAUCACAACGUAACUGGGUGAUUAUAAAGGUGCUCUACAGGUGUCUCCGAAGGUACUUCUUAGGUUGGGGUAUUUCGAGAUUAGGAUUUGUCACUCCGAUUGUCGGAGAGGUAUCUCUGGGCCCACUCGGUAAUGCACAUCACUAUAAGCCUUGCAAGCAUUGCAACUAAUGAGUUAGUUGCGGGAUGAUGUAUUAUGGAACGAGUAAAGAGACUUGCCAGUAACGAGAUUAAACCAGGUAUUGAGAUACCGACGAUCGAAUCUCGGGCAAGUAACAUACCGAUGACAAAGGGAACAACAUAUGUUGUUAUGCGGUUUGACUGAUAAAGAUCUUCGUACAAUUUGUAGGAGCCAAUAUGAGCAUUCAAGUUCCGCUAUUGGUUAUUGACCGGAGACGUGUCUCGGUUAUGUCUACAUAGUUCUCGAACCCGUAGGGUCCGCACGCUUAAAGUUCAAUGACGGUUAUAUUAUGAGUUUAUGUGUUUUGAUGUACCGAAGGUAGUUUGGUGUCCCGGAUGAGAUCGGGGACAUGACGAGGAGUCUGGAAAUGGUCGAGACAUAAAGAUCGAUAUAUUGGACGACUAUAUUCGGACACCGGAAAGGUUCCGAGUUAUUCGGGUAUUUAUCGGAGUACCGGGGAGUUACGGGAAUUCGCCGGUGAGUGUAUGGGCCUUAUUGGGCUUUAGGGGAAAGAGAGAGAGGCAGGCUGCGCGCCCCCCAAGGCCUAGUCUGAAUUGGACUAGGGGGAGGGUUGCGCCCCCUCCUUCCUUCUCUUAUCUUUUCCCUUUCCUUCUCUCCUACUCCUACUACUUGGAAGGGCUACUAGUUCUACUAGGAAAGGGGGAAUCCUACUCCUGGUGGGAGUAGGACUCCCCUAGGGCGCACCAUAGAAAGGGCCGGCCCCUUCCCUCCUCCACUCCUUUAUAUACGUGACCAGGGGCACCCCAUAGAGACAACAAUUGAUCUCUUGAUCUCUUAGCCGUGUGCGGUGCCCCCCUCCAUCAUAAUCCACCUCAAUCAUAUCGUAGUGGUGCUUAGGCGAAGCCCUGCAUCGGUAGAACAUCAUCAUCGUCACCACGCCGUCGUGCUGACGAAACUCUCCCUCAACACUCGGCUGGAUCGGAGUUCGAGGGAUGUCAUCGAGUUGAACGUGUGCAGAACUCGGAGGUGUCGUGCGUUCGGUACUUGAUCGGUCGGAUCGUGAAGACGUACGACUACAUCAACUGCGUUUUGCUAACGCUUCCGCUUUCAGUCUACGAGGGUACAUGGACACACUCUCCCCUCUCGUUGCUAUGCAUCACCAUGAUCUUGCGUGUGCGUAGGUAAAUUUUGAAAUUACUACGUUCCCUAACAGUGCACUGGCGCUCCCUCGCCAUCUUCAGGGAGUCCGCGCGCGCCCAUUCCAGGGCCGCGUCAUCGUCGAGCUCGACGUCGCCGCCGUGCUCCGUCUUCACCGCGGGGAGGAGGCCCGGCUCCGUCGUCACCGCCGCGAGCCCCGGCUCCAUCUUGGGCUUGACGAAGCGCGGAGGAGGAGCUGAUGAGGAGGCGCGCCAGCCGCCCUCAUUGAUGACGAUGGCGACGCUGCGAGUGCGCCCCCGAGCGGCGUCUCUGUCGCGGGCUCGGCCUUGACGCCGAGCAGCACCAGAGAGCCGGAGGAGUGCGAAGAAGAGUGUGAUGAGGAGGAAGAAGAGGAGGCGUCGAACCUCCUGGGCAACCAUUACCCGUCGCGUCGGCGGUGAGCCGUGGCUGUGGCGGCCGCCCUCGCCGAGGGGUACGCCAACGGCGGGUGGUUGCCACCCUCGAGGUGCGUCAGCACGCCCUCGAGUGUGCGACCGGGGACGCCCCACCAUAGACGGCGCCCCUUGUUGUUCUUCAUGCUGCCGACCACCGGCGCGCCGUUGGUGGACGCCAGCCGCUGCUGCUGACGGCGUUGGAAGUACACCGCCCAAGCCGCGUGGUUGUCGGCGGCGUACUGGGGGAGGGAGAGCUGGGCGUCGGUAAGGGAGGCGCGCACGACCUCGACCUCGUCGGCGAAAUACGAGGGUUUAGCCAUGGCGUCUGGCAACGGGGGAAUGGGCACUCCCCCGUUGCUGAGCUUCCAGCCCGUCGGCCCGGCGCGCAUGUCCGGCGGCGCCGGGAUGUUCGCCUAGAACAAGAGCCAAGACUCUUGUUCGCGGAGCGAGCGGAGGCCGAAGCCGUUGGCCGCCGCCUCAUCUCCGGGGAAACGCUCAGCCAUCGAGAGAGGGAGGGAGAGCGAGGGCUCGACGGCGGCGCUCGGGAGAGGGGGGGCUCGGCAGCGACUCUCGGGAGAGGCAGAGCUCGACGGCUAGGACUAGGGCUGGUGUGGCCAGAGGCGAGGGAGGCCGUCGGCUUUAUAUUGCCGCGCCGCGCCCGUGUGUACGCGUGCGAGGGAGGGGAGGCGUCGGCGCGCCGUCCCGUGACACGCCGCCCGUGAGGAAUCAAUGGUAAGGCUGACCGGCGGCAGCCUUGCCAUUGAUUCCCGCGGGAAACCGAGGCGUGGGGGGAAGACGACGCGCGGUGUCGCUGACGCGGCGGGCUCGCGGCUCUUUCACGCCAAAACCGCUCGCCCCGGCGUCCCCGAGCCCCCCCCCCCAGCGCGCCGGGUUCGGCCUGGGUCCACCGACGCUAAUUUUGGCCCAGGCCGGCGAAAAUCGGGCUCCUGGGGCGCGACUGGGCUGAUUUUUCUGCGCCGACGCGAAAAAAUCGCCUGGGGAGGCCUUUCUGAGGGCGCGACUGGAGAUGCUCUUAGCAACUAUACUCCCCAAUGCAUAGGUGCUUAGCUUAUGGUUGCUAGGCUUACUUCAUUUAAUGAUUUAGCAAUUAAAGCUCUUGAUGUAUUGGUGGGCUUCCUUUCUUUAAAUGUUUUGCUUAGGUUCACGCGCUUAGCAUUGUUUCUUUCUGAGUCACCACACUCAUCUAUCUCCUCUUAAAUAACUUGCCACAUCAGAUUUUUUGCCUACAUGAAAGGCUUAGCACCUGUACAAGGUGGAAUAUUGGGAGGGGCCUAACAUACCAUGUUACCACCUCUCAUUAACUACUUGCCACAUAAGCAAAAUUUUCUUGAAGUACGCUAUGUUAUUAGCUAAGUUACUCCCACUACGACUAGCCUUAGGCCUCAUUCGGUUUGAAGGAUUUUUAUAGGAAAAACAUGGGAACAAGGAUUCCAGAUAAAAAUUUCCUAUAUAUGCAUUCGGUUUAUAGGAAAUGCGUACAUGAAUUUCGUAGGAAUACUAUUCAUUUCCUAUGCUUUUGGAGGAAACUAUACAUCCACUCAAAACUCAUUUUACGCGUAGGAACGAGGCAAGUCAAUUCCUUAAGGUGAUAAGUGACAUCCUAUCAAAUUCAUAUACUGCUCCAAAUUCCUACGUUUAGAUUUUCUCCAAACCGAAUGAGCCCUAUGUAUGUUGUGCUUUGGAAGCAAGAGCAGCUCCAACCGUUUCCUUAAAAAACUUGGUGGUUUUGCCGGAUGACCAUAAUUUAGAGGAAGUUGUCCGAAAGCAGCUUUUGUCAUUUUUUUGGCAAUUUUCUUUCCCUAUUUUGUUCUUUCAUUUUUUUCAUUAAACUUUUGUAGCUAAUGGCCGAGGGCCUGCAAGUCAAUGGUGGAGCGACGACGUGAGGUUAGUGGCCAGGCGGCAACAGCGACACGUGGCUAGCAGCGCGGUCCUAGUUGUGAGGCAGCGUGAGGCUAGUGCAUCGCGAGGUUGGCGAGGUCAUGGGGCAACAACGCGAUAGCUCGGUCCGGCGGGGCGGCGAUGGCUCAUAAAGUUUCAGUUUUCAGGCGGUUUCUAGCCCUCUAGAACUUUAUGGGAAGAUGAUCUUCCUGUAAACCUGAUGGAGCAUUGGUUUACAUGACCCUCUAAAGUUACAGGUUUACGAGAUCUGUUGGAGGGUGUUCUUUCUUCAACUUCCCGUAAAUGCCAAAUUUUUUUACAUACAUGGGAGCUGUUUGAAACGCUCUAAGGUCGAGUGAAUGUGCCCAAUUGUCGGCUCAUUGUACUUCUCAAGGAAAGAGAGCAUCAAAUGUGGCAGCGUCGUCGUUGUAUUUUUCGUUCUUUCUUAUUCUCCGCGGUAAAGGUUCGACAACACCAAGGGCCUCUUUGAUUCGCCUCUUUGAAUCGCGGGAUUCUAAAGCCGCGGGAAUAGAGAAAACAUAAGAUUGGAUUGUGUUGCUCAUCUCAAUCCUACAUAAUUUUGGGUUGUUUGAUUGUACUAGUAAACGUGUACAUGCAACGCACGUAUAACUAUACAAAAAAUUCCUUAUUCAUCUGAGUUAAUUAGCAGCCAAUAAUUUAAUAAUGCACUAAUACUUUGAUGGUAUGUGAUCAGUACUGUUAAACUUGGCCAUACCAUGAAGCUCUUUUUAUAUCUUAUUAUGUCUCAAUCUUCAAUUUUGCAUAGGUACAAGAAAUAAGGAGUUAGACUGUGACAUUAGAACAAUGGUCAGAUAUAUAGCAGCUAAAAAUAUCAGCAUGAAAUGUCAUGCAGCAACCAGCAACAAAUAUAAGUGUGCACGGAAAUGAAACAUUAUCAUUGGAAUGACAAGAUAGAAAUGAAAACAUCAUCAUCACUUGAACUGAAAAAUUAUAAUAAGCAUGACUUUAUUGCAGUAGUAACAUAGAGUAAAGAGAGAACCAAGUUUGCAUUGAAAUGUGAAGCAGCAAGUCACUGAAAAAACAAUGUGAACAAAACAAAGCAGAGAGGAAAGACCUCCGGUCCGGUGGCUGCGUGUCCCCUGGCUGUGCGAGAUGAGGGGGAGGUGUGAACUGGCGUCCCCGACGACGGCAAGGCGGUUUAGGCAGCGUCUCCUCGACGGCCGGCCAGGUGGUGUAGAGGCAGCGUCCCCAACGGCCGUCAAGGUGGCAUCUCCCCGGCGGUCCACCGGGCGGUGUAGGAGGCGGCGUCCCCGGCGGACGGCCUGCCAGGCGGUGUAGGAGGCGGCGUCCCCGGUGGACGGCCGGCCAGGCGGUGUAGGAGACGGCGUCCCUGGCGGACGGCCGGCCAGGUGGUGUAGGAGGCGGCUUCUGGUCGACGGUGUCGCCGACGGCCGAGGCCAGGCGAGGUGAUGGGUGGGCGGCACGGAGAUGUGAGGGUCGACAGAUCGAGGCGAUGGGGGCGGCUUGUGGGGCGGCUCGAUGAAUGGGAUCGGGGUCGUGAACGUACAGCGGUUUCCCCGUUAGUUUCCUUUCGUGCAAUAGGAAGGGGAUCGGGGAAGGGAAAGGAGUGUUUAGCGCUAAACGUGUUUAGUCACUCAUCAUUAGGACAAUGACAACAGUUGGAUUGAUGCGAACGGGUGGCUGAGAUGUGUUGGAUCUGCUUCUCUCGGUCUUUUUAUAUUGAUAUAAAUAUAGAAAGAACAAAUGAUUCCUUUAAAGAAGUUAGACUAGAUGCUAGAAAUCAUGCGCGAAGUAGUAAAAAAAAUCCUUUUUUUGUGAAACUAGAAAAAAAAAAUCUAAGGAUUCUAACUAUUCAAAAUUUCGAUCAAUUUCUUUGAAUUAAAGGAGCCCUUAGUACGUCUUGCGCCGGUGCGUGUAGGGAUAGUACGUGUUACCCGCAAAAAAAAAAGUACUCCCUUCGUCCGGAAAUACUUAUCGAAAAAAUGCAUAAAAUUGUUAUAUCUAGAACUAAAAUACAUCUAGAUACAUCCAUUUCUCUGACAAGUAUUUCUGAACGAAGGAAGUACGUGUUACCGCCAAAACCCGAAACGGCAGGUGCCCAAGAAGAAACGUUGCUUCAGAGCGGAAAGCAAGUGUGUAGCCGAAGCAUGAUCGAUUCGAGUCCGACUAUGCGCUGUUGCUUCCUACUCCACUUGUUUUGUGUCUUGCGCAAACCGUGAGGGGUGGGGAACGGCGAGACCGUCGACGAACACAGCGCAUGAUGGGCUCAACGGUGCCUCACCCGGGCCGGGGCUGGGGCCGCGUCCGCACGCAGCAGCGUCGGAGGCCCACCGUCGUCGUUUCCAGCCCGCACGGGCCUAGCUUUGAGCAGAUGCGCGCUAGGCCCGUUUGAAACACUUUUGGGCCCAUCAUUUUGAGCCCGAAUUGUUGUUUUUAUUUCCCGGAGCCUACGGGGUUACACACUUUUGAGCCUAAAAAUAGUCGCUGCACUUGUAAAAUCCCAGUACCUGUCUAAAUAAAAGCUUGUAAAAAUCCCAGUACUUUUUUUUGUCGACUUUGUUGUCUGAAAAAAGAGGUCUUUUUUGCCGACCAUGUAGGCCGAACUCGACAGCAUUGACUAGACUGUUGCGUGGGCGUUUUAUUAUGCGUGCGACAUCUUACUGUCCGUGGAUGAACGGAGAGCACGCGAUCUGGUAGCAGGUACUGUAACCACGAGGGCCACAUCAGCGCUGGCAGCCUGCAGUUUGACGUGGACGGGCGCACGGCUUCGAGCCACGAAGCGCAGGCAGGCACAGCCGCUCGUCACGAUCGAUCGGGACGCUCGCAUAUUCUUCCUAGCUUUGCGUUGGCGUGCACACGCAUCGCUGACUCAGCACACACGACGACGGCCUAUCUUUAUUUUUCCUUUUCCCUUUUCGUUGCCCCCUUCCGCUGACCUGAUUUUCACGCUGCCGGUAAUAAUGGUACACAAUUCUUGUUUGAACACAAUAGUGAUACACAAUUGAAAAUAAAAAUGAUGAUAAGCAUGGGACCUCCAUGCGUGAGACGAUUGAAGAAACACUAGCGACGCGUUUGGUUCCGAGAAAAUAGCACAGUUUACGAUUGCAGUGUUUCCUGAAACUGUAGCGGGCGUUUGUUUUGCGUACGAUGUUUUCCGUCGCCGCGUUUUCCGAUACACCGCUUCGUAAAGUUGAAACCGCUCGAACUGAAGUGAAUUGGAAAACAGGACUCUCAGCCCGAACCAAACAAAGAUUGUCUUAGGUAAAAACGAUUGGAAACGGUGCUUUCCGAUACGAGAAAACGAAUACAUCACGGGAACUGAACCAAACGCGUCGUAGGUUUCAGUUGAUUUCAUCACGCCGUUGGACUGAAAUCCAGCUGUUGCCUUUCUUGUUCCUCCUCGGGACAAUGUAUAAUGUUGAUCUUCUUCCUCCUCUCCACUGCAUCGGCUCGGACGAGGUUAUCUCCAAGCCCUCGCCGGUAACACCGCGGCCCCAUCGCCCUCAGGUUUCGUCCAGUCCUACCGUCCGUGAAAUCAAAAAGCCCCCCCUCCCCCUCCACGCGCGCAUCGGUUAACACUUAUCCUCGCCUCCACUGCAAUGUCGUGGACAUCUGCGUUGCCCCUGUCUCCGACGAGGCUUGACCUUGUGAGAGACGUCCCGGCUGACCGCAUCGCCCACAUCUCUUCUCGGGGCUACAGUACUGCUCCACGCGGAGUCGACUGAUCUGAAUCCUAUUUUUUACCUUUCCACACAACUGAUAAAUAGCAAAAACAUGCAAGUUUUUGCAAUACUUUGGUUAGUAUGCACACCCUCUCUAAAUUUAAGCUUCGAUUUUCCGAAUGCACGUAUUUAAUAAACUAUCGUACCUUCAUCGAGUUAGGUCUCGUUUUUUGGUGAGAUACAUACUUCACCAUUUUUUGUGUGGCUAUGACCAAAACUUCAGUCUUUGUAGAUUGGUGAAAAAUUCAUGGUUUAAGAUAUGAGCAUUGCCCUUCUUCUAGGUGGAUCACUGGACCAGGAUGACUAAAAAGUUCUAGCACUUCACACCCAACGAAUGCAGUGUGGCACUCUUGUAGUGGGUGAGACUACAAAAGAAAGACCUACAUGCUAGAGGGUCCUAGACCAGACAAUGGGACAGAAACAACAGUUGUCCAGAAGGUGAAUCAUGAUAUAAUUCUAAUGAAAAGAGUAUAUUGCAUCAAAGGGAGGGUACUCGAUGGUCGAUUCUUAGGGCCCUCUCGGUGUGACACAUGUGACUAUGCCAUGGGGAUGCGAGAACAUUUCAACGAGAAAGAAGAACAAAACCAAUAAUGAGGAGAACAGUAUAAUGAGCAUGUCUAUGACUCAAGAGGACACUAAUACACCUCAGGUUUUGUGAAGUAUUGCGAAGCGAAGGGAAUAUCACAUGAUAACAAAAGUUUACUCGAAUGUCAUUCUUGUACUCAUAGGGAUCAGUAUGGACCUCCAUGUUUCCGCUAUCGGUUAUCGAACAAAGGGGUUUUGUUCAUGUCUAUGUUUACAGAACCUAUAGGGUCACAAGCUUAAAGUAAUCAUGAUCUACUAAGUGUUAGUAGGACAUGAGUAACGAGGAUCUAUUUGUGAAAUAGUUUGAUUAAUAUUCAAAAUAGUUUCGAGAGGAACCAAAAGCGUUUCAGGGUCGCCGGAAGGGUUUCAGAGUUUAUCGGGCAAUACCGGGUAUUAUCGAUAAAUAAUAUAUAUAUAUGUGUGGAAAAUGUUUCUGAAGAUAAUAAAUUAAUAAUAAAAGACUCUAGUAAUUGUUAGAAGACUUUUAUAUUUAAUUAAAUAUCAACGGGCCUUAAAAAGCCAAGUAGUGAAAGGAGAAUUUGGGCCACGGGCCAAUAAGGGAGGCGCCCAGUUUUUCCACGUGGGGAGGUUGAACUGGACUAGGGGAGGGAUUCCUCUCACCUCUAGGCCGGCAUACCAAGGAGGGAUUCCUUCUCUCCUUGUGUUGGCCCCUCCUUCUCCCUCCAACCUGUAUAUACUAGAGGAUUUGGUGCUUUUAGAAAACACAAGUUUUGGAGCUUCCUCUUGUUCUCUAGUUCUAGUUCUAGUUCGUCCUAGUUGAUCAAUUAGAGCUUGACCUAGAUCCUCUAAUCCUCAUAAUUAGAAGCCUGGUAUGGUUCUAGUCUCCUCCCUCUAAUUCUCCAACGAUGAUUAGCUCUGCAUGGCGAACGCUGCCGGAUCAUGAAGACCGUACGCUUGAAACUCAUAGAGAGACCGUGCUUUUGGUAUUCUAUUCGAGGGAUUGUUCAUGGGUGGUUCACGGGAUCGUUCAUCUAUGUUUCGAGGGACUCCAAGUACGAUCUACAUCGACUCGUCUUCUUCCACUGCAACUCGGAGUCGGCAACGAUUGAAUCUAAACCGUCAAUGCAUCUUUAUAUUGUUCUUGGGUGAUCAUAGGGUAAAUUUUUUGUUUUCUACUACGUUUCCCAAUAGGGGAGCGCUGUGGGCCCCACACGCCCCCACCACGAUGCGAGAGGACGCGUGGAGGGGUCGUGUGGGACCCCUAGUGCUUCUUUCCACCGCAUAUGAAUGCCUAUAUUUUUGUUCGCUCCAAAACCCCUAACCAUCGAGAGUUUUUCUGUUUUUGCUGCCGCACCUCUCUGUUCUGUGGCGAUCCAAUCUGGAGGCCUUUUCUAGUAUAGUCUAUUCUGGAGGCCUUCUCUAGUAUUAUGUAGGAGGGAAAAUCAUCAAGGUGGCCAUCUCCAUCAACUUGAAGGUCACCACGACCAUUCGUGAGUUGUUUCCUUUGGACUACGGGUCCAUAACAGUACCUAGAUGGUCUUCUCUCCCUUACUUCUAAAUACAAAGAUCACAUGAGCUGCCAUACACGAUUGUGAUCCAUGUGAUGUAAUAUGUUAGUGUGUUUGUUGUAGCGUGAUGAAUUGUCACUUUAUGGUCAAAUUUAUCCAUGAAUCCUUUUGAGAUCUAUUUGGUUUAUUUGUUGCAUAAUUCUUUUUCACAUAUGCUCUUCGAUCUAUUUGUCUUCCUUUCGCCAAGUUUGAUGAGACUUGCAUUGUGUUGCACUCUUGCAAAUAAUCUAACGCAGUGAUAGAAAAGGCGUGUAUUGUGUUGUUGCCACUAGGGAUAAAACGAUGACUGCACAGUUUUUGUUUGAACACACAGUGAAGACAAUAUAUCAUCUACUUCAUGUCAUCAUACUUAAUGCAAUAAUCUAGUUAUUACUUAAUACUUUAAUAUGCAUGCUUGGAGUAUUAGCUAUAGUUGCAGUUGGAUAACGGUCUAUAGAUGUUUGGAUGUGAUGCUCAUUUGUUAGUUAUGCCAUGUAUAAUCAUAGUUAUAAAAAUGUAUUUUAAUUACGCAACUAUAAUUUGUUCACCAGACCAUGCAAUCUUUUGGCGAGAAGCCACUAGUGAACCUAUGGAUCCCGGUCCAUUCUUGUUUCUAUUUCUUUCAACCUUGAUCGAACACUCCUUUUAAGAUUCUUGUUCUUGUUCUUUUCCGUUGUAAUCAAUCUUCCAUAGACACUUCCAUUUAAUCCUUGUAAUUAGCGAGGCUAGUGAGACUGAGAACCUAGCUAGUUUCGUUUGGGGCCAAGGCAGAUUUGUAUUUGUGUGCGCAUGUACUUGUCGUUGGCUGGGUUGCAAACUCCUAAUGGUUCAAUAAACAUUAAGGUCAUCCACUUUGAGGGAAAAUUGUUGUUUGCUACAAACUCUUGCACUUGGGGGCCCAGCACCUUCCUAGUCUAGAGGAAGAAAUGAUCAUGUGGCUCGCUGGAAAGAGGCACACCAAAAACACUUUGACAAUCAAAUUGAAUAGACAUUCCUUAAAGAAAAUCAUACUAAUUUCAUUGAUGUCAUAUUCACCCGCCAUUUUGGCGAUGAGAGUUAGAACCCCAAAGUUAGACACUUAAUGGACACCAGACCUCUAUAGAAAGCAUUAAAAAUAUGGAAAACUUGCUCGUAUGGAAUAGACAAGAAUUUCUUAUAGAAUAAGUUCAACAUCUAUCUAAAUCAGGCGUGGUGUUAGAUUUGGUUGCUUUCAAAGCCCCCCCCCACCUCUGAUGGAGCAAUUGGUUGUUAAGAAAAUGUAUUUUGCAUCCGAGACUAAGCCGCAACCCUCCCAGGUUGAAGAGGCAACUGAAACCCAUUCUUGGGCCAUCAAUCCAAGGAGCAUGAUGUAGAAAUUGUAUAUGUGGGUUACAUGCUCCUUAGGAUCAUAAAUGAUAUUGUCAUCGUUCCGUAGAAGGUGAAUUAUGCAUCUCUAAUGCCACCCAUUGGCAGCCGCGUGGAUGAAGGUCGUUUAGUGUCCCCUUGGUAGGUCCUGAUAGUAGGAUCCCCUCGGGGUAGGUUAAAUACAAGGACUCAAUCCAUUAGGCAUGGGAUGGCCCAAGACCUAUCGAGAAGCCCACUGGACCGAGCCUUUUCCACGAAGUGCACUCGACUGGGUCAUUGGUGCGCUAUCAAGACAUAUGUUGUGACGCCAUGAACCGAGCAUUACCACAAGAUACUUAAUCAAGAGUAACAACACGAGAUCAAUGAUCCGUUACCACGCCCAAACGAGUCGACCAUUGUAAAACCCUAGCCUUGUUAGCCCUUUAUAAGGCAAGGUCAGGGCGCCCUCACGCGGUAUGCAGACACAAGCACACAAAGACACACUUGUACGAUCUUUGUAUUGAGAAUUCCUCGUACGAGGCCAUACAAAUAUCGAACAUGAGUAGGGUAAUACCUCUUCAACAGUGGGCCUGAACCUGGGUAACCGCCCUCAUAUGAACCCCGUCCUAGAUCAUCUUGUUGUGCUCCCAAAUCCAUGACAAUGUGUAUUGUCGCCAACCCCGUCCUAGAUCAUCUUGUUGUGCUCCCAAAUCCAUAACAAUGUGUAUUGUCGCUAAAUCCCACGACAUGUCUAGUGCCCAUUUUGUUGCAAAAAUAAAAAUAACUCACACUUAAGAGUGUAUUCUGUUUCCCCCUCCUAAAGGCAAUACAUCAACACCCGCCCCAUUUGAAAGGAGAGACUAGGUUGUUUGGCUCUCCAAUCCAAGCAGGGGCAGAGCAUCAUGGGGACCAAACUGGGCCAUGACCCAUGCGUCCCUCUCUAAAGUUAGCACGAAUUUGAUCUAAGAAUCACAGAUGGCCCGAUGAGUAAGUGGCUGACCUGUCCAUGACUUGUUCUUCAAUCUAAUUGACGCUCCACCGCUAUAUUUGGCGGGUUCGAGCCAUUGCCUCUUGAAAAAGAGUGGUUUGACCAAGGCUAGGAUCCCGGAUGACUUAAAAUAAACCUCCGUUCAGAAAUAAGUGACGUGGUUUCACUUGAUAAUUCAAGAGUUUGUGCAACGUGUGCUUAAAUAGAGUUUUUUUUCCUCGCAUCAUCACUUGAGUAGAGUUUUAGCGCAUCUACAAUGCAGAUGCUUAAAACGGGCGCUAGGGUGAUUUUUCUGGCCGUUUCGUCCGAUUCCUGGCAGAGUCCAGGAUUUUGGCUUGCGUGGGCGCAAUUCCUGUCGUCAGGCGCUUGCCCUCUUUUUUUCCACAUACAACGAACUAGGUGGUAGCGGGCGCUAACCUGAUAGCCAGAAUUAGCAUGGAGAUCUCAAGAGAAUCAACACAAACUACGCCCACUACUUUUUUUGCUGCGUUGGGGAGAGCUAACGCUUGCGUACGUCUUUUGAAUUGUGAGGCGUCUAUAGAUUACUAGGAGCGUUGGAGGCAGGGACUCUUAAACGAGCGCUACACGAAAAAACAAUUUCUUUUAAUUGCUUAAGCGCCUCAACAAGCGUUUAGCGUUGAAGAUGCCCUUAUGGUAGACUCUACCUAGAGUUGGCUGAGAUAAGCAAAUUAAUUGUAUCAGCUUUCUCCAUCAAUACCAUAUGCCACGAGAGUCUGUCGAUAAGAAAAUGAAGCAGGCUGCGGUCCCAUACUCAGCCAAUCCGAGCAUGGUCAACUGAUAAAGCACUCUAUUUUACUCGACCCGAUCCCCCAUCAGAGCCGUCGACAAACAAAGAUAAGGAUCCAACGGUCCGAAUGCGUAGCCAAAGCGUACUGCAAUGGCACUAUGCAAGCAUAGCAUACAUCCCCAGGUUCCUCCCGGCUCCACCGGAUGGGGACGGUCGGCACGCCUGCGGGAAAGGGGGACACACCACCCCCACCACAGUGCGCGCGCAGACCCGUCGCAUCCUGCAAAGCCGUGCAAGAAAAACACGUGGAUGCCUUAUCCCCUCGACCCACUCCACGGAGCCUGACUGCCGCCGAGAUGAUAACCAUCACGCCCGUAUUUAUCAUCAUCGUUUUUUAAUUCCUGCUAUUCUAUUCUGCUACGAACUGACUUCUUUAUCCCGUCCCGCGCGCAUCCUCCUCUGCCACGGCUCGUCAUUCAUUCUUAUCCUCCUCCUCCCCCGGUACCUUUAUAGCUUCCGAUCCCCCGCUCCGUCCUCCAAGCCAUCGUCCUGCUAGCACCCGUGAACUCCAGCCAUUCACGCUGCGUCGAUCGUUUGGUUUGGUUUCGUGCGUUGCUGUGAUCGUCUGAUCUGCUCGGGAGAUGGAAGCCUACAUGCUGUUCCCGCGGAGCAAUGGAAAGAGCUGCGAGGAGGAGCAGGAGGAGGACAUCGGCUGCCCGUCCGAGUCCGGGAUGUCGGCGGCCGGCUCCAUGCUGUCGUCGGACGAGGAGCUCGACGACGAUGCCACCUCCAGCUCCGGCUCCUCCGGAUCCACCGACAACUUCCAGAUGUCCUCCCUCAUGGCGCAGCUCCCGCUCAAGUACGUGCUCUGCCCGGACACCGCGGUUCUUUGUAGGCUCGAGCUCGAUCUUGAUUGAAGCUGUGGUCUGACAUGGCGUUCUUUUUCUCUUGGCGCAGGAGGGGUCUGUCCAAGUUCUUCGACGGCAAGUCGCAGUCGUUCGCGUCGCUCGCGGCCGUGGGCGGCCUGGAGGACCUGGCCAAGCCGCCGGGCAAGCGGAUCAAGGCGUCCCGGAGCUGCGAGGUCGGGCUGCAGGACGCGCACCGCCGGCGCUUCGCGCGCCGCAAUGCCGCGGCCUUCAAGAAGGUGUCCAAAGGGCGGCUGUCCGCGCUCGGUAGGGCGCCGGCGCUCCGGCCGCUGACGGCGAGCGCGGCGAGGCCCAAGGGCUUGCCCGUGCGGGCUCCGCUCUUCGUUUAGGAGAUUUCGCCCGCAGAUUAGUCGUGUCGUCGGUUGUGGCGUGCUCGAAGAGCAGUUGGUGCGGUUGUUACGUGGAUUUUGACAUGGUAACUGACCGGAUGGUGGCCGGCUGGUCAAUGGAUGUGUAAAUACAGAAAUGAGAAACAUGCCUUGUUCCGUUUCGAAUGCCAACUUAUGGCUCUCGUUUUGAUGAACUAGUCAAAAAUGUGGCAAAAUGUGAAAUGCUAGUCCUAGAACCAAAUAACCCUUUAGUUUCACCACUCGUCUAGUAAGCAAGUUAGACAUAGUAUCUAUGUUGUUCUUCACAUUAAGGACAACUCUAAUCAAUCUCAAAAGUUAACUCAAACCCCAAUUAACUUCCAAAGCGGGGUCCCAGAACUGUUAACUCCCCCAAAACUCAGUAUAUUGGAAGGUUGGUUUCUUUGAACUACGAAAACGAAUAUAUUUAGGAACCAAAGGAGUAAUCAAGUAAUCAAUCCCUAAAACUUAGCUCCCAAUAUUGUUCUUUUCCAAUUUGUCUCAUUAUUGUAGAUGUAAUCUUAUUUCGACUUCAUUCCAACGACAUACUCCUUUCGUUUCUUUAUAUAAGGUGUAUUUGUCAUUUCUUUUAGUUCCUCGUAAUUCCAGUUUUAGCCCUCUAGAAAAAGAAAAAUAUUUUUUUCCGAUUGUGUGCAUCUCUUUUUAUAGCAAAAGAACGAAAGUCUCUCUCUCGAUUGCAUGUAUCUCUUACUUUUCUGAACAAGUUGAUUUACUUACCACAAGCCAAUAUAUUUGCUAAAGGUAAUUUCGUCCUAGCAUGUAUAUAAUUAUGUGCCUUGGUCAUCGUAUCAAAAAUAAUACACCUUAAAUAACGAAACAGAGGAAGUAUUUAAUAAAACAUUGAUGUUUGGAGGUACGCGUUUCAAUAUUUCAAAUGUCAAUGUACGAGAUAAAAUUCAAAUCACACAUAUUCAUAGAUUACGCUGGAAGCAACAACAUAGUUUAACCACCGGCAAGAACAUAAAAGGGUGAUGUUCAUCGAAAAGAAACGGGAGGAACAUUGAGUGUAGACCAACCACUAGCAUUGUGGUUUCGAGUUCCCCGAAAAUCUCACGACGCGGUUACUCAAAUUAUUUUGCCAUGUCAUCCAAUCGUUAAACAUGCAUGAGCAGGGGCGCUUAUUCUCGCUCCUUCAUCCUGUUCGUCUCUGCCUCGGCGACAAUCCUCAACCUUUCCUCCUAAAGGGAAAGCUUCUUCUCCUCUAUCGCAAGCUUCUUCACCUCGAUUGUCGCCUUCCUCUCCCCGGUAGCUCCCAUCACCUUCGGUCGUUCCUCCUCUAGCAGCGUAAGUCCAUCCAUACACCUUGCCAUCUUAUCUUCCUUAUCAUUGACCAUUAACUGUGUCUUCCUCUGCAACAUUUUAUUUAUCUCCUCUUGUACGCAUCACCCAUGACAUGACCAUUCCUCUUCUCAUUACCUAUCCGGCCUAGAGGUAGGAGUGGGGUUUCUCCCCCUCUCCUUACUUUCAUCCUCUUAGUAGAAGAAGUGCUCAUCACCGUUGCCUCCCAAUCCCCCCUGCCCACUUCUCAUUAUCUCGGAGAAUUUCCCAACAACGCUACAAAGUCAAGGCCUUCUGGCCAUUUCACUUGUCUUUUUUCCUUAAAAAGUGCUAAGAUGUAGGCUUCAUGUUAUUGAGUGGCACACCACUUGUCGGUAUUUUUUCCACUUGCUCAACACAACCCUCUCACUGGCUGCAUAUGUCUUGAAUCAUUGCCCAAUGGUUUGAGGGUGAGGAUUUUGUGAGGUUGGACUUAAUGCACGCCGAUAGUACCCAUCAAUUCAUCUUCAAAAUGUUUAUUUGCUCUUGUUUGUGCAUGUAGCCGCAUCAAGAAACAAAUUCAUCAUGGCAUAACACACUGUUAUGUCCUCCUCCACAUUGUAAUUGCUCAUUCUUCCCAUCUUCUUGUUUGUGGUUUGGCUCAGGAUCUCAAAGUCAUCUUCCUCACUUGUUCUAUCACCAGUGCCUCCAUCUCGAAGUUGAGGUCAUGAAUGCCAACUAGAUCCACUAGCGCCGACUCACUAACUUUUUACCUAAACAUAUCAACUGCCACAUCAUGUGCAAAGCCCUGCUCAUAGGGGGGGGGGGUCAAUGUACGGGUCAACGCAAGCGAGAGCAUCAUUUAGGGCGACAUGUGCUUUCCUUUUCCUCUAUGCUUCUUCCUCUUCAACGGUCAUCUCGUCGUCCCAUUUUUUUAGCAUGAUUGUGUUGUUCCUCCUCUUGUUCGCCCCAGGGACCGGUUGAAUAUCAUGUUGACCCUUGGUGGGCACAUCUCUGGUGGGAGCGAUGGACAUGCGCAUGAUGCCUAGUUGGUGUCGCUUGACCAUGGCCACCUCAACGGGCACAUCCUUUUCCGGGGUUGUCAGGGUUGGGUAAGUAGGGGAAACAAUGUUGAGGUCAUGGGGAGGCUACAUACUCCAUUCCCUAAAAAUGGACGGAGGGUUGGUAGCGAUUAAUUUUCCCUAAAAUUUCCUAUGUGCCCGUUUUGAUAGGAUUGGGACGGUUAUUGACGCUCAUGCUUUCCGCGCAAUAUUUUGGGAGGGGGUAUGUUGCUUUGGGUUCUCCCAAUAUUUUUGGGGACUUAAAGGCGUUUCAAGGAUUAAAGUGCGUUAAUUUCCAAUAAUGAUAGUCUUUUUUAAAGUUGUGAUUUUAAAAUUUGGUUUGAGUUGUCCUAAGCAAAGAUUAUCCCGGACUCUCGACCAUUAUUUUGAUCUCUUUUCUUUUGUUGGCAACGAGGGGUGACAAAAUUCUAGAUGUAAACAAUUUGAUCUUUGUCCUUACUUUGUCAUUGUUGUCGUUGGUUCUUCAAGUAUGUUCUUAGUGAAAGUGGGGUUUCUCAGGUUGUGGAUGUGCUAUGCCUUUUCACACAAUGAUCCAUUCAAUGAGUGACACAAACUAAGACCAGAGAGGGCCAUGGUGUCGCCCGAGUGCUACCCCUUUGUGACCCUUUUGUUAUAUGGCAUGCUGGAUUGAUGAUGGUGGAUGGCCAUGUAUGUACACAUACAAGGACAAACAAGUGUACACCAUCUAAUUUUCUUGCAUUCACUUUCAUCAAUUCCCCAUUAUAUUUAUCAAAUUUCAUAGCAAAGAUUCUUCUGACAAAUAAUAGCAAAUAAGUACCAAUAGAGCACCGAGCAUGUGUAUAGUCAUUUUUUGAUACAAUAUUUAACAAAUUAGCCAUCUAGUAAUGCAAGAUUCUCUCCUGAAUCGCGUCGUUAACAUACUGAAAGGACAUCUUGCCCCUAAGGAGGAUUUUAGUGUUAAUGACAUUAUGUUUAGAAAAUUAAGUACGUUUUGAGUGCUUACACAUGACACACAUUAUUUGAAAUGAAACAUAAAGUUCUUUGGUGCCCCUAUAAGCAAAAAACGAUAAAAGAAGACGACACAUCAGUUAAAACCAACAAAGGGUCAAUCUGCUGACGCCCACUAAGCCGACAUAACAAUGAAAAUCGUCAUCAAUCCAAUAGGUUCUCCUCGCCACCAGAAAGCAGGGGAUGCGACCUACCAGAUGAUAGCCUUGGAGGCAGGAGCUUGGACCUUGUCUCGCGGUUGAGCGCCCCACACCACGACACACACAUGGGGUAGACAAUGCCUUACUCGGUGUCAUGCUGGUGAGGUGCUGCCGAUGGCAAGCUAGUUAUCUUUCAGGAUGUUGGACGACAGCACAUGCCUGUAUGCUAGUUAGUUUUCACAUCAGUUUAAAUGCAUGAAUUUUGAUGUGCUAGACUAUUCAUCAAUUUUUCAAGUUAGGUUGCGCAAUCUAUACUAGUAGUGUCUGAACUAAAGCAAGUAAAGGAAAAAAAUACCAACUUGACAAAGAACGUGAACGUGAGCAAUGACAACCGGAGAGGGCGAGGGGAGGGGAUUCAAGAACAACCCACUUCGACACCUCAUGCACUCUACAUUCAUACUAGUAAAAGCUAAUCUAGAAAAUUGUAUUCUACUUAUAUUAUCUCUCUAAGAUAUUUGUUAGACUUGUGUAAUCGUAGCCCUUUAUUAGUAAAUCUGUAGGUACAAACACAUAUACAAUGCAUUCCAUAUGUGGAUGUGAUCGUGCCAUCAUUUUAACUUGUUUAGAUUUAAUUGAAUUUAGUUCAGCAAAAUAUUCCAAACAAAAGUUUGAGAGAGAAAUACCAAUUCCGUGCAAAAACAUGGAUAUUUGGCUUCUACAGUAGUAAGCUAUCAUAUUUUAUAUUACUAACACUAUACGUGUUUACAAAACGGUGGAUACAAUAAAAUCAAUAGUCAUGGUUUUAUCGCAAAUAUUGUAUUAAAAAUUAGUUAAGACCUAGUUACAAUGAGUUGUGCAAAGGUAAAAAAGCUUAGUAUAAAUAUGUGGCAAUCAUUUAACCAGAUUCAUCAUGGGACCAACAAUUUAGAAAACAAUGAUAAAUUAUCCAACAUGUUGCGUGAAUUUCAUGAUCAAAUUUGUAACAACAAUCUGCAUGUGGCAGUUGAUGGCAAUCACGAUGAACUAGAGGGAUUCAAACAAGUAAGACAUUUGAUUAGUAGAAUCUCUGACAUAUUUAGGUCAUGUUGUAUACUCAUUUAUUCCAAGUCUCUAAUAUAUGUGGGUUAUAGGCGAUGCAAUUUUCGCUACAUAUCUAAAACAAAAUCUCCAAUAUAUGUGGGUUACAUGAGAUGCAAUUUUUGCUACAUGUCUAAAACAAAAUGAUACACCUCGUUAUUAUGUUAAAUUUAAGGUUAUAACCAAAAAAGUGGAUGUCACUAUAAAAUGUGUAUGUAUAAAUAUAUAAAUACACAACGUGAAACACGUUGUACAUCAUCUAUAUUUAUUGUAGUUUAGCUUCGUCAAGCUUGUUAAAUUCAUUCAUACCAUGGAUAAUCUUCUAGACACCUUCAGAUGGGUAACCUUCCUUCUUUAGCUACCCAAUAUUCAUCAAGUUUAGUCGCCAAUGCAUUGAUGUAUUUCCUUCACUUGUUGCUAAUGCUGUUGGUUUUCACACGUAUGCUCCAUGCAGAGCCAAAGUUUUUUAGAGUGGUGGUCGAGCAUCUUUCAUCACAUUUUUCAGUAUAUUUCACGUUGGAAUGGCGUGCUAGUUAUGAGAUGUGCAUAGAGCAAAGAGGGCUAGUGCCAUAUGGUCAAUGGUGGAUCGUUCAAUCUUUGCAUUAUUGUACCUAAACUAUUUUUUGGGUUGUUCUUGGAUUAAAAGCCUAAACUGCAACAAUGUCUCCUGAAAACAACAAUAUAAAAAAUAAUCUUUAUUUAGUGUAAAAAGUUACCAAUAUAUUUUCAUUAUAUAUCUGGCAAUGCCAAUGCCCAAGUGUAUCUCUUUCGUGAAGUCACCAUCCUCCCCUGAAGGGUUGUUGUUUAUCUAUUUUAUUACUAUUUAAGUGGUGCUAGUUAUAGGAGUACCAUACUGUUGGGCUACCAACAGCGUGUUCAGGGUAACCACAAUUUGGUAUAUGAUGCUAUUUUGUUAGCCAAUUUGGAAAUUGAUGUAUUUAGUUGUUAGAUGAACAAAAUAUCUCGCGCUUAAAUCAAAAUGUAGGUCCCUAUCAAUGUGCUUUCCAUUGAAAAAAACAAGCGAGUGUCGACAGAUUGUCUAUAAACAAUUAAAUUUUUGAGCAAGAUAUAGAUCUAACGGAAGUGACUUCAACAUCUCUCACACCUAUCUUUUCGUGGGACGUCACAUUAAGGUCAUUAUGUGCCUCCCGACCAACCCCAACCCCUCCUUAUUUUGUCACCUUUAGUAACUGUUGAAUCAUCCAUGGUUGCAUUUGUCACCACCUUCUUCACAUGUUCAAUGUUUUCAGGGCCUAUUAAUCCACCUAUGCCUUCGUUGGCCAACUACCUCUGCUUCCACCUUCCACUACAUAAUAGCUAUAUCAUUGUCUCCUCUCGCGUGUCAUCAACGAGCCCAGUUGUUGUCAUGCCAUGCCCACCACUGGUGCAUUGAUGUGUCGCAUCACCACCCAACCCUAAGCAAUUGCCAAGGAGUGUAACCGUAUGGACCGUAAUUUUCUACUCUCGCACAAGCGAACGAUGCCACCCUGACCCUAACCGAUGCACAUCAAUGAUGACUUCUCCAUGGGCCACCCUCUAUUCUAUUAUUGUUUGCUGCAACAAAAGACACGAGGACCAGUGGCCUCACCUCAACCCACCUUGUGCUUUGUCAUCGUUCACUUCUACCACAUGGCAUGUGGAUGUAGGUCUAUCUCAGAAAGAGAGGUGUUUUGGUAUCCGGGUACCUGAGAUCUAUUCAAUUUCAAAAAUAAUAACAAAAUCAUUUGCAAUGUUCCAGACAAAUUUGAAAACAAUCUGACAUGUACAUCUAAGUGUGAUCUAUAUACACAUUGUCAUUAAUAAAUGUUUCCAUUUGCAGGUUUCACAAGAAAAACAUUUUUUUGGAUAAAUGACGCUUUUAUUAUCUGAAAUUGUAACAUCAAGCGGAUACAAAGCAUUAUGAGUAACACCCGGACCCUGCAUAAUUAGGAUGCACACAACCAAACCUCAAAAUUGUGUCAAUAGGAAAUAAAACAAAACCGACAAAUCGGCAACAAUAGUGUCCUAUAGACCGACACUAUGCCUAUGUCGAAGGUGGUGGUGGAUCUAUGAGGAGGUUAUCCUGCCACCCAUGUUGGGAAAAUACCUCCGUAGCCACCUGCUCCAAUCGCGUACAUCCCGCCUUGAACAACGGUUGGUACUCCGCUCGUUAUAGCGUAGACCACACAUGAAAUGAUUGCGUACACUGGAAAAUAACCUGCAGAGGAGAAGCAUUUUUGUCACUAAAACCAAUAUCAUUUCUACAUAGGCAAAUCGACCAACUUAAGGCAUACGCUCCCACCCUUAUUAACGUUUUGAAUCUAUUUGAAAUACGUCCAACCAAUGACCAAAAAUAUUGGAACACUUGUGAGCGGGUACAAAUUUAAUGCUAUUUGGAUAACUGACCGCGUAGAACAUGCAAAAACAACACUUCUUACUCCCUUUCUAGUUGCUCGUGCGAGAUUGUCUUUGGUUAGCACAACCCCCUUACAAAGAUACCACAUGAAGAUUUUAACCUUUAGUGGGAUCUUUGACUUUCAGAUUUUGUUUGUCAUUACUCACUGGUACCUCAGAAUGCGUGAGUGCAUGGUGCAUAGAGUCUACUGUGAAAGAUAUUGAUGUUGUAAGGUUCAAGCUAAACACAUCCCGACCUUGUGUCAGGUUAAUUGAAUCCAUUUGGGAUAAAAUAUUAUGCCAUGACAUAAGAUGGUUGAAAGAUCAUGAUGUCGCCUAGAGGGGGGGGGGUUGAAUAGGCACUUUAAAAUAAGGGUUUUUAUCAGUUAUGCCACCGGUUGUGUCCCACUACUCAGUUUUGCCACUAGAAAUUUCAACUGCUCAAGAAUGCCAUCGCUUCAUUAGACACAUGCUCAAAAAUGCCACUAAACACCAUUAUUGUGAUCUCAAAUCUCUUUUGCCAUGUUAUAAUGACAUAAAUACCUAUGAACCAACAUGCCAGCAGCGUUCUUAUUUUCCUACAAUAAAGUAUGGAGCCCACUUGAUCCCAACAACGUUCUUAUUUUCCUGUAAAAUUAUUCGCUUGGUUACUCCUGGCAAGUGGGGCCACACAUAUCAUUGUGAGAUAGAGAGAACUGACAUGUGGGUCUAGUCUUAUUUUUGUCAUAGAACAUGGUCAACGGGUUUGACGUAAAAAUAACAAUGUCUAAUGACAUUUUUGAGCAAACAUCUAACAUAACAAUGGCAUUUUUUAGAUAUCUAAUGGCAUUUUUGAGCAAGCAUCUCAUGGAUUGAUGGCAUUUUUGAGCAGUUGUAACUUCCAAUGGCAAAACUGAGUAGUGGGACACAACUAGUGGCAUAAAUGAUAAAAACCCUUAAAAUAAUUAUGGUUUAGGCUUGAACAAACACGGAAUAAACCUAGCGGUUAAUUUGUCAAGCACAAAACCUAAAACAACUAGGCUCAUCUAUGUGCACCGACAACUUAUGCUAAGCAAAAUAAACAACUAAAUGAUAAAAAGAUAUACGGCAAGAAACAAUAUGGCUAUCACAAAAUAAAGUGCAUAAGUAAAGGGCUCGGGUAAGAGAUAACUGAGGCACGCGGAGACGACGAUGUGUCCCGAAGUUCACACCCUUGCGGAUGCUAAUCUCCGAUUAGAGCGGUGUGGAGGAACAAUGCUCCCCAAGAAGCCACUAGGGCCACUGUAAUCUCCUCACGUCCUCGCAUAAUGCAAGAUGUCGUGAUUCCACUAAGGGACCCUUGAGGGCGGUCACCGAACCCGUACAAAUGGCAACCCUUGGGGGCGGUCACCGAACCCGUACACUUUGGCAACCCUUGGGGGCGGUCACCGAACCCGUACACUUUGGCAACCCUUGGGGGCGGUCACCGGAACCCGUCAAAUUGCUCGGGGUGAUCUCCACAACUUAAUUGGAGACCCCGACGCUUGCCCAGAGCUUUACACCACAAUGAUUGAGCUCCGAACACCACCAACCGUCUAGGGCACCCAAGCACCCAAGAGGAAAAAGCUCAAGGGUACCAAGCACCCAAGAGUAAUAAGCUACUCAACUUGUAACUGUAACACCCAUGAUGCGGCUAUAUCUCCCACGUGUCGGGGCACGACUUAGAGGCAUAGCCGCAUGGUAGGUUUGUCGCAAGAGGGGUAAUCUUCACACAAUCCCAUGUACUGAAUAAUAAAGGGGUAAAGAGUUGGCUUACAAUCGCCACUUUACACAAAUACAAGUUAAACAUACAUCAACCAGAAUACAAUCAAGGUCCGACUACGGAACCAAAAUAAAAGAAGACAACCCCAAAUGCUAGAUCCCCAAUCGUCCCAACUGGGCUCCACUACUGAUCAAAAGGAAACAAUACAAAACAAUGAACAAGGACUUCAUCGAGCUCCCACUUGAGCUGGGUUGCGUCAUCUGCACUGGUAUCAUCGGCACCUGCAACUGUUUGGGAGUAUCUAUGAGCCACGAGGACUCAGCAAUCUCACACCCGCGAGAUCAAGACUAUUUAAGCUUAUGGGUAGGAAAGGGUAGUGAGGUGGAGCUGCAGCAAGCACUAAGCAUAUAUGGUGGCUAACAUAUGCAAAUAAGAGAGAGAAGAGAAGCAAUGCACAGUCGUGAAGCUAGAAGUGAUCAAGUGAUCCUAAAACUACUUACGUUCAAGCAUAACACAAGAACCGUGUUCACUUCCCGGACUCGGCCAGAAAGAGACCAUCACAGCUACACACACGGUUGAUGCAUUUUAAUUAAGUUAAGUGUCAAAUUUUCUACAAACGAAUAUUAACAAAUUCCCAUCUGCCCAUAACCGCAGGCACGGCUUUCGAAAGUUCAAAACCUGCAGGGGUGUCCCAACUUAGCCCAUCACAAGCUCUCACGGUCAACGAAGGAUAUUCCUUCUCCUAGGAAGACCCGAUCAGACUCGGAAUCCCGGUUACAAGACAUUUCAACAAUGGUAAAACAAGACCAGCAAAGCCACCCGAUGUGCCGACAUCCUGAUAGGAGCUACACAUACCUCGUUCUCAGGGCAACACCGGAUUGUCCAAACUUCCGGUAGGCCAGCCCAGAGUUGCCCCUGGUGGCCACCGGCGACUGACAGGUUCGGACCAACACUUAGACAAGCACUGACCCGAGGGNNNNNNNNNNNNNNNNNNNNNNNNNNNNNNNNNNNNNNNNNNNNNNNNNNNNNNNNNNNNNNNNNNNNNNNNNNNNNNNNNNNNNNNNNNNNNNNNNNNNNNNNNNNNNNNNNNNNNNNNNNNNNNNNNNNNNNNNNNNNNNNNNNNNNNNNNNNNNNNNNNNNNNNNNNNNNNNNNNNNNNNNNNNNNNNNNNNNNNNNNNNNNNNNNNNNNNNNNNNNNNNNNNNNNNNNNNNNNNNNNNNNNNNNNNNNNNNNNNNNNNNNNNNNNNNNNNNNNNNNNNNNNNNNNNNNNNNNNNNNNNNNNNNNNNNNNNNNNNNNNNNNNNNNNNNNNNNNAGGAGCGCGACUCCCAAGGGAAAAGCAUAGGUGGUGGUGAGGCAAAUGGUAAAACCAAGGUUGGGCCUUGCUGGAGGAGUUUUAUUCAAAGCGAACUGUCAAGGGGUCCCCAUAACACCCAACCAUGUAAGGAACGCAAAAUCAAGGAACAUAACACCGGUAUGACGGAAACUAGGGCGACAAAAGUGGAACAAAACACCAGGCAUAAGGCCGAGCCUUCCACCUUUACCAAGUAUAUAGAAGCAUUAAAAUAAAUAAGAUGUAUUGUGAUAUCCCAACAUAUCCAUGUUUCCAAAAAGAAACAAACUUCAUCUUCACCUGCAACUAGCAACACUAUAAGAGGGGCUGAGCAAAGCGGUAACAUAGCCAAACAACGGUUUGCUAGGAAAGGUGGGUUAGAGGCUUGACAUGGCAAUAUGGGAGGCAUGAUAUAGCAAGUGGUAGGCAUCAUGUCAUAGCAAUAGAGCGAAUAACUAGCAAGCAAAGAUAGAAGUGAUUUCGAGGGUUUGGUCAUCUUGCCUGAGAUCCCGCAAGGAAGAAGAACGAGUCCAUGAAGAAUACAAAUGGACGUAGUCGAACGAAUCCUCACAAACACGAUGUUAUCGGAACCAACCCGAAGAAGCAACACCGGAAAGAAGCAAACAACAUAGUAAAUAACCAUCACAUAAACAUGGCAUGAUGCACAACCAAGUAUGAUGCAUGUCCCGUUUAAUGAGGCGUGGCAUGGAAAAAUGCAUAAACAAUCCUAUAAAUUAAGUGGAGCUCAAUAUGCAACUCUGUUGCAUAUUAACGAAACACCACGUGACUUAUUUAGUUCUCUCUCAUUUAGGUACCCAACAAUAUUAAAUUUUGAUUAACAUGGCAAGGGGUGAAGCACAAUAAAACUACUUAACUAUGCAAGUUUAAAUGAGGCCGGAUAUAACAAACAACAAAUCCGGAAAAUCCGCAUAUGCAUAUUUCAAAGUUGGUACUGUUCUGCCCUAUACACAAUUUUAGAGUUAUUAAACAUGCAAAGAAAAGCCACCAUGUUAAACUAGGCAUUUUUCUACCCCAUUUACAUAUAAAGUUUAUUAAAUUUGGAGCUACGGUUAUUUAGUUAUGAAAUAAAUCAUUUUAACAUGUCAUAGGAGCAAAUUUAACCAAACAACAUUUUAAACAUAUUGAACAUGCAUGAAAGUUGGAUAUUAUGAAACUAGAUGAAAUUCUAGUCAAGUUACAUAUAUAAUUUAUUUAGAUCCGAUGCACGGUUGGUGAGUUAUGAUAUGCAUGAUUUAGGGGGACUAUUCUAUAAAACUGGUGGUCUCAGGAAAAUUAGGAAAAUCGCGGAACAGGGAAAAAACCCUAUUGGGCCGAAUCUGAAGCAAGCUGGGUCUACAGAAAAAAACAACGGAGGCUCUGCUGGGGCCUCACCAUGGGCUUCGGCCCAGAUUUGCGAAGCAGCUGGUCUGCGGCUGAGGCGCGAUGCGGGCAGGCUGCGGAGGAGGCUGGGCCCUCCUGGCGCUGGUUGGGCCUGCAGUCAACGCGUCGAGCGGGGCAGGCGAGCUGCUCUGCUCGUCUCUGAAGAAAAGCGGCAGCGACAGGUUCAGAGCGACGCCGGUCGGGAACGAGCAAGGGUGGCGGAGGUGAUGGCUCGCCGGCGUCGGGGCUAGAGGCGGCCAGGUGCUGCAUCCUCCGGCGACGGGGAUGACGCCGAAGCAGUGGAGGCGAGCCGAAUUGGGCGUCGGGGCCCCAUCUCCGGCGAUGGUGGCGGCCGUUGGUGCUCCUAGAUAAAGAAAAACGAAAGGGAUGAGAGAUAGUAGGGAAGACGAGUAGGAGAAGGUCGGGAGGAGGAGGCACGGCGACCUGCAGUGCUCCUGCGUCGCGCUCGCCGGCACGGCGGAGGAGGAGCGGUGACGCGGUGCGCGACGUAAAGACGAGCAGGGGUGAUGGAGCCCUGCAGCAGGGGAAGAAGAAGAAGGCUCGGCAGCGGCAUUAACGGGAAACAGGUCAGGUGGGGUCACGGACUUGACGGAUCCGACCGUGGGACAACGGUUCCCGACAGCGGCGAGGAGAACUCGAGCUCGGGGAGGCAUCCAUGGCGUGCCCCUGCUCAUCGCCGGCGGGGACGGCUGGCUCCAUGGAAGUGCUUGAGAAGAAGCAGAGGAGGCUGUGGACUCUGGCUGCUGGUCGAGAUCGAGUUUGCUCAAUCUGAAAACCGCCCGGGACGGGUGCUUCUCGGAGAAGGAGGAGCUUGGGCAGUGGUUGGCUGCGGUUUGGAUCGAGGAAGAUCGAGCGAGGGGAUUUGGCCAGGUGGGAUCUGGAUCGAUCCCGAGGAAGGAGGAGACUUGUUCGAGCGCUUCGGUUGGGCUGGUGGGGAGACCGAGGAGAAGGUGGAGGCUCUGGUUGGUUCGCUGGUGAUCCCGAGGGGAACCAGAGAGUGGCGGCGGAGGGAUUUGGAGGAUGGGACAGGAUAGGCUAGGGUUUGACUGAUAUUUAUAUCAGAUGAGUUUAGGUUAGGGGCUAACUCGUCCCUCCGAUCGAAACCGGACAGUCGAGAAAAAUAGGCUAGGGAGUCUGAUAAAUAAAACGAAGAUGAUUUAUAGAUGUCCGGGGAUGAUCUGGACCCGUUGCUAACGACAGAGCGGGUCGGGCCUGGGACAGUUUCGGACAUGGACGAUGGGUCGAUGCACUGUGCAAAGAGGGAGUAGGUGGUUUGACAAGAGGGAAUCGCUAACCCAGUUGGUCUCGAAACGGUCAACGAAGGUGAGGGGUUUGAUGGGCUCAGAAAAGAGAGAGAAGAGAGAUGCCCGACAGCAGUUUCGGAGACCGAAACAUCCGACGAAAAACCGGCUACUAUUGCCGCUAUAGUUUAACGGCUGAUGUGUCAAACAGACUCCGAAUGUGAUGAAACUUGGCAGGUGGUCUACUGAAAACAUAACAACACCGGAAGACAACUUUCAUCCCAUUCUGAGAACAUUUUCCGGUCACUUAUAAAAUACUAUAUCGGACAUGCCACGGGCGCGUGCGAGUGUGUCUGGACUCAGAACGGACAACGGAAGGAACGAGGAGACCGGGAUGGAUGCAAGUUUUGAAAACAUGAUGAUGCAAUGCACAUGAUGACAUGACAAGAUGCAACACGCAAGCGAAUGACAUGUCAACAACACCGAAUAACUGGAAGACACUUGGCGCGACGGUCUUGGGGCAUCACAGUAACUUCCUCGUAUCACCAUGGAGAACUCAAACCAAUGCACCAAAUGCAAUGGCAAGGGCACACGGAGUGCCCAAGUCCUUCUCUCCCAAAUCCCACCAAAGCAACUAAUGCUAGGGAGGGAAAUGAGAGGAAGAACAAGAAGGAGAACACCAAGAACUCCAAGAUCUGGAUCCAAGGGGUUCCCCUCACAUAGAGGAGAAAGUGAUUGGUGGAAUGUGGAUCUAGAUCUCCUGCCUCCCCCCCCCCCAAAACUAGCAAGAAUCCAUGGAGGGAUUGAGAGAUAGCAAGCUCGAAGAAGUUCAACAAUGGGGGAAGAACACGAGCUCAAAGAUAAAGUUCAUUGGGGAAGAAGACCCCCUAUUAUAGGUGGGAAAAAUCCAACCGUUAUGCUCAUAGCCCGCACGGAGCGGUACUAUCGCUCUUCCUCAUGGUACUACCUCAAAGGGUAGCGGUACUACUGCUUGCAAGCGGUACUAAAAAAUACAUCCGUGCCUACCACCGCUGGACUUAAGACGAGUUUUUGGUCCGGAGCGGAAGUAGCCAUGGAAAUAUCCGCGGUAGUACCGCUCCCAAGAGUGGUGGAAAAAAAUUACAUUCCCUCCAAGCGGUAGUACCACUCCCAUGAGCGGUAGUACCGCUGCAGCCUUUUUAAGGACACCAAAACUGACACAACUUCUGCAAACGGACUCCGAAUUCAACGAAACCAAGUUUGUUGGAAAGCUACCGACAAGGGCUAACACAAUCUUGAUAGAAAUAACAAUAAUAAGGAAAUUAGAUAAGGCCCAUAAGAAAAUGGUGAGAACCCUUCCUCGAAUAAGACCGGUAAAACCUCCAACACCGAAAACGCAAUAGAAGAAGCAUGUGAACUCCGUUUUAGAUGAACUCGAGCUUGUCAAGAAGAUGACCAUAAGCUCCAAAUAUCACAAGGAGAAAACCAAACAAGACCCAAGAAAGAUGAUGCAAGCAUGAAAUGGUUUGAGCUCUCUACGAACGAUACGAUCAAGCUACUCACUUGAGAGCCCCCUUGAUAGUACGACAAUCGAUCCUAUAACCUGGUCUCCAAACCACCACCAUGAGACCAGUAAAAUAGAGAACCUAUCAAGGGCAAACCUUUGCCUUGCACAAAGUUCACUUGAGCUAGAUGAUGAUGAUCUUGACUCCCUGAAGUUGGACCGCCUUUCGUGAUUGCAUUGGCUUGAUGAAGGCUAGUUGAUUGCUCCCCCAUACUCCACUAUGGGUGAGUCACUCUUUGGCACACCUUCACAAGUCCACUGUCACCAUAAUGGACGGCAUGCUACAAGCAUGAUUUCUUCGUGAUGCCCCACUUGAACUUGCACAACACAACCUUGAUUUGAUGUCAUCCUCCAUGGGUUGUAUGUGAUCCUCCUCUUGACGCAAGCCCAUGGAAGCAAACCUAACCCCACAUAGAACUCUCACAAAGACCAUGGGUUAGUACACAAAGUGAAAUGGACAAUGCUUACCAAACCAUGAGAUCACUUGAUCCCACUUGGUGUAUCUUCUACGCUUUGUGUGAUGAUCAACUUGAAUCACUCUCUGUACUUAGUCUUGAUCAACCUUGACUCUUUCCAACUCUCUUCAUUUGGAUGAUGUCUUGAAGGUAAACAUGAAUGAUCACACAAUCUUCUUCUUCAAGACAUGCUUGCAAUAAGCUCAAUACUCACAUGACCAAUCUUUGGAUAAUUCCUUAAUAGCACCUUGGUCAACACAUAAACUCAUUGAAACCAACACAUGGACUUCAAGAAAUGCAUAUGGACAAAUCCUUCAAUAUAACUCAAUGCAACCAUUAGUCCAUAGAGAAUGCCAUCAAUUACCAAAACCACACAUGGGGGCACUGCAUGUCCUUUCAAUCUCCCCCAUUUUGGUAAUUGAUGACAAUCACUUUCAAGAGAGUUUAUAUAAGGAAUUAUGCAUCACCAUGCAAUGCAACAACCAAUGAUGCAUGAGUAUGAGAUGCAAAUGCUUAGGAACGAAACCAAAGCAAGAAGAAACUCUGAAAAAUUCUCCACAAAACUCUGUGAAACUUCUCCCCCAUUGGCAUUGAUUACCAAAAUGGGCGAAAAGCUUAGAAGGCCAAUAUAAAAAGUGUUCCUCCAUAAGUUGUGUAUUUCUCAACAAGAGAGUUGAAUGAAAUACACAUAUCCAAAGGUAAAUACUUGGAGGAAGAUAAACUAUAUCGAGGCACAAAGAUUGCUAAAGAAUGAUAUGCCACGAAGACAUAACAAAGAGAGACACAUGCAAUCAAGCAAUCAAAAGAUAUCAAUUGAAGCAAGCAAUCAAAGGGUAUCAAUUCAACCAACUAGACCAAUGAUCCUACGAGCCACAUGAAGAAAACAUAUUAUGAUACACGAAAGGGAGUGUUCUAAAGAAACUAGGGAAGCUCCCCAUGAUUUGUGCACAAAUAAGAAUUUUUGUAAUGGGAUACAACAUGCACAAAAUAGGAUCAUCACUCCCCCAAAAUCAAUAGAACCUCACAACUAGGGAAAGUGAGCAUGUAGGAAACAAAGCCUAGCACAAGCAACAAAUGAAUGGUUGAGCAACAAGUAAAGGAGGCAACUUAGGAAAAGCCUCAACCAAAAUGAUGUGUGUGAGUCAUGCCAAAGCACUUGUGAAGACUAAUAUAAGGAUGAGCAUGAAGCAUCAACAUAGUCUUGAAUAAAUGAGAUACAAGGUGCAAGACAUGUCCUUCCCCCACACACCAAGCAAAGGGGUUCAGAAGCACACUCAAAAUACAAAAUGAAAAACCAAAGAUCGUGACAACCCAAGGUGAAGAAGGAAAAAGAUAGCUUUGUCAUGAGGAGGGAUACCAAUCGAAAUGGCAAAAGCCUCAUCAAGACAAGCAAGAGAGAAAAGUAAAAAAACGAAAAUCUUCACCACACAUGAGUGCAUCAAGAUGCAACAAGAUAAGAUCCACACUCAAGACAAAUCCUUUCACGGAGCCACCUAGGCAAUACAAAGGAAAGAAAGGUGGAUGUGAAAGAAUAAGGAUAUCCACUAAAGAUGUAACUUAUCACAAGUGUAUAAGAUUCUAGGUAGAUGAAAAUCAUGAUGAUAUCUAUCUACAAAGAAGGAUGUACACCCGAAAUAGUUACAACACGAAGGAAGAAGAUAUCCAAAAGGAAGUCAUAAAUAUACCAACAAGAUAUUUGCUUGAAAGCAUAGCACAUGGCUAGAUAUGGUCUUAUUAUAUAUAAAUGAAUUCCUACCACACAACCAUCAAGGACAUCACAACUAGAAACAUGAGAUCAUUGUUGACAUGCUUUGAGAAGGGAAACAAGUAUCACAAGAACUAAUCAAGAAAUUCAUGCCAUGAUGCAACCUACACAAGGUUGUAUGUAAGAAAUGUAUGCAUGAGUAGAUACUUGUUACCGAGAUAGCAUUGGAAGGAUGUAGUAGAUACCAAUUGAAUGUAAACGAUAGUAGUUCAUUGAACGUCCCAGCUUGACUCCAAUAAGCACAUGGUGACACCACCUUCAUUUUGAAUGAGCCGAGCAUCCAAUGCAUCUCUAGUUGUUCCUAGAACAACACCACAAACAAAAUGGUACCCAAACUCAUUGGUACCAAAGAGUUAGCAAACAAACAAUACAUAUGACAAACUCCACAUAAAUAUGUGCAUAUAGAUAUGAAAUAGAAUCUCAUGCACAACUUAUCCAAUUAGAGACUUGGUGGAGUUUCCCUUAUAUAUUGGGUCAAAGAAAGAAAACAUGCCAAAGAAACUACAUGAAGUUAAUAUGCAUGAUCAAGACUUUCAAGAACCGAUACCAAUUGACAAAGAAAUGCCACAUGAAGAAAAGAUACCAAAUGAAUAAAUCAUCACUUGGAGGAUAUCACUUGAAAGAUUCAACAAGGAAUGAUAUAUCCAUUGAAACACACAAAAAGAGAGAUAUCGAACUCCCAAAAGAGAGGAUGGUUGCAAACAAACCAAGCCCUCUACUAAGUUUCAUGAUGGCACAAUGUACCAAAAAAAAACG